CAAAAACGGAGGAAAAUAAUAAUAAUCUCACACAAGUCAGUCCUGAAAUCCUCGUGAAAACGAUCAGGUUUGCUGUAAAAACGGAGUGGAUGUAUGUGAAUUGGCGAGAUGUUUUACUUACCCCGUCGAGGGUGUCGAAGAGCUUCCCGGUGAGGUCCUUGAGGUCCUUCUUCUCCUCCUUGGUGGCCUUGGAGGAGAUGACGGUCUUGAGGUCGUAGCGCAGGUAGGAGGCCCUGAGGCGGAGGUCGUUCAUGACGUACGGCCAUUGCUUCUUGUCGAUGAGCGGCUUGAGGUUGAGGAUGUCCUGGGCCGACUCCUUGGCCCGGGCCGCCGCCGCCGCCGGAGGCAGCGGCUGCAGGUAGAAGCGGUUCUUCAGGGGGAGCGCGAAGUCCCUCGCCUCGUCCGAGUUCUCCGUCCCGGCUGUACCACAACCCCAAAUCAUCCAUCAUUACACAUCAUUUUUCAAUUGAAAUUCUACAAAAAAAGGUAGUAAUUCGUGCACGAGCAGUAGUUAUCUGGAGGCACUCACGGAGUCCACCGGAGGGAAGCGGCGGCGGGCCAACCUUGAUGGGGUUGACGGCCGCGAGCACCGCCUGUGCGAACGCGCCGCCGGCGACCCCGCUGGCCAUGAGGCCAAGGACCGCGCGGCGGCCGGCGGUCUCGGCCUCCGCCGACGCCCUCACGGUGAGCUUGCUGGCGCCGCGCCGGCCGGCCGGGCCUGGAAGGCGCACGCCCUGCGCCGAGGUCAAGCCGGUCAUGGACGCCAUGGCCUGUGCCAUCUCGAGCUUUGCGUUUUCUCUUGGGGAUCGAGGAGGAGGUAACGAUCGAUCUCUCGCUCCACCAGUGGCGGCCAGCGUGCCGGAAAUAUACGAGGGAGCCUUCGCCGUCGCCAACCUUAUCUGACUGGAUAAGUUGGGGGCCAGUGCGGGGGCGCCAUGUGGCAUGGUGCAUCGCCUGGCCUCCCCAUUUGGAUUGCGCUGUGGCCAAUGGGCGGCUGCGGCUCCUGGCAUGUGUGGUGAGCUCCUCGUCGGUGCUUGGGCUUCAGUUGGCCAGUGACAUUUUCGUGUUUUGUCGGUUUGUUCGUUUUGGAUAAUUUUUCUUCCCAGGAGACACAAUGGACAGCGCCAUUAGUACGAAUUUUUGUGGGGGAAAUUCAUAUUUUCAGCCUGUUACGAGAAUUGGCGGAAUCACAUAGAAACAUUUGAAAGGAACAUAAAAGUUAUCAGAAUAUUCGAAAGCUCCGUAUGGAAGCUCAUCAACAUGAGAGGGCAUUUGAAGUUUAAUCCCUCUUUGAUUCACAUGAUUUCUAAAAUGUGUAAAUAGGAAAACGUAAGCAUUGUAUGUCAUAGCAUGUUGUUUCUCACAUAAUUAAAAAACACACAGAAAUAAGAGCAAGACAAGUUAUUUGAUUACACUAAAAAUACAGAUAAAGUUUCAAUAGGGAUUAGGUCAAUGCCAUACUUGUUUAAGAAAACAAAGAAGAUAUUUCAAGAGGCUUGACUCAAUGAGAAUUUUCUUUCAGAAUUGGUGCAAGUGAACCAUACAACAGAUUCCUAUAGAUUCUAAUCCUACAAGUCAUAUAAUCCACAUAUCGAGAGGUGUAAGAGCCGGUUCCUAUCAUAGAAUCCGAAAAUUUAGCUUGAAUUUAAUUGAGUAUAUGAACUCAAUCGACAUUCCGUGGAAUCACUUCUGUACUCAAACCCCAAUUUUGUUAUAAAAGACACCAUUCCUCUCUGGAUUUGUCUCGAUUUUUACGAAUCCAUGUCACUGACAAACAUGCCUUUUGAAUUCAAAAUUUAAAUUUAGCAAAAAAAAAUGAUUUUCGGAGGGCUACCAAACAAGCUGAACCGUGAGAAAGAGAGAAAAAAAUACUCUCAGUUGAUUAAUCCCACAAAGUGAGAAAGAGGAAUCAUGCAAUAGCCGCAGGAUUAGAUUGCAAUGAACUCGCGUUCAUUUUUCAGAAACACGGAGGCGGUGCCCUCUGUAUCAUUUGCACCCACGGUGCUAGCCACAAGUUUGCCUUUUUGUCUCAUUCUUUCUCUCUCUCCACUUUAAAUUAGAGAGGUUAAACAGUCUGACCACUGACAACCUUUUGCUCUUCUCUUUUUCUUUCUCUCUCCCAUUUUAAGUAUAUUAUGGUACAUGACAUAUUUUUGAAUUACAUAUUUAUAUUUAGUAAAUUAUGAUAUAUGUAUUGUACCUUAAUAGUUUUUAAAUAUCUCCUGUACAUGAAUUUAUGAUACGGGUACAUCGUAUGGUACAUCACAUUACCUUAACAAUUUGUGAGUACCUCGUGCACAUGACGAGUACAUGAAGGUAUAUGAUGAUUACGUGAAGGUACAUCACAAAUACAAUUAACAAGUACCACAUCAACGAUAAAUUACAUCAUGUACCGGGACAAAAUUAGAACACAAACAUUCAUAAAUAACUACUACCUCGUCAUGUACCAUGGGUACAUGAUGGUACUCAAAUAAACAUUUAAAUAGGAAACCACAAAGAUUCAAAAAUCACAUGGUACAUGAUGGUGCUCCAAAAUCACAUGAUACAUGAUGGUACUUCAAAAUCACAACACAAAAUCAUGGUACAAGAUGGAUCCAAAAUAAAAAUUCACAUGGUACACCAAAAAUCAAAAUAAAAAAUCACAGCAAAAUCACCGGAACAGGAGCUCUCCGCGGAGAAGCCCAGGACAGAGCUCUCCGUGGUGGCGGGGACGGGAGCGGGGGCGGACACGGACGCGGGACGAUGUCGUCGCCGGAGUUGAGGACGGCGGCGGCCAAACCCACUGCCAGCCAGGAAGAGAUGAACAGGUUUCUGGAAAGAGGAUCGAUUGGAGGGACCGUACGGAGGAGAGAGGGAAGCUGGGACCGACUGCUAAUUAGAUGGGAUGGGCAGAGAAUUAAGGAAAAGAAAAGGAGAAUUAAGGAAAGGGGAGGACAGGUGGUUGGUAUAUACGGUAGGUGCAAAUGCCAUGCAGCGUACCGGGAGGUUUGGCUGCCAGACUUGCCAAGAUCGUGCCAAAAGGUUGCAACUGCGCGACCGCGGAAGCGCCCAAAAUCAAACCCUCUCGCUCGCCAGUCGCCACCAUCAAUGGCGGUUCGCCGCGGCCGGCGGCGACCACGCCCUCCCUCCUCGACCCAACCGCUCCCUCCGCGGCACCCCGUUCGUUAAGCGCUUGCGCAAGGCCGACCCCUGCGUUCAGCAGACGAGCCUCUCUCCCUUACUGACGGCGGCCUCACAUGCAGGGUCUUUCCGCAGCUCCACUCCCACGGGCCACGGGAUCUGAUGCGAUGGCUGUGCGCGCGUUCCCGCGACCCGCGGCGCGGUUACGCUCUCCGGCAGGCACCCUUACCUGAGCCUCCCCGCCCGGCUGCCUCGCCCGACAACUUCAUCCUCACUCCUCAGCGAGCGCCCUCUGUGAGCAAAAUCCCUACUUCAGUUUAACCGCCAUUGCCAGACGAAUCUGUAGCAACUUGAGACCUAACAACAAUUGAGUAAUGUAUUACGACAGUCAACUAUGUUACCUGACGAGUGUGACGAAGUUACGUGUAAUUUAGCAGCAGGUAGAAAUUUGUAGUGUCGAAGUAUGAGUUUUAUACUUUUGUAUUGGUUCCCUGUAUUUGAUUUGGUUAAACACUUAGUUCUAUCCGCAGUAGUCCACUUACUAGUUGACCAAUAAUAGUCGAGUAGGAACUCCCGUUUUGUUAACUCCUUAGGAGGAUUCAAAGAAUUUCUAGGUUUGGUUUCCUCUUGGGGUCUCUGUAUGUAACUAACAAGAUGAAAUCGUGUGUUACUGCAGAAGUGCAGAGGCGGACCUUUGAAAAGACUGAAAAUUGUCUGCAGUGGAACUCCCGUUUUGUUAAAGUAGUUUUCGAGAUUGCAUGGCGUGGUUAACUCUAUGAUAUUACAGGAUAUGUAUGGAAGGUAAGACUCUUCUGUAUUCCAUAAGUUUCCGCUACUAGAUACAUUUCUUACAGCUGUAGUCUUUUAGGAGAGUGAGGUUCAUCUUUGAUGGGGCUUCUCAUCACUGGUUUCUUAUUUGAGAGCACAACUACAUGAGAGACAUGAUAAUCAACAUACAUGGUACACACCUUGGGCCACCAUGCCUGGUGGUUGGUUCUGAUGGGAAACAACCUAGUUUGUCAGUUACCUAAAAGGUUUCCAUUGUGUACUAUUAACUAUUGUAAUUAUGAGCCAUUAAUUCUUACUUUGCACCAGAGAAAUACGAAGAAAACAAUCAUAGUCCAAAUCAUUUUUCAUUAGGACGCUCUUUGCUUCACCCCUCUGAUUUUAGUCUGUCAUUGCAUCAUCCAAUCAAACUCUGUUUAGCUGGAUAGUCAUCUUGAUUCCUUUCAUUAAUUAUGACCAAUUCACGAUAUCACUUUCUAUUUUCAUCGAUCACCCAGUGGAUCAAAUCCAGUUCUAGCAGUAGCAGCAGAAGCCUGGGUAGCAGUUAAAUUUAUGCUGUUAAAAAGCCACACAAUAAAUAAACCAUACACACAAACUGUUUUAUUCGUUCACUCAAACACAUACAGCGACAUGGGGGCCAAGGUCACAUGUAUCACAGCAUAUCAGAGAGGCAUCAAGCCUCAUGAUUUUAUUAUUGUCACACCAUAUGAUUAUAACCUCUUAACACAUCAGUUUAUUUAUUCUCGGCCUACUUCCACACAGUAGCCUUAUUUCUGUUUACCAGCACCUCUUGGCCCUUCUUGUACACUGCAUGGGGAGAUUUUAAACUGGCAGGUCGGUGUUCUCAUCAAAGGGGAACGGGUCCAACUUUGGUUGCGCUGCUUGUAAGAUCUUUUGAAUUGGCAUUUCUGGCGUUGAUCUUUCCAGAGGUGCAAUUGGAUCAACACUUGGGUCAUGAUCCUGAAAAUUAAGAAUUAAAGAUUAUUAUAAUAGAUAGGUGCAAAUGAUGCUUUUCUUUAGUUUUUGAGAUGUCUUGAUUUGCAUGAGUGGCACUGACCUGGUUAGCAUGCAUUCUCUUGACAAAAGUUUGGAAAGUGACAUAGUUCUGUCCCUGUAGCAGCUCAUCUGAUAACCGGAGGUAGGUGAAUCCAUGCAGCUUGUGCUCCGGAGGGCCACUCUUGUUGACACCUUUUGGUCUCGCAUUUCUGAGUAUAGUGUUGUACCCCGUUGCAUCAUAUCGACCAAGCGCGUUUUCGCAGGCCACAUCUAAGCCCUCUCUCCAUCCAGCACUCAGCACCUGGGAAUUUUGAUAAGAAGUGAUUCAGUGAUUCCGUAAAAGAGAAGUGCAGAAGCCCUAGUCAUAAAUCACUGGGCAGUGGCUAAUGGUGUAGUUACCUGUUGGACUAGUUCUUCUGGUGCACUCUUCGCCUCUGAGCUCUGCUCGGAGUCCCUCAUCUCUGCACAAGUGAAGUUGAGGCUAGCAUGAUGCCUCUUGAGCAUGCGUGCUAUGGUUCUGUAGCCGUCUCUGUCAUCUAAGUUGUAGUACCCGGCAGUGAGCUCGGCUGCAUGGUUUGGAACCCUGUACCACCAGUGAAUGCCAGAUAUCUGCAACCAAACAUCGGAUCAUGUCUCAUUUACGUUCGAGAUUAAGUAAUGGAGUUGCCUAUACAUCCUCGAUCUGUCCUUUAACCUCAAGUCUAAUGUUAAUAGCAAACAUUGUGCAAUCCUUGUUGUUUAUUUAGAUUAUCUUUCUGACCUUAUCAAAUGAUCUACCAUAAUAAGCACAGAUCUUGAGAAAGGUACUUACUUUUUUUUUGAAAAGUAAAAAGAAGGUACUUACUUUGAUUGCCAGCUGCACUGUAUAUCCCACGAAGACCUUGUUUGCUUCAUCCAGGAUCUUGUCACCGUGCUUGAUCAGUUUGUUGGAGUACCAUGAGAGGAAAAAAUCCCCCUUCUCGGUGACGUAUGUUCCGUUGUCCUUGAAGAAUUGGGUCUUCUCGGGAGUGUCAUUGUACUCCCCAGCAUCAUCAGGCAAUUCCCACUCAGGAUGACCAGCCUUCGCUGCUGCUGCUUUGAAGUCUGCUACCAGGUACUUAUCGUAGCACUGCAGAUUAUUUUUGUUAUAGUAUAAUACCAGUCAGUUAGAACAGUUCACUGAAGUCCUUUUGUCUGGUAGUGGUGAUAUAUUUUUUAACAUUUUUUUAUUUCAUCUUGUGGUAUUGUCUGUUUUUAGAUGUACGUUUGAUUCCAUCUGCUUUUGCCGCUUAACCGUGUGACUGUGGUCUCACGUUUGCGUCUGGUACAUUCCUCAAAAGAAUAGUGUGGCCGUUUUAUCCAAACGUCUCUUUUGAUCAGAAUCACUUUGACGUUAGCUGUUUCUUUUGUAAAGGAGCUUUCUCAAUGGAUAUCGUCACUUGGACAAAAAUUAAAUUGACCUCGGUCAGGUUUUCUGUUAGUUAGUAUGGCAGAAAGCACUCACGAUGAAUUCUCCGAUGCCUGGAAACACCCAUCCCUGGCUCUGGGGAUAGGAGGGGUACCUCAUCUCUCCAGCCGGGCCGAGCCCCACCUCAAUGUCCACAAUGACACCAGCAUUCAAGAACUCUUUCAUGUUCUCCCUGAAGCUCGCCAUGUAAUCAGUAUACAUCUAUCACACCCACAAAGGAGAACCAAAUUAAAGCUUCCCACCAUGAGCGUACAUUCGCAUCAAAAUCGCAACUAUAUAUGCCGUUGCCCAGAUUCAUCUGACCAGACCACCGUAUAUAUAUAUGCAAGUAGAGGUGGCUUACCUGAAUUGCAGUUCUUCCGUGGAAGAGAGGCUGGUCGUCCACUCCAAGAGUGAGGUACUCGAUGUUCCUCUUCCCGCUCCGGUUGGUGCAGAAAAUGUCGGGAUCGGUCGCGCCGAUGUCCCGCACCCACUGUGGGAUCGGGAUGUUGACGACGUCGCCGACGUUGCCACCGCACUGGUGGAACGACAUGAUGGCCUGCAGCUUCAGCCCGGCCUCCUGCACCAGCUCGAACACCUGCUUGUAAGCGCUCCAGUCGUAGGCCUUGGGGCCCUUGCCCUCCACCAGGCCCCACCAGACGUCUAUCAUGACGCCAUCGACGCCGGCUUCCGUCAGCUUCUUCAGCUGCGCCCUUAGCUUGUCGCCCUUCUCGAACUUGUUGUCUACGCUCACAACAUCCAGCUGUUUUUUUUUUUCGCCGGGACAAUCAAAUCAGGGUUAGUACAGAAUUCCGUCCAUUCAUGGCUCUAGUCGACUUGUCUAUGAUUUCACGCAUGAACUAGAGUUUAUACAUAUCGCUAAUGUACUACAAUAUGCAUUAGAUCCUUGAAACGGUGUAUCAGUGAAUGGAUGAGCUUAGCUUACAGGGAGCAUGACGUUGACUUGGACAUAGUUGGCUAGCAAGCUCCCCGCCAUUGUGGCUUCUGGCUAUGCAGUACUAUGCUUUGGAAACACUGCGCUGAACUUGGUUUGAUGGAUGCUGCAGGGAGCCUAGGGGGUCUAUUUAUACUGCGAAAGGGUGGUGGGUGGCAGCUGAGAAAAUAUAUUUUCCUCUCAUUGAGUGACGUUUUUUUUUUGGGGGAAAUGUAUUGAGUGAAGGUUGGGUAACUCAUACGUCCGUUUGGAGCGGCGAUGUUUAUCAAGUAUACUAGAAAAAGGUUUCUGAAGUAUAUCCGUUCAGGUUAUUUGAAGCCCCACUUCUGACACCAUGUUCUUUGUGAUCUAGAAACCCGUAGUGUUUCUAGAGAAAAGGCUUUUCAGUUCAGCUUUAUUAGAAAGCCGAACAAGAUUCAGCUGGGAGUUACAGCGUUACAGGAUAGGAUCACCACCAACGUAGCUAAAGUAUCAAAAGGGAUAACAGCACUCCAGCCAGAUGUGCACACAAGCACUACUACCAACAAACUACAAACCUCAACAUAACAGCAUAGACUACACCAGUCCGGAUUUGAUUAACAUUGGCAAGCCGGACCACAUCUUGAAUUUGCUUCAUCAUCGCCUCCAUCGCCAUGCGCCCUUUUUCAUGAAGAGCUAUCCAACGUGUAAGUAACGCCAUGGCUUUGAACACAACCCAUACCGCCAACCUCUUUAGGACGAUAAAGGUCUUCCCACUUCACCGUAUGAUACCUCCUCUUAUCUCCAAUUCCUUCCCAAAUUUUUUCGGCUGAAUAGAGUCUAAUUUCGCAUGAAUUCCCUCAUUCAACUUAUAGAACCCCAUCAUGUAAGUUGGAAUAUUGUCGAAGCAAGCAUCACAAACGGGAGUAAAGUUCUCCAACAACAACUUCUUAGGGGCCACUGGAAUGCCCAGAUAUUUCAAUAGAAAGUGUCCAACUUCACAAUUCAGCAAAGAAGCAAUCCUAUACUGCUCUUGUUCAUCACACCCAACAACAAAGACCUCACUCUUUGUGUAGUUGAUUUUAAGACCCAGCAUCUCCUCAAAACAAUAGAGAAGAAACUUCACCAUCGCAAUUUUUAAGGAACAAAACUGUAUCAUCCGCAUACUGCAAGCGUAAAAUUCCUCAUGGGACAAGAUGCGGCAACAAGCCUCCCAUAUGAUUCUUAUCCUUCGCAGAUUGAAGCAUGAUGGCCAACGCUCACCAAAUUAAAAAGCGGAUCUCUCUGCCGCAAACCCCUAAGAGUCCUAAAAUAUUCAGAAUAUACAGAAACCCGUAGUUUACACGUACGAGUUUUUCACGUACCCAUAAAAUGUGUAAUGCCGAUGGGCUCGAUGCACCGACCACCCAUGCAGGGCCGGCCUACCCGGGCGCGGGGACGGAUGAUGAUGAUUUGACAUGAUGUGAUAUGAACAUGGACGGAUCAUCGUCUCCCCGCCGCGAAUUUUUUUUGCCACCGGUGGAACGGAACCAUCGACGCCAACCGUCCAAUUAAACAACGGUACCAGCGACCGGAAUCGUGAAAUCUCCCUGGCAAACCCGACCCAAAUCCGUCGCACUACGGAACAAAAAAUGUACUACGUAGGCAGGCACUGCCCAAUCAUGGAGCUAAUCUAUGAAGCACGUUCCCAAAAUCGUCCGUGGUUCGGUGCGUGCUGCUUCGUCGAUCUUAUACGUACCACAAAAGCACAUGAGCGCGACGCUUUAUUAAUUCUUGCGGGGUUCACUGUACCUGUCAGACUUAAUUCACGGUCGAUCCACUGAUGGAGCCACUCAUCAAUGCACGUGCCUCUGAGCUGUAGCGUGGAGUCUCACACCACAAUUUCUGUCCAUCUGAUCAGGUCCCCUACGUGGCGAAUCCGUCCAAGAAAAGAAGUGGUAAUUUUCGUGCUUGUUAAGAGUGAUCUGCUGCUACCACUAGACUCGUGUAUGUCGAAGAUUUACUCAUCUGUUGAGUUGUGUUAUCGUGUAAAAACCGUAAGAUGGGAUUAUGUAUGAGGCCAUAGGGGCUUUUCAACCGAAUACCCAUUCGACCUUCUCGAACACCCAGUCGAUGAACUCCGCGAGGUCGCCGCCGACGGUCAUGUCCGUCUCGGGGUCGAACGGGUACGGCGCCUCCGGCGAAGUCGCCUCCAGCAGCUUGUCCACGGGCAUCGCCGGCCUCGACCGCUCCAGGGGCUUCAGCGGCCGGAGGUACCGGGCCGGAUCAGGGCAGUAAUCCUGAAAUCAAACCAACAGCCCAUUGCAUAUUGUCACAAGUAUUGGGCCUAACAGAGCCCAUGUUACGAAACCCAAAGGCGAAUCUUAUGUUGGGGUUUACCUGGUCGGCGUGCAUUUUCCGGACGAAGGUUUUGAAGGCCCGGAACUUGUUCCCGGCCAGGAGCUGCUCCGUCAGCCGGAGGUACGUGACAGCAGCUAGCCGAGGCCGAGCGCCGCCGACGCCGUUGGGCCGCGCGUUCUUGAGCAUCUGGUUGUAGGCCCGGCGGUCAUACCUGGGCAGCGCGUUCUCACAGGCCACCUCGGUCCCCUCCCUCCACCCGGCGCUCAGCACUUGCUGGACGAGCUCCUCCGGCCCGCUAAGGGCCUCCUGGGCCUGCUCCGAGUUCCUCAUCUCCGCGCAGGUGAAGUUGAGCACGGCGCCGUCGUGCCGCGCCAGCAUGCGCGCCACCGGGCCGUAGCCGUCGCGGCCGCCCACGUUGUAGUACCCGGCGGUGAGCUCCGCCGCGUGGCUCGGGUGCCUGUACCACCAGUGGAUCCCGGACACCUUUGCGGCGAGCUUGACGGUGCAGCCCAGGAAGGCUUUGUUGGCUUCGUCCAUGAUCCUGUCCCCGUGCUCGAGCAGCUUGUUGGAGUACCAUGUCAAGAAGAACUUGCCCUUCUCGGUGAGGUACGUCGGGGUGUCGGGGCCGUCCGCCGUGAAGAAGGCCGUGUCGUCUGGCGUGUCGUUGUACUCUCCGGCGUCGUCCGGGAGCUCCCACUCCGGGUGCCCGGCCUCCGCCGCCGCCGCUCUGAAAUUCUCCUCCAGGUACCUGUCGUAGCACUGCAGCAUAGCAACGCCGUUUAGUUAACAAUCUGAAGCAAGGCUCACCAAACAAUUGCAGAGUACGUAGUGCUUCUUGUUGUUCUGAAAGUCUUGUCAGUUGGGCAGAGAGGGAUAUAUAUAACUAGGAGGCCUACUUGGAACUGUCCGAUGCCGGGGAACGCCCACCCCUGGCUCUCGGGGUAGGAUGGGUACCUCAGCUCGCCGGCAGGGCCAAGCCCGACCUCGAUGUCCACGAUCAGUCCAGACUCCAGGAAGUCCGCCAUGUUCUCUCUGAAGCUCUUCAUGAAAUCGGCGUACAGCUGCAGUACACGUCGUCCGCGAUCAAAUUAACUGUCUUUGAUGGUUAUAUCCUGCAAUUUUCAACGGACAGAGCAUCCGUGUAUACAUACCUGGAUGGCAGUUCUGCCGUGGAACAGGGGACGGUCGUCGACGCCGAUGGUGAGGUACUCCUGGUUCCUGGCCCCGCCGGGGCUCGUGUAGAACACGUCCGGGUCCGCCUCCCCGACUUCCCGGACCCACGCCGGGAUCGGGAUGUUGACGGCGUCGCCGACGUUGCCGCCGCAGGCGUGGAACGACAUGAUGACCUGCAGCUUGAGCCCUGCCUCCUGCGCCAGGCGGAACAGCUCCCUGUACGCGCGCCACUCGUACCGCGCCGGCCCGGCGCGCUCCACGAUGCCCCACCACACGUCCGCCAUCACGCCGUCCACGCCGGCCUCGCGCAGCCGCCGCAGCUGCGCCCGGAGCGCCCCCGCGCCCUCCACCUCGUUCUCCGCGGUGAUCACUUCCAGCUGCGUUAAUUACAACGUUGAAUCGCCGACCGUAAGCCAUAAUAGUUGUCGAAACCACAUGGGUUUGCUCUGUUUCUUACUUACGGGGAGCAUGACGAAGACCGGGACGUAGCUGGCCAGCGUCUUGUCCUCGUCGGCGUCCGAUGGCGGGGGCUGUGGUGCAGGAGAAGUCUGCGCGGUCUCGGCGGCGACAGCUCGGACGGAGGCGGCCGCCGCCCUCCCGGAAUGGACGACGAGCCGCCCAGUGCUUGCCGGUGGAAGGGGCGCCGACGCCCUUCUACGGCAGCUUCCCCAUGGCUGCACCUUGACCUGUGAUGACGGUGAGGUCGCGAGCAUGGUGUGUGUGUGUGUGUAUGCAUUUCUUGAUUGCCUUCUCUUCGAGUGUCUGAUGUACCACUGCGAUUUUGCCUUGUUCGGUCGACGAUAUUUUGGCGUGUCUGUGCUGUGUAUGUAAGUGGCCGGCCGGUCGCCGUUGCCAUGGGAUCCGCGUGACACACGAAUCUGCUCCCUUUCUUCGCGAUGUGUAGCCAUGGGAGGAGGAGCCUGCCCGGACCUUCCUGCGGGUGUCCAUCUGAAGGUGUGGUUUGCGUGAGCCGUGUGUUUUCUGCGGGUGUGCAUCGCUCGUUUUUGUCCGUAGCUUUUCCUGUUUUCGUCGUGAACGUUUGGUGUUGGAGAGAGGCUUGAGGUUGUUUGUAUCUUUGGAGCUAGCUCUAGCAAGGUUGCAGAUUCUUAGGGCCUCCGCAAUGUGCGGCAAAUUGGGAUGUCAAAUUGUCAAUCUAGACUUUGAUACCGGUGUACACACUGUAGAGGUGGUGCCAAAUCAGAAAAAAAUGGGUACGAGCACCUUCCGGCUUCGAUGCUGUCAACCCCGGGAAUACCAGAGUAUCCCGCCCGGGAGUGUGGCUCGCAGGAACUAUCCAAAGACUUGGCACAUCUCCGAAAAGAGUUCGACUGGGGCUCCGCGAAGGCGUCUGCCACCACCCGCGGGAAGGAAUGUGUCUGCCGUGGCAUCAGCUAGUCACGAGCGAACUCUUUGGCGUCCCGUCGAUUGGUAGUUUCGCGUCCAUGGACUCCGACGAAGUCAACAGGGCCUGCGAACCGUGGGCAUGACGAUCCUCACGCAUGGCUAGAGGCUGGAUGCAGCGAGCUCAUCCCUUACUUUUGAUCAGGUAAAGUCCUUUGUGCAGAGUUUCACCUCACCGGACUCGACAAGUCCUGAAGACCCCCCGCGCCACGGACGUGGCGCAGUACGCAUGUACAUAACCACACAGCACACAGGGCAGCCGACCAGCUUCAGAUUCAUGUUGCAGUGCGGAAAUCCCCUUGCAGUAAAACCCUAGCCGCCACUGUGGUGACCCCUUACCACUGUAAAAGAAGGGCCAUGGCUUCCAUAGCAAGGAUCGGAUCAUACUGCGGCCAAUUGAGCCGCCCUCCAAGGUUGAGAGCUCACCCUUGUAAUCAAGAAACAACCACCAUUUCAACAAAGCAGGACCUAAGUUUUACACCUCCAGGUAAGCUGGACAUGGGUAAAUAUCCCCGUGUCUUGAGAUUGAAGAAGAGGCUUGUGUCACUCUCGCAUUCCAACACCAAACCACAAAGAUUGGUUUUUGUUUGAGGGAAAAGAAAUAGUAGAUCAAUUGAUCUACUGUAACAGAGAAUAUGUACAAUGAUUAUCUAAAGUUUCUAAGCCAGUCAAUCAUGUCCGGAAUAGAUUUUCUCUUAGCACGACGGAAAACAAGAUUCAUUUCAUCUCUGAAGAUGGUGUCCUGACUCCCGGUAUCAGUGUGCAAAAUUGUGUCGUGCUACAUUUUUUUGUGAUGAGUCGAGAGAGUUACAUAAUGUUUUUAUUUUGAGUUGGGUCCUACUCCGCCGGUAAAACUGCGGACAUUGGAGACCAACAUUGCUUUUGCUAAACUUUAGCUAUUUUCUCCGACACAUAUUACUUGUCUGAAAUUUGUCAAAUAUGAAUAUAUCUAUGUUUAAGAUGGAUAGUAGGGAGUAGUUGAUUUUUUUUUCAGCGUCAGUCGCUUUGAUUUUGGCGCACGAAUUCUUUACUCCACGUCGGGCUGCUGCGUGUCCCGGCUCUCCGCGUCCGGCUGUUGCCCUUGGGCUGCUGUUGGUCUUUUUCGUUUUCGGCUGGACUGGAUAUUUAGGCCGAGCCCGUGCCGGGGCUGAGUUCUCUGAGUUGUCCCCCUUUUAUUUCAUUUAGCAGUGUUCUUUUCUUUUUUUACGAGGAAUUUAACAGUGUUCUUCGGAGAGCUCUAGAGAGAAGAGGGGGAGAAGAGAAGAAAGGGACAGCUUCGAGGGAAUUCGGCAAUGCUGCGGCGGUUGUUGGGAAACGGGAUGCUGCAACAGGAAGCGGCCUCGUCUAGCUCGGUAUGGAUUUUGCUCUUCAAAUCCCACGCUCGUUCAUGCUAAAAUGUCCCCGUGUGUUUUGUUUUACUGUCUUUUUCUAGACCACCGUGUGAUGAAUUCAGCUUUGUCAUUGGAUUUUUUUUCUGUAGCACAAAGUGGUGUUGGUAAGCAUUUAAUUUGAUGGCAAAUGACUGAUAGAGAUUUCUCGCAAAAAAAAAAGACUGAUAGAGAUGCACAAAGAGAGAGCAGUAGUAUAAGAUUUACUUAUGUCGGCAACUAUUGAGAUUUUUCUUUUUCUUUCGAGUCUCUGUCUGAACCGAUAUUUCUAUUCUAAGCAUUUGUUUCUGAGUUUAUGUCCAUGUAUUUUUGCCAAUUGGUUAGUGCUUCUAUGCACUCCGUACGUGUAUUUAACACCUAGUUUGGUUUACUAAUAGAAACCAAAAUUUGAUGCUGCGGCUAUUUGGGCACUUAACGGAGGAAUGUGCGUGUAAGAGAAAAUAGAUAGUUCUGAAUACCGUGAGUCAUCCAUUUCUCUACUCCCUCCGUCUCAUAUUAAGUGAUUCAAAAUUGUUCAAAUAUGAAUGUAUCUAUACCUAAAAAAGUCUAACGUCUAGAUACAUGUAAGAAAUCACUUAAUAUGAGACGGAGUGAGUAUGUAAUAGUGACCACGUUCUUUAUGUUAUUCAUUUUGUUCGCAGAGUUGAGGGCUGUGAAAAUAGAUUCUUAACUGGUUUGCCAACAUUGUCUAUUGUUUGUAGAAGGCAAAUUUCUAUUGUAUUAAAAUUCACAUUUCUUAGCAUUUAAUUAAUUACCUUUAUUCAUCUAUGCAUUAAUUGUAAGAUAUUACACUAAGAGAUGAUUUGGUGUACAACAUGUUUUGUUGUCUUUUCUAAAUGAGGUGAAACGCACAAGAGAAUACAGUCUUAUCAACCAUUGUAUAUGUACUUAUGUGUUUCAUGUCAUUUAAAAAAUAUAACAAAAUAUGUUGUACAAUAGCUUAUCUUUUAGUGUCAUGUCUUACCAUUAAUGCUUACAUGAAUAAAAUUAACUAAAUAAAUAUGCUAAGAAAAUGUAAAAUCUAGAGUACAAUGAAAACUUGCUUUAUCCUUCUUGUGAAAAUCAUCUCUUAAUUAAGAAAAGACUCGUGCCUUUUGUUCAGUUCUCUCACUUACACGCCAGAUUUUAUCCUACGUGAUAUUGUUAAGAAAAAGCUGAUGUCACCCCAUUGUACUUGUCCUUAUUCGAUUUGUAACUUCACGUCACAUAAUUACAUACUCUCUCCGUCACACAAUUCUUGUCUCAAAUUUGCCCAAAUAUGAAUAUAUCUAUUCCUAAAAGGCGUCUAGAUACAUGUAAUAUUUUAACAAGUAUGAAAUGGAAGGAGUAUUGGUAAGUUAUGAUUGGUCAAAUCUUUUCUUAACGAAAUUAAAUACGUCAAUCUUUAUAAGAAAUGAGAAGAGAAUGAUGAUAAAAGAUGUAUCCUGCCCAACUGGGCGAGAAACUAUGCUAGGAGUGUACCGAAGCGCACACAAAGAAAUCUCAGAAGGAAUAGGAAGCAGUUUAUUGGAACGCAAAAAAAAAAAUCAGUUUAUUGGUACACUGACCAAUACGUAGGCCGUGACGUGGUGAAGCUACGUCAGGAAAGCACAUCCGGCAACAGUCAGUCAUCCUCACGGUCCCGAAAGUUUUCAAUGUUUAUUAUUUGCAGAGCAGCAGGACAAGACAAUCAUGCACUAGUCUAGUGAUCUUCACCGGAUGCACUAGCACGCUGCAGUAGAAUAAGAGAUUUAGAGCGAGAGUGAAGGCCGGCACAACCUGCGUCCUGGACUCCUGGUGCUCCGCCAUGGCUUCAAGCGGCGAGCAGCGAGAACACACGGUGGCGCUGCUCGACAGCCCUGCAGCAGAGGUCUGCCUCUCUCCUGUUGAUUUAUUCAGCGAGGAUAUAUGCUCUUUGAUUUCUUCUCUAGUCACUCGGCUACUCGCUUUUCUCCGGCAUAUAGAGGACAAAUGGAUGUUUAGCUUCUAAAUUUGGCUGGGGAUUUCCUUGCGGCAGGUAGAAGGAGAAUACACCAUUGACCAAUCGCUCGACUUCGAUGGGAACCCCGCGCUGAAGCAUCAUACAGGCGGAUGGCGCGCGUGCCGCUCGGUUCUCGGUAAUCCUCCUCCUCUGAUUGAUAUCUGCCGAAGAUCUGUUGCUAGUUUGCCUGCAAUGGGUAGUAAUAUUCGGUGUUCCUUCCUGGUUCUUAUUCUGUCCGGCCGCCGGCUGCUUGUUGUUGGAUGGCACUACCACUGUACACACGGCAGCCACGGAGUUCUGCUACUGCCUGGCGUACAGCGGGGUCUCGCAGAACCUCGUCACCUACCUGACCACCGUUCUGCGGGAGAGCAAUGUCGCCGCCGCGAAGAACGUGUCCACCUGGCAGGCCACCUGCUUCCUCACACCGAUCGCCGGCGCCGUCGUGGCCGACUCCUAUUGGGGAAGGUACCGCACCAUGGUGGUCUCCUGCUCCAUGGGCGUCGCGGUCAGUUCCCUCGCUACUCUGCACUUCCAUUAAUCACUGGAUUUUGCUUUGCCCCGACCCAUUCGAUGAUCUCUGUUUUAUUUUGCAGGGCUUGGUCGUGAUAGCGCUCUCGGCGAACCUGCCGCUGCUCACCAAGAACGCCGAGCUGUUCACAGGCUUCCCUACCCUGGUCUCAAACCUGGCGUCAGCUCAGGAGUCGGUCCUGUUCCUCGGCCUCUACAUGACGGCCUUCGGGCUAGGCGGCCUGCGUCCAUGCCUCAUGUCCUUCGGCGCCGACCAGUUCGACCACAACGACCCGCCGGAGCGCGCCAGCAAAGGCUCCUUCUUCAACUGGUACGUCUUCACCAUGAGCUGCGCGUCGGUGGUGUCCAGCACCUGCGUCGUGUGGGCGCAGGAUCACUUCGGCUGGCCGCUGGGCCUGGCGAUCCCCGCGGCGGUGCUGGCCGUCGGGCUGGCCUGUCUGGUGUCGGCGUCACGGAGGUACAGGUUCCAGCGAACCCAAGGCAGCCCCCUCACCAGAGUCUGCCAGGUCCUUGUCGCGGCUGUCUGCAAGUUCAACGCUCAGCAGCCGGCCGAUCGCUCUCUCCUCUACGAGCUUCCGGAAGACGGCUCCAUGAAAGGGAUCCAGCGGAUAGAGCACACCAAUGACCUCCAGUUUGUUGUUCCUUCCUACCAACUCACUGCGAUUAUCAAUUCCAUCUAGUCCAAGUUCUUGAGAUACACAUUGCGCGCUUAUACUCGAUCCAUAUCAGGUUCUUUGACAAGGCUGCCAUUGUGCUCGCUUCUGAGGCGGCAGAGGAGGAGGCAACCUUGCCGCCGGCGCGCAACCCGUGGAGACUAUGCAUCGUGACGCAGGUGGAGGAGCUUAAGAUUCUCGUGAGGAUGGUCCCGGUGUGGGCGAGCAUCGUCUUCUACUACGCCGUCUCGGCGCAGGUCUCGUCGACGUUCGUCGAGCAGGGCAUGGCGAUGGACACCAAUGUCGGCCCCGUCCGCGUCCCCCCGGCUUCGAUGUCCGCCUUCGACCUGCUCACCGUCGUCGUCCUGGUCCCGCUCUACGACCGACUGCUGGUCCCGGCUGCCAGGCGGCUCACGGGCAGGGCAAAGGGCAUCUCGGACCUGCAGAGGAUCGGCGCCGGCCUCGCCAUGCCAGCGCUCGCCAUGGCCGCCGCCGCGCUCGUCGAGACGGAGCGCCUCCGCCGCGCGCCCUCGGGGCCGGCGAUGAGCGUGCUGUGGCAGGCGCCGCAGUACGUGCUGAUGGGCGUGGGCGACGUGCUCGCCACCGUCGGGCAGCUCGACUUCUUCUACAGCCAGGCGCCGGCAUCGAUGAAGACCGUGUGCACGGCGCUCGGAUUCCUCGUGAUGGCGGCCGGGAGCUACCUGAGCUCCUUCCUCCUCGCGGCUGUCGAAUGGGCGACGGCGGCCGGUGGCCGGCCUGGGUGGAUCCCGGACGAUCUUGACCAGGGGCACCUGGAUCGCUUCUUCUGGAUGAUGUCUGGGCUGGCUUGCCUGAAUCUAGUUGCGUUUGGGAGCUGCGCCGUGCGGUACAACUCUAGAAAAGCUUCCUGAGCUUCACACUUUCACGGUGGACAGUGAUUCCUUCCUUGAAGUGUGAAGGCCGAGAUCUACAUAUCAUUCACCGAGUGUGAUGACUUAUUGCUGAGAUUGGAUCGAGUUCUUCUUUUUUCUGUUUGACACAUUGGAUCAAGUAAAUCUCCAGUGGCGGAGGUCCCCGUAGGGCAAGGUGGGGGCCGCAGACUUGCAUUUGGAUUGUGAGAGCACAAGCCUCCGAGCGAGGAGCUGCCCACCUCCAGCUUCUUGGAGGAGAAGUCGCCACCUAAAUUUAAUUAGGCUAUCAAAUUAGUUUGGACUAAACUAUUUUGGAUGUUUAACUAAAUCUGAGAUACGGCUUCUCCAGGAAGCUACGUGAGAGCAGUUUUUAGGAGAAACCGGUUCUAAAAUCCGAAAAAAACGCACCCCUAUUCCACCAUAUCUUAUUCUCGCCCUUUUUUUUUAACUUUUGCGAAAAGCAUCUUCUCACCCUUAGGCUGACAUGCAUACGUAAUAACCAACAUGUGUAUAUGCCAUCUCUAUCGAUAGGUCAUGUAACUACUGACCACAUGUCUGGCCGUGAGUUGAAUUAUACUCCUUCCAACUCACAUUAAACUCAAAAUUGCCCAAAUAUGAAUGUAUCUGUACCCAGAAAACGUCUAGAUACAUGUAAUAUUUCAUCACCUAAUAUGGGACGGAGGGAGUAGAAUGUUUGUUUGUCGAUAAAAAUACUAUCCGCCAGCGAAAAAACUCGUUUUGUUAUAUUUAAGUUGACUGAUUUUAGUUAGAGAUAAGUUGAUUCCUCAACCAUGUAUAUGAUUUGUGUUUUAAGAUACGAAAUGGAUGCUGAAAAAAAAAGAUAACGAAACCUACGUACUAAUCCAACGGAUCUGAUUCGUCAAUUUAGAUUUAAUCAUUUUCUUAAAAAUAAGACAACUUAGAUAUAGCCACACACAAAAAAAGUUAGCUGAAUCAGCUCAAUCGAUGGCAUAUGUCCAUGGACAAAACUAUCUAGUCACAAACACAUAGCCGUACAAGGCCAGUUUUACCAAUAGACUAUGUGGCACCUAAGAUAGGACGUGGCAGUGUUAUAUGAAAAAAAAAGUUGUCGUGGAGGGACAACGCUUGAAUUAGAAGGUGUUAAUGGACGAUAAUGUAAGCAUCGAUGUAAAAAUUAGUUGCAAAUUGGAGGUGUACGACGACUUUAUAAAAAAGUGUCAUCAUACGCUCAACAAUAUUUUUUUUUGUAAAAUACACAUAAUCGGGACUUCGUUAAAUAGGUUCGACUCUCUUGUGGAGUGCAAACCUACCUACUCCUAUGUUAGGAGAAGCGGCUUUUCAAAAAAAAAAUGUUAGGAGAAGCGGUGACUGUCGUGCUUGGGGAGUUUGGUCGGUUCGUCACACUGACUUCGUAACUCUACAUACUUGGGUCACUCGGUCGGUUCAUCCCUUGUCUCCUUCCCUUGAGUUCAUUCUUUUUUUCAAGUGAUAAAUGAAAUGAGAUACAAGUCCGAACCAUAGGUACCUUGAGGGAUGAGAAAUGUUAGGAUAAAAGUGCAAGUUAGAAACUAGAGUAGGAUCAUCCUAUUCUUCUUAUCAUGCUCUAGCGCUUUAAGUCCAUUUCUUCCGCGCGUGCAUCCUUUUGUGCCAUUUUAGCUCUUAUUGGCUUAUUAUCUUACUCUAGGUGGCUUGGCUAAUCCUCGUUGGCACCUUGACCAGACAAUUUUUUUAUUGCCCUUGUCUUGUGCCAUGUAGGAUUACCGGUCUAGCCCAUAUAAGAAAACUAUUAUUCCCCAUCAUAUUUAAACUACUCAAGUAUUGGUAGAGGCACACUUUAUCUCCAAUCUCCUUUUCAGGAUAUUUAACAUCUUUAGAGUAACAAAACCAUAUCAAAUAUUAGUAAAAUAAAAAUAGAUUUUUUUCUGAAGUUGAUACAAAUGAAAAAGGGGAAAUAAGAAAUUAUAAAAUAUUAAAUAUGAUAAGUAUUUUUGAAAAUAGAUCCUCACUAAUCGUAAAUCCUCUAACAAAAUUAGAAAAAAACACUAAAAAACUCUUUAAAAUUCUGGAAAUUUGUCAAAUUUUGUGUCAAACAGGCUAAGCUAACCUUGAGGCCCAUAAUACACUACCACUUUCUGUAUCCAAGCCCAGCAUCUUUAGGCCCAGUAGUUCUAGACGGCUAGACCCAUUUGUCCGUACUCGUUAACCUCGUGCUCCCCCUCUUGGCUUGAUCCUUAUCUCGGCGUCGGAGCCCACAACCGCUUCCCAUCCUCCUCCUUCCCCGGACCGCCCACCACCCCGAAUAUCCCCCAAAUCCCGACGCGACCGCGAAACCCUAGGCCACCGUCGCCGGCCACGGCGAGCCUCUCCGCCGCCAUGGCAUCUCCGGAAGGCUCCAACUGGGUCUUCGACUGCCCCCUCAUGGACGACCUCGCUGUCGCCGACUUCGCCGCCGGACCUGCAGGAGCAUUCUACUGGACGCCGCCGAUGCAGCCGCAGAUGCACACUCAGGCGCAGGCCGUCUCCGCCGCGUCGCUUCCCAACCCCUGGUAAUUGCGGCUUCCCGCCUUCUCGGCCUCGAUCGCGCUCAUCCGCGGCUGGCUUGGUGGUUCUAUGGUUUGGGCUAUACAUUCCGUUCCCUGAUUUGCUGCCUCUGUGUACGUAUGUUACCACCUGUAGCGUAAAUUGUGAUCGUUAUAACAUAACUGCUGUUAGCAGGCGUGCGAUUGUAGAUUGGUAAAGCCUAUUAAUGGAAUUUUGAUCACAACUAGAAUUACAUGCAUGUGAAAAGAUUGAGAACGUACGGAACUCCUUACAUGUGGGUUCUUCGUUUUCAAAAUUAUUUUCGCGUGUUAGUACUUAGGACUGGUGUUAGUUCUGACAAGGGUAUUACUAUUUGAGGAUAUGGUUCUGUACAUGGAUGUUACAUGGGCCUUUUCUGGAAGGUGUGUGCAGGAAGGGCUAUUUGCAAUCUGUAUUGCUCAUUUGGUUUCCGCACACAUACAUAUAUAUGCAACAUAGAAGGCAUACACAGCGCCAUGCUUCUUCUGAGUGAGAUGAACAAGGGAAGAGUUCAAAUGAAAAUGGUUAACAUGGUCAUCAGCGAUUUUAGGGAUGCAGCUGCUUCUUCUAUCUGUGGGUCGGAUUCAUGUUGAGUAUCAAGCUGAUGGUAUCAGAUUUAUAUGGCGGAAGUUUGUCUUUCAUCUGUGAUCUAUAUUUCCAGAUCAAGAGUUUGUAAAAUCAAUUGCAUUACAUGUUUCGAGUUAGAUAGUGUAGUGAGAAAUGCCAUAAUUUUUCCCAUUAACAGCUGUAUUAAUGAUCAGAAAAUGGGUGAGGUUGGGGUUGUUAGAAAGGCCCAUCUUUGCGGAUCCCUGCAUGAAGCCUAGCAUGCAAUUUAAAUUAUUUAAAAUGUUUCCAAGUUGAGAACUAUUUAUAGUUACACUUUGGCAUAUGAGGCUAUGCUUUGAUUUAUCGACUUAUCAUAGUAUUUAGCUGUCAUAUUCGGUGCAUGAACAGAGGUGACCCUGUGUGCUGUUUAAUGUAGACCUUCUUUUUUCUCGAAAUGGUAUUUCACCUAUUGUAGGUUAUUAUAUACUAAAUUUGUGAGAGUUUGGUAUUGUCGUUGAUAUGCUAAUUUUGUGCGCUGCUUAUUAUUGUGCACUAUAUUGUGAAUUUUACAUUCUUAACUGCAAAUUUACCUUUUCACUAGUGCUGAAAUCAAUAGCCCUGUCUCUCUGGACUGUGAGCAUGCCAAAGGACAUCCAACAAAUAAACGGUUUGUUUGUGUCUAUGCCUUUUGAAUUCCAUAUUUCAACCAUACUUUUCAUACCUUUUUCUGUUGAAUGUUGCCAACUUAGUACGAAAAUGCUUCAGUCCCAGGUCAGAAAGUAGUGCCCAACCUAGCUCCAAAGCGUGCAGGGAGAAAGUGAGAAGGGACAAGCUAAACGAGAGGUAUGUCCCUGCCAGCAAUUGUUCUUUCAAGCUGUUUUUCUUGCUGCAGCAUUCUAUCUGAAAGCAACAGUGGAGCUUAUGGUCUUCUUUUGUUAGGUUCUUGGAACUGGGUGCUGUCUUGGAUCCAGGGAAGACGCCUAAAAUAGACAAAUGUGCUAUAUUGAAUGAUGCUAUUCGUGUGGUAACUGAACUGCGUAGCGAAGCAGAGAAGUUGAAGGAUUCAAAUGAGAGUCUCCAAGACAAGAUCAAAGAACUUAAGGUCAGUCCUGCUCACAUGGCUUAGAUGUUUAAGCAGUACCAUCCGGCAUCUCUCUCUCGUGAUUUUAUUUGCGUUAUCUACAUACAAUAGAUCUGAUAUUCCACAAGAUUUUCUCAACCUGCUUUGCUGUAUAUGGCCUAAAGACCACUGUUUGUUGACUACACAGGCUUUUGGAUUUCCAGCGAUCUGUCAAAUCUUCUGCCUCUAUAUAUAUAUACUUGUUUUAAGUUCUUUGUUUAGACACUGCUUAUUCUCCAUUAAAUUAUUGUCUAGAGGUCUUGUCUUUCAACAUAUUCAUGAGAUAAUUUGUGGUAAAGCGAUCAUCUGACAAAUAAAAUGAUUUUGAGAUCCUUUGAUUUUUCAGUCUGAGAAGAAUGAGCUGCGGGAUGAGAAGCAAAAGCUGAAGGCGGAGAAGGAAAGCCUGGAGCAGCAGAUUAAGUUCAUGAAUGCCCGUCAGAGCCUCGUACCACACCCUUCGGUUAUUCCGGCUACUGCAUUCGCUGCCGCCCAAGGGCAAGCAGCUGGACAGAAGCUGAUGAUGCCUGUCAUUGGCUACCCAGGAUUUCCCAUGUGGCAAUUCAUGCCACCUUCUGACGUUGAUACCUCUGAUGAUCCGAAGUCAUGCCCUCCUGUUGCAUAGGCCAGCAAAAAUCAUUUGCCUCAUCUAUCUUGAGGGGAAGGGGGCAAAACUGCCUUCCAUUCAAGUUUAUUUUGGCCGCCGUCAGUGUUACUAUUGUAGUCACACCCAGAACAGAACUGAACUGAAGCCUCUUCUUCGUAUCAGCCGGUGACAUGUGAUGUCCUGUGACACCGUUGUAUAUGUUAGUAAAUAAAUACCAUCCGUUGAAGCAAAUGCGAUUAGACGUUGUAGAGUUAUUGUCGUUGAACCUUUUCUUUUUAUUUUCAUUGUUGCCCUGUAGCCUUGUUUGCUUGUCGCCCGUGAUUUGGUAUAACACAAGUAGGUUGUAGCUGGUUGGUUCAUCUUGGAUUGAGUUGGCCUCGCGAUUCUUCCAUGCGAAAACGAAGUAACCAGGGAUCUGAGGGAUGGAUGCAUCUGUGGUCUAUCAUGAAUUGUUGGCAAAUGGGUACGACGUGAUGACCUCUCCUAGCUUAGCAAGACGUGCCCUCCACUGAUGCCGUACUAAUUUACUUUCUCCAGCAAUAUCUUACAAAAAUAACUCCUUUUGUUUUGUACUUUCUUGCCAGUUUCAUCGCCUUUGCUUACCUGCAACCGAGGCAUCUGUCGCGUCUAUUCCUUGUUCCUAGUGUUUCCAGGAGCAAAUGUGCGAGGAAAACAAUAAAUUCACAGCAAGAUGCACAAAAGAGAUGAAACCAGGCAAUGAUUGAUCUGUUUAUAAUUUACCUCUGGUUUCAUCUUAAUUUGGAAACGUGGAGCUUCGGCUCCCUGUCUAUCUAAAGAAAAUCGACUAUGUACAUCGAUCGAUAUAGAGACCGGGUUUGCCUUCUUUUUCAAAAAAAAAAAUCUGACAACAUAAUUUAUCAGAUGAGAAUUGUGGAUAAUAGACGUGUGUACAAAAGCAGAUUUGCACAAGAGUGCCUUUGCACAAAUCGAAAUGUAGUAUCAAAGACCUGUUUCAAAAUGUAGUUACAGAGUAGGAAGUCGUGUCCAUGCACGAAAUGAACAAGGAAUCAACACAUGAAAAAUAAAAUAAAUGAAAACAAGUACAGAAAAAAAAAAGGGAAAGCCUCUGGUAAGACUUUAGUACAAACUCUUUGUACCAAACGUACGUGUAGAGAUCGUGCAAUUGCUCAAAUUAAUCCAAUUAAUUACGCGGCCAUGGCCACGAGGGCGGCCAGCGCCAGCAGACCGGCGACGUGAUACCGCGGCGGCGCGGACGUCAGGGACACGGAGCCGGAGGUUCCGGGGGCGGGGAUGGUGGCCUUCGUCGGGCCGCCCGCCGGCGCGCUCCUGGCGGCGGCGUCCGCGAAGGUGUCCGCGGGCGGGGAGGGGAGCGGCGAAGGAGAAGGAGCGGCGGCUGCGGCUGCGUCUGCUUUGAUCUUGGCGGCGAGGGCGGCGUCGUAGGGCACGGUGGUGACCUGGAGGUGCAUGGUGCCGUUGGCGCAGUGGCGCGGGAUGCCGCAGAUGAAGUAGCGCGUGCCGGCCUCGGCGAGCUCGAACACGGUCUCGCCGCCCGAGUGCGUGGAGAUGGGCUUCCCCGUCGCGCAGCUGCCGUAGUCCGCCUCCGUCACCUCCAGCACGUUGUGGUACGCCUCGUACUUGAAUGCUGCGGUUAAUUAUAUUGUUACCUUUUUGACAUGGGCACAUACAUGGCCUGAUCAUAGUGAGAAGAUUAUCGAGAAGAAGAAGCAGCAGGAGGAAGAGAUAUGUCCGUACUAAGGGUGUCGCCGAUCAUGAAGGUCUUGCCGGCCGUCCACUUGUCGUAGUCGACGUACGUGUCCCAGCCGAUGGAGUCGUCCACGGUGUAGUCCACCGCCAGCGCCGUCGUGGCCAACGCCGCCGCGACCGCCAUGGCUGCGAGAAAUGCUCCGCAGCUGGACUUCAUGACUCCCGAUCGAUGGAGGAGGAUUAGUCGUUUGGUUCUGUGAUCUCUCGUCUGAGCGAUGUAUUGCUACGUUGGGGGUAUAUAUACCGGGAGCUAGCUAGAGCAAGCAAAAUAAGACUUUCCUCUUCUUUGCCCUCUGUUCAUGGCCUGCCAUGAAACAUGCGUCUGAGUAGCUAGCUAGGCUAGGUUACAUUCGAUCAGUUGGCAUAUUUGGAAUUAAUUGAAAUUAUUAACACGUGAGUACAUCGCACCUGGUUGAUUUUUGGAGCGCCAAGUUGACUUUUUCUUUAAUUUGCUAGGCUUUGUAUUGUAUUUUGAGUUGCAGUCACUAUUAUUUAUUUAUUACUCGAAUAUGAAAUUACUUGAACGGUAUUGACGAUACGUGCUUGUAUCACUUUGACAUGCGAGAUUCUUUCAGUAUAAAUAAUUGAUGAAUCAUGAAUGAUGAUUAGCUCCUCUACGUGAGCACACGUCCCUUGCUUCGUCCGUACCGAUCGAGAAUAGCUAGCGUGUUCGUGGCUUCGUGCUUCGCAUGAUCGAUCAAACAUUAAUUUCAUUAUAGGUGGUUUCAGAACGAGUUGUCAUUAAUUAUACAGUUCUCUUUUCUUGUUUUUUCUUCUUAGAAGCAGAAGUCGUCAACCUAUUCUGAAUCCGUAGUGGUGUGGAACAGCCCUUCUCCUCCCCCGCGUCGUCACUCCCGCGGGCGGCACGGGGGCAAACCCUAGCGCCGCCGCCACCACUCUUCCCUCCCCUUCUCCUCCCUCGCUGCCGCCUCUGAGGCUGCCGCCGGCUAAGCCCGGGUCGUGGUCGAGGACGGUGGCGGGGAGGGCUCCUGUCUUGGCGGCGUUUGCGGUGGCAGGGAGCGCUGCAGGGGUCGGCUUGGCAGCAGCUGGGCGCGGCUUCGGCGGCGUGUGCGAGGGCGUCCCCAGCCUGCUGCGCGGCAGAUCCGGCGGUGGAGCGGCGUUUCCGGCGGCUCGCGAUGGUGUGGGCGCGGGCCGAGCCCGGGUUGGGCGGCCGGUGCUGGUGGCUUGGCACGGCGUCGUGGCUGAGUGCGGCUCCCCAGCGGCAUGGCAGGACCUCCCGACGGUGUGCGGCCUCUUUUGUGGCGCCGUGGUGACGCGGCUUUUGGGCCGCGACGUUCGUCUUGGUGGGGCUCCCUGCUCGGGGUUGGCAUCACGGAUGGCCAACGUCGAGUGGAAGGCGUGGUGGAAUAGCCGGAUCUGGGCGGGGUUGUGUUUGAGCUGCACUGGGCGAAAGCCAUGGCUCCGUUUGUUACCUUCCUAAAGGCGUCGAUUUGGUGCAGAUCUCCUCCCCUCGACCAGACCCCAUGCUCCAGGGGAAACCCUAGAUCCAGGUCUUCUCGGAUCGGGCGAUGUCGAUGCUUGGCAUCAUUUCCCUCUUGGGGGCACCGCUUUGGAGCAGGAACCGGCUAGAGGGAUCAGUGGCUUGGUGGAAGGUGGUGGCUGCCCCAGUGUUCGUGGGCGACUUCAGUGGCAGCGACGAUGGUGUUGGGCAGAGGUUAGGCUGCGGCGUCGGUUCUAGUAGUCGGUCUUUCCGACCUAUCCGUUGGCUUUCCAGGAGUGGUUGCUUUCAUUGUUGGAGAGUCAGAGUCGCCAGCUCAGGAGGAGUAAUGCGUGAUGACGAUGACUUGGUGGGAGGUGGUCCGAUUUUUGGGGUUCCUUUUUGGCGCAGGCCUUGCAUAGUGCCCCUCUGAAGCUCGCCAUCAGAAUCGGCGUCUUUUGUUCGCCUGCGAGGAUGACCGACUGUUUGGCAUGGGCCGGUACGAGCUUGCGUGCCAUUGGAGGCGGAGUCCCCGUUCUUGGACGCUAGUGGGGGAAGUCGAAGUCGCCAGCUCAGGAGGAGUGUUUGUGUGAUGACGAUGACUUCUGCGUGCAAUCUUCCUUCAUUUGCGUGCGUUGAGUGAAUGUGGGUGGCCAGGUCGGUUAGUUAGGGUGGUCCAUGGUGCGGUCAUGUUACAUGACGGUAUUAUGGACGUUUUGUUACGGUUUUUGUCCGGUUUUCCGUUAAUUAACUGAGCAAUUCUAUUUUUUUUAAUUAAUAGAUCGAGUCCUUCCGACUCCGGUUCGAAAAAUAAGAAGAAGUCGUCAACCUAAUGUAUGUCUGUUGUGCGAAAAGAGUUAUUUCUAGUCUUCCAAUUUCGGUGUUCUUGAUUGUAUCUUUCUCUUCUUCUUCUUUCUUUUCUUUUUCUUGAAGCGGUUUUUUGUUGAAAUUUGCAAAAAAAGAAUGCAUUUUUUACACUUGAGGAAAUAUAUAUUUUUUUGAGAAAAAUUUAUGCACAUAGAGAAUAGGUAAAAACAUUUAAUUCUAAAUUUUCAUUAAAAACAGAGAUCAUUUACGUUCUUUGAAAAAAAAACAAAAUGACACAAUGAAUUUCCGGCCUGCCUAAGCCGACCUGCAGCGUUCCUAGUGACAGCGACAAUCAGGAUGUUCUAAAAAACGUACGGAAACAAGCGAUCGAUCACUAUUUCAAAAACAAAAAAGCUCACCGAGCAGGUAUAGAAAAACCCUUAUCCAGGACAACUCCAUCGAACUUAGAAAAAGUAUCAUCCGUCCAUCAGUGAAUCUGGAAUAUUUAAUUUCACAUUGUUGAUAAUCUACUCUUUUUACAGAAAACUGUAGGAUACAAAGAGCCAAAUAAGGCACAAAGGAGACCGAGACAAGCCACUAAAGCAGGCUGCCUUGGCACCAUCCCCGAAUCUAUGACACUUUGGAUCAAGAGGUCAUCUUGACCUUGAGGCUACUAAGCCAGGAAGCACCACUUGAUAAUCUACUUACUGCUAGCCACUACUACUACUUGCAGUCCCCAAGCAUAGAUAGCAGAUCAACAAAUCCACUUACACCCAGAGCCACAGUGCAAGAUCCGAUUAAAAUCGAUACAGCAGGGCCUGUUCCUCUAUCAAGAUCAUUUCCAGAAGUCAAUACCGCACAGAGAUGGCUCCGUUCAGCAAAUUGCUUCCAAAGAUUCAGGACUCAUCUUGGCAAAAGUUCUGUGAUCGAUACUUGGUUCGAAGACAUAACCGUUGAGUUUUCAGUGUAUGGAUAGGCGUCCGAAUACGCGUUGGAGCUCUCACUGGUACUGACCUCCUGGAUGCAGAACGCUGGCCUCGACAAAGAAGGCAGACGAACAGUGUGGCUGCUGAACAUGAUGUUCACCGACGACAUAGCCGGCCUGCUCCCGGGUUUUCUCUGCACGCACAGGAGUCCGACGUGAAUGCACUUGAGCAUCUGGUCGAUGGGAGGAUGGUUGCCCAAAGAUGGAUCGAUCAACUCGAUGACAUUGCCCCGGGUCCAGUGCUCCCAUACCUGCAACAAAUUGUUAAGAGUAUUCGUACACUGUUGCAGGAGUUGCAGAGCUUAUGAAAAGGCUUCAGGUGCUCACAUUAUUCAAGAGAUCCACGUCUUGCUCGGUCUUAUCUGAACCACUGUUUCUUCUCCCUGUGACAAUCUCUAAGACCAAAACACCAAAGCUGAAAACGUCCGACUUGAUGGAAUAAUGACCUCCCAUGGCGUAUUCUGGGGCCAUAUAUCCGCUGCAACAAAAUAAGUAAUUCAGAACCCGAUAUAUGUUGAUGUCUUCUUAUGGAUGUUCUUGACGUGCUUACUAUGUGCCGGCAAUACGACGAGUGACAUCUUCUGAUUGAUCCCCUCCAAAUAUCUUCGCUAGGCCGAAGUCAGAUAUUUUAGGAUUGUAAUCAGAAUCCAGUAGUAUAUUGCUCGCUUUGAGGUCUCGGUGAACUAUCUUCAAUUGUGAAUCUUCGUGAAGGUAUUGUAAGCCUCGAGCUAUUCCAUUGAUAACCUUGAACCUCUUUCCCCAAUCUAGCUCUUUGUUUUUCUCAGAAUCUGUCAUUCAAACAAAACAUAUCAUUGUAGUGUAAAUUUUGUGUCACAGCAUUACUCUGAAGAAAAUUUCAAUAAGGGAAACAAAAAAACGCUAUAAUAAGAAAGUCUUACCAAAUAGAAUGGUAUCAAGGCUUCUAUUUGGCAUAUAUUCAUACACAAGUAUUUUCUCAUGUUCUUCCAAGCAAACACCAAGAAGUCUCACAAGAUUCUUGUGGUGAAGCUUGGCAACUAGAACCAGCUCACUCUUCAGCUCUCCUAUUCCUUGUCUGGAACUCUGACAGAGUCUUUUGACGGCUAUUUCUUGACCAUCAGGUAGGUCGCCCUGUCCAAGUAAAGAUACUUAACUGUCGGCAGAAAAACAUAACUGACAAAGGUGUUAUGAUUCUGUACCUUAUAAACCAUACCAAACCCUCCUUUACCAAGCAUUCUACAUUCGUCAAAGUCAUCUGUGGCACCUCUUAGUAUCGCUAGAUCGAGAAGAAGCGAGUCGAUGUUUCGAUCAUCUGAGGUAGCUGAAUCUGUUAGUGGAUAAGUACACAAUGUGUCAAUGAUGAGAAUCAAGACUAUAUGAGCUUUUCAGGAAAUAUGAUUUUGCUGCAAGCUAUGGAAAUUCACGGUAUUAGCUAGAAUUAAGAUUUAAGAAAAUGAAAAUUGACUAAACAAAGUCCAUAUUCUGAACUAAUCAAAUCACCAUGUUCUGGACAAUAAAUUGAUUCAUACUUGAAUUGCUAUUAUUCCAAAAUUCAAAAUGGUUAAGAGGUCUUACAAGGCAGAAACGCAUUUGCUUUUGGUCUUCUCCUCCAGCAGAAAAAGUAUACCAUGACAAUGACCAAUAUGACAGCAAUUGUAGCCAUUACAAUAGCUAGAACUAUACCUGCACUAUUUCUCGUUUUCUCUGCAAGUAAGUAUAUACCAUCAAAAUGAGAAUGUAAUUAAUUUUAUUUUAUUUUUUAAUGAAAACCUGAAUAAAACAAAUACUUCCUCCGUUUCUAAAUUAUUGUCGUUGUUUUAGUACAAAUUUGAACUAAAACAACGACAAGAAAUUUAGGAACGGAGGGAGUACAUUGCUUACAAGUAGCACAUAUAUUUUGCAGGAAAACUUUCCAGGACCUUUCAUAAGAAAACCUUGUGAGUUCAGAGCACAACCAUUUGCAAUAUUGUCUGUUGUUCUGUUCUGAAGGCUCAUGUUUGCAUUACUCUGACAAAUGGUAGCCAGCUUCUACAAUCUACAUGCAUAUAAGUUUCGUUCUUUCUGGUCAAGCAACUAGUGAUUUUUCAACGGAUAUGGAGAGGUCAUGACCCUUGAGCAGGAGAGUGAACAAGCUGUUACUGCUAAUUGUUUCGAAAUCUGUACCAGGAUCAUUUCUUGGCUAGCCAACUGUUUUACAUAAAAUCGAAAUGGAUUCCACCCUUCACCCUUGUAUAGUUGUACGCAAUUUCAGAUCAAACGACCAACUAAACAAGUAAACAUGCCAUCAUAUUGCACAAUUGCAGAACAACAAACUACUCACCUCCUCCUCCGGUGGUCGCCGGUGGCGCAGGAGCGGGCGGCGUGCCGACAAACUGCGGAAGCUGCAGCAGCGGGCGGCCGGAGAAGAAAGGGAACACCUCGUACCGGAAGUUGCACCACACCCCGAAAAUCCCCCCGCCAGUCCUCCCGCUGAACAAUUUGGGCAGCUCCGCAGUUAUGGUGCCAAGGCAGGUCCGGCAGACCUCCACCGUCGUGUCCGGCGCGCACUGCGACAGCGCAUAGAUCUUUGGGUUGCUCCUGUCGUCGAAGCCCUCUGUCCCCGUGCCGAACCGCCUGGAGGAAGACGAAGAGUCCCCCGCCGCCGCGUAGCCGGCCGUGGCGUUGACGAGCAGCCCUACGGCGGCGUCGAACGCCGGCGCGGCUCCGCCCGCGACGCGGCGGGAGCGCUGGAGCGUGUACGUGGUGACGUAGUAGUCGUCGUCGAGGAGGAAAUCCCGGUUGGAGAAGCGGAGCUGGCAGAGGUCGUAGAAGAUCAUCACGUCCUUGUAGAGCGGGCACGCGCGCGUCGCGCCGCGGAAGGCGGCGGCCACGCAGCUCUCGCAGGCGGAGGCGUUGGCGACGUCGCCGCGGCAGAGGGCCUGGCCGUAGACGGCGUCCGGCACGUCUCCGACGCUGCCGGUGGCGUAGAGCUCCGGGGAUGAGGAGGCGUUCCUGGGGAGGGUGGCGGCGAGGCGGUUGAUGUUGGAUUGGUAGGUGCUGUUGGCUGUGUAGUUGCCGCUGGGGGGAUAGGGGCCGCAGGUUGGCCACGGAGGCGGUUCGUCUUCGGCGGCGAUGAGUGGCGCGUAGAGGACGGCGAAGAGGAAGGUCGCGGUGACGCCGGUGAGGCAUGGGGAGAAGCGGCGGCGGGGCUUGGCCAUGGCAACCUGUGACGUGGGGGGGCUUGUGAGGAGAGCAGGUUCGGGUGUCUGUCCGUGUAUCACUGGCAUGUGUGGUCAGUGAGGUUGACUGGAGUAAAGUGACUUCAGGUUUAGUGAACAAAAAGCUUAACCAAAAAACCCUCAAAUUGAUCCCAGGAGGUGCUGGCUAUUUUGAACCAAACUAGUAUCCCCUUGGUACAACACGGGUAACAAAAAAAUACUAACCAAUGUGUACUACACGGUAACAAGAAAGACAAAUGCUAGACGUCGGGCGGGCGAUUUUGGGAAAAAUCCGUCUCCUCACAAACCGUCCGAUUGGAACGCCACGGCUGUUGCAUCCCGCACACAAGAAAGAAAUCAAUCUCCUCCUAUUCCCGUCCCCCCCCCCCACCCCCACACACACCCAACCCAACACGACCAGCCCAAACGGCGCUUGCAGCAUACCGCCAUCGCCUUGCAGCAGCGCCGGUGGUCUGCAGCGGUGCAACACCUCCGGCAAGAAGCGAGGCGGCUUGGUAGCAACGCCAGUGGGAGGCACCACCUCCUUGUAGCAUGGACGUCAAUAGCCUGCCUCAACGCCAGCGGGAGGCGGCGCUGCCUUUCAGCAUUGCUUCGCAACAUCCAGUCUCGCGCCUCGCCAUUUGCAGCACCGCCGACAGGAGGCGGCGUCUCCUUGCAGCUGUGGUGCCUGCAGGUCUCCACACCGCACAGGGCCUAUCAGCACCGCCGCAUAAUGGACGCAAUAUCACCGGUCGCCGAUCGAAGUACUUCCGGUCGUCGUUUGAAGCAUCGAAGCCUCCCGUUCCAGGCUUCCAGCACCCUAAGCCGCCGUUCGUAGCACCCCCGGUCGCCGUCUCCACUUGCAGCACCUUCGGCCACCAGUCGAAGCACCGAUAGCGGCGCUUCCCACACGGCCGCGGGUCGCCGCAUCGCUUCCCUUUCGAGCACCAUCGUCGCAGCACCUUCGGCUUCUGAGUCACAGCGCCUCCGACCGCUUGUUGCAGCACCCUCGCCCGUCGGUCGUAGCACCGCAACCUCCGCUUGUGGCACCGACGGCCGCACUCGCAGCAACGCCCUGGCCAUCACAGCAGCAGCGUCUCCAAUAGGCUUGGACAUUUUACUCGGUACUCGGAGAGUAGCUCGACUCGUUAAGAGCUCGGCUUGUUAGACUAAAGAACCAAGUAGAGCACCUCCAGAAACUCGUUAACACUAAAGAGCUUAACGAGCCGAGCUAGCGAGACUCGCAAGCAUACUCGUUAGCUCGUUAUCUGGCGUCUGGCGGUCGAACCAAACACAGUAACCCACGACUUGUUAGACCCAGCACACCCUCUCGAACAGCCCAACUGCCUGAAUGCGGCCCAAGCCCAAGAUUCGUUAGGUCAGUCGGGUCUCCAGUCUCCUCGUCUUGUACUCUCGUCAAGCUAAUAUUAGUCUUAUUAGUGCUUCUGUAUUGUACUGUAUGAGGACACCGAAGCUGUGUAAUGGCUGCUAGUCUUAUGAGUAUUUGUGUUGUAGCCUGUAAUGGUUAUUAGUCUUAUUUGUUAUGGACUUAUUAUAUAAUGUUGUACACAUGCUUUGCUUGUCAUUUUUUCUGCAUAGAUGCUGCCCAUUUUUUUCACCGCUAACGCGUUUAACGAGCGCUCGCGAGCAGUAAACGAACCAAGCCGAACAGGCUUUGAUGUUCGUUAAGGUUGACAAGCAUAACGAGCCGAGCUCUUAACGAGCCGAGUUCUUAAAAAAGCAAGCUCUUAACGAGUCGAGCAUGCUCGUUAGCCAGGCCUAGUCUCCAACUCGCAAAGCCGCUGGCAGCCUAGCCUCGCAGUCAUGCGCGCGGCUGCAGCCAUGGAAACGCAUCCAAGAGAUUGGAACGAGGGAGAGGAUGAGGGAGAAGGGGAAAGUAAGAGAGAGAGGAUGAGGGAGAAGUGUAACGAGAGAAGAGGGAAAAAGAGAACGUGGUGCUUGGUCGUUUCCUCCUUGUCACGUGUCACGCACGGAAGGCAGUCGACACGGGCCGUGUCAUCGGUCGGGUGAUAACUAUCUUUUCCCAACAAGAAAGUACUAGCCAAGUGGAGGAAGCAUGCAUAUCACAAGUAAGUAAAAACAUAUUGAGAAGGAAAGAGAAGAAAAUUAGUAUCGACUACCAUUGGAGAUGCCCUUUAAUACUCCUCGGCCGUGAAGAUUGCAUGCGGAAGAACUACAAAACUUUUGAAAGAGAGUUACUAACUUCUGCCAGUGAAUAAACUAAUGAACAUUUUGUAGUUCAGGAACUCAAAAAACACACAAAUAAAUCAAUAAACCGAAUUACUGAUACAGAUUAGUCUCAAAAUGGUUUACAAAAGCUAAAAAGGACAUGUGUCAUGAUCCUGAACAAUGGGUUGUAACUAGGUUUGUGUCAUGCAUCCACUUUUAGCCUUGACGAACGUUUUUUUACUAAUCUUAUUACUAACUCAAGUUCAUGGAUUUAUUUGGGUUUUUUAGUUCGUGGAAUAAAAUAUUUUUCAGUUCCAUUUUAGGUUUCUUUUCCUUUCUGUACUUUUCUCUUAACUGAUGCCAUUCGUAUUUUCUCUCCUAUCUAACUAAUGAAAAUGCAGGGCCGUUGCUUAAAAGAAGAAGAAGAAGAAGAAACACAUUUUUGACCGGACGUAUUGAAAAUGAAUGAUUUUCAAAUUAUCCUGGUACAGCUCAUAGUACAUCAUUUGCUGUACGUGUCUCCAUGUUUUCUCUGUUCCUUGUCGCUAUCCAUCACUUGACGUUGAAAAGACCAGAGAAAUGAAUGCAGAAACAGAAGAAGCCUCCUUACUUGACCAAUUCCAUGUGCCACGUGAAUACGUACAUGAUAGAGACCCUGCACUCUCGAUACCUCGAUCGUCGUACACUCGCAGGUAUAGUCCAUUCGCCGUCAGCUGCUGUCCGACGGCAACAGCAGUUCAGUCCUGUCAGUUUCUUGAUUUCUUCCUCGCUGUCGGGCGUCAAUUGUGUAUUACUACUGCGUGUCCAACAUUUUAUCAGCACAGCAGCAGCGCAGCUCGCCGCCAUGGCGAUAGGCACGCGUCGCCGUCUGGGUCUGGCUCCUCUCUCCUUCUACCUCGCUCCAGCCACAGCCUCGCUCCUCCUAACGUUAUUCCUCCACGCGCCGCCGCUCGCCGGCGCGCAGCCGCUGCCGUGGCAGCUCUGCGACGACCCCGCCGGGAACUACACGGAGGGCGGCGCGUACCAGGCCAACAUACGCGCCCUCGCAAGCGGCAUCCCCAAGAACGCCUCCUCCUCCCCGGCCCUCUUCGCCAAGGGCGCGGCCGGCAGGGCCCCGGACGCCGUCUACGCGCUCGCGCUCUGCCGCGGCGACACCGCCAGCGCCAACGCCUCCUCCUCCUGCGCGUCCUGCGUCGCCGCCGCCUUCCGGAACGCGCAGCAGCUCUGCGCCUACAGCCGGAUCGCCACCAUGUACGACGACCCCUGCAUCCUCCGCUACUCCGACCGGGAGGACUUCCUCGCCAACGUCACCGACAACGGCGGGAAGAUGCUCGCGUGGAACGCCAACAACGUCAGCGCGGACGUAGCGCCAGCGUUCGACGCCGCUUCCGGCCGGCUCGUGAACGCCACCGCCGACUACGCGGCGGCGGACCCGAGACGGCGGUUCGGCACGGGGGAGUUGGACGGGUUCGACGAGACUUACCCCAAGAUUUACUCGCUGGCGCAGUGCACGCCGGACAUGACGGCGGCUGAGUGCCGGGCCUGUCUCGGCGACAUGAUUGGGCGGUUCACUCCCCGGUAUUUCGUGGGGAAGCCGGGCGGGCGAGUCUUCGGCGUGCGCUGCAAUUUCCGGUUCGAGACCUACUCUUUCUUCUCUGGGCGCCCGCUGCUGCAGCUCCCAGGCGCGCUGCCGCCUGCACCGGCGCCGGCAGCGGCCGGAGAAGGUGAGUUUCUGAAACAGAAAUCACCCCUGGGAACGUACAGCUCUGAACUUACGCGUGCCCCGGCCUUCUUGAUUGCUUUGCAAAACUGAAAACAAUUUUCUGCAGCUGAAUUUAAGAUGCGUUCCAUCUGAAAUCAACACAAUUUUUUUUGCAGGAACAACAAGACGUGGUGCAGGACCAGUCUUGGCAAUUACACUGCCUAUAGCUGCUGCAGCAUUACUUCUCAUUGCAACGUGCGUUUGCUUCUGGAAGAGGAGAAAACAUACGGAAAGAAAGGCGUCAGUACCAUGUAAGUCCUCUCAAUUAAGGAAAGAGGAACGGCGAUUCACCGAUUACUUCGAUUUAUUCAUGGUUUACACUUUCUGAAAUACUAACAAAUCUUAGUUACUGGAAUUACUCAUGCUCACUCAGAUUGUGAUUUUUUUUUCCGAAAAGAAGGUUCAAACCUCAGGCCUCCGCAUCAAUAUGAUGCUCACUCCAUUGUGAUUAGAUUCUCAUUUGUUUUGCUUUUUGUCCGGGUCUAGAAUCCUACUUAUAUUGCUGAUCAUGGCACACAUGUUUCUUCCAACAGAUUCAACUAAUCAAGAUGACAUUCAGAGCAUCGAUUCCCUCCUCCUUGACCUAUCGACGCUGCGGGCUGCAACAGAUAACUUCGCCGAAAGCAACAAGCUUGGCGAAGGAGGCUUCGGCGCGGUCUACAAGGUACCAAUCGUACCAUUUAGUAAUGUAAAUCUGUUGGUUGCAUACAGCAUUACAGAUUACAGACAUAUAUCUAAACUUGUUGACACACAGGGCGUCCUUUCUGAAGGCGAGGAGAUAGCAGUGAAGAGGCUGUCGCAGAGCUCCCGGCAAGGAACAGAGGAGCUGAAAACAGAGCUAGUCCUGGUCGCCAAUCUCCAGCACAAGAACCUCGUCAGGCUCGUCGGCGUCUGCUUGGAAGAGCAGGAGAAGCUGCUCGUGUACGAGUACAUGCCGAACCGGAGCCUCGACACCAUUCUUUUCGGUACCAUUCAUCCGAUAGAUUCUAUCCCUAGCCGGGCAUACAUAGUUACAUACUGUCACUGGCUCAGCUGUCUGACCGUCUCUCUUAUGUUUGUGUAUUGGUUUCGAUGGAUGAAAGAUCCUGAGAAAAGCAGAGACCUGGAUUGGGGGAAGAGGCUGAAGAUCGUGGGCGGGGUGGCUCGAGGCCUGCAGUACCUCCACGAAGACUCCCAGCUGAGGAUCAUCCACCGGGACCUCAAGGCGAGCAACGUGCUGCUGGACAUGGACUUCAGCCCCAAGAUUUCCGACUUCGGCCUGGCCAAGCUGUUUGGGUGGGACGAGUCGCAGGCCGUCACUAGCCACAUUGCCGGAACGUAGUAAGUUCUUCCGGUACACGUUGGCACGCACAAAUACAUCGGAACAACAAGAGAUUUUAUUUCCUCGUGCUCUAUGGAUGCAGCGGAUACAUGGCGCCGGAGUACGCGAUGCGCGGGCAGUACUCGGCCAAGUCGGACGCCUACAGCUUCGGCGUCCUGGUCUUGGAGAUCCUCACCGGAAGGCGGAACAGCAGCUUCGCUAACUCGGAGCAAUCCGUUGACCUCUUAAGCCUCGUGAGUAAUUCUACAUGUCCAAGUUCCAUCUGAUCUGCUCCCCAUGAAGGCAAUUUACAAAACCGUCUUCACGAAACAAUGUUAAAUUCUGGCGCGUACGUGCAGGUAUGGGAGCACUGGACGAGGGGAACAGUGGAGGAGCUGGUGGACCCGUCGCUGGGCGGCCGUGCUCCGGGAGGCCCGAUGCUGCUGAAGCUGGUCAACGUGGGGCUGCUGUGCGUGCAGGACAGCCCCGCGGACAGGCCGGCCAUGUCGGCCGUGAACGUCAUGCUCAGCAGCAGCACGGUGUCUCUGCAGGCGCCGUCGAGGCCCACGUUCUGCAUCGAGGAGAUGGAGGGCUACUCCGACAUGUACUCGGCGACGUAUCCAAGGGGAUCCCGGCCCACCAAGGUGCAGACGGCCAUGUCGCCGAACGAGGUCUCCAUCACGGAGCUCGAACCAAGAUGAGGGCUGUGAAGCAAUUUGCUUGCUACUAUACGUAUACUACGUACUAUACUACUGAAUCUCCUGUAUUUAUGUUGUUGUGACCUUUUAAUAUGCUGAAAGUACUCAGCAAGUUCUGUGCUACUGUAGUAUACUAAGCACUAAAGUAAAGUAAUUAAGGUUUGUUGCACAUCUUCGCACACGAGUCAAGAUGGCCGAGUUGGUCUAAGGCGCCAGUUUCAGGUACUGGUCCGAAAGGGCGUGGGUUCAAAUCCCACUCUUGACAUUAAUUUUUCGUACACAGCACUACUCCGUUCAUUUUUCGUACACAGCACUAAACAAUCCUUUCUGAAACAGAAGAAAGAAAAGAAAACCCCAACCCGCCAGAGGCUUUCAUCGCAUCCGAUGCGCUAGCAACUCUAGACUGGCAAUGGCGUGCAAGCUAGGUUUAACAGUGGCCACCUCGCCAUACCGGAACUACGCUACGCUGGAUGGUUGGCCACCCCGCGAUCCUUCAAUGCGCCGCAGUUCCACGGCCGUGCCCUGGUGGCCUGGUUCUUUCCACUCCUCUCUCGUGUUUGAACUUCCUACACGGUGAGUCCAUGCAUAUGUGGUACGUCGUCGCCACCUGCUCCAACAUCGUUCUAAUUAAUCCAAGUGUUCCAAAGCUAGAUUUAAAACAAAAUAACAAACUGCUUGUUUCCCCGCAAAAAAGCUUCCAACUUCCUGAUCUUUAAGGAGCAAAUGUCCCACCAGCCUUUUUCCUCCGCCAAUCCAACUGACAGUACCGACGUUUCUUCCGAUCUUCUCCCACUCCUCUUUCCCAGACAAUCCAUCAGUCUCUUCACAUUUGAUCACUUAGAGCAUCUGCCUAUCAAGUUUCCUAAAAAUUCUCCCGAAAAGGGCUCAAAUCCGGUACUUUACAUGUGCAAUUUCACGUUUUUCUCUUCAUGUAAAUAUAUAUCAUCAAACUGAGAAUGCACUUAUUUUUAAGUCUUAACUUUAUGAAAACAUGAAUAAAACAAAUACAUGCAUGUUCACAAGUACUCCCUCCGUUUCAAAAUAAGUGACGUGGAUUUGUAUAAAUUCUUAUACAAUCUACACCGCUUAUUUCGGGAUGGAAAAAGUAACACAUAUAACUCUUCUAAAGCUUUGUGACGCUUCUUCAGGGCAAGUGCGAAAGAAAAUUUUACUGACAGUUUUCGAGUUGUGAUCUGUGACCCGACUAUGUUUGACGCAUCAACGGUGUUAGACUGUACUGACACUUUUCUUCGUUGUGUCAGUGUUAAACUUGUAGGAGUAAUGUGUUUUGGUAGUAGUGAUUAUAAAUUUCGCAACGGGCCUUCUAAUUUUUUGUUACGGCUUAAUAGACCAAGAAAAUAACAAUCUGUCCAGUCACUAAGAAAUAAAUUCCGUAAAAAAGUUCAUACUCCUACAAAGAUCUGUUAAAUCGAAGACGUGCUACAAUUUGCGAGGCAAAGGGUCGCGGUGUGCAGAAUGUGAGCUAACUGCCAGCCUGCCAGGAUACAAAUGGCGUGGCAAAGGGUCUUAAUUUAUCUAGGCAGCACAUGACACUUUCUAGUACACAAGAAAUUCAGAAAGCAUUGCAUACGGAAGCUAGCUUUCUUUAAUCCUUCUUUGCAUCGUCAGUAUUCAGUUUGACAUUGGAGCAUUCGAGUGCAUCCAGAUCUCAGCCGAUUCCGUCCUCAUCAAACAGGCGGGGCAUGGCGUCCGAGGCAGCCAGCGUCGCCGUGGUCUCGGCCGCCGUGGCCGCGGCCAUGGUUUAUGCGCGCCUCGCCGCCUCGCGUUCGCACCCCGGCCUCCCCCGCCUCGCCGCGCUCCUCCCGGUGCUCCUCCUCCUCCCCGUCCUCCCCUUCACGUUCUCCUCCAUCCACCUCCGCACCAUCUCCGCCUUCUUCCUCGUCUGGCUCUGCGGCUUCAAGCUCCUCCUCCUCGCCGCCGGCCAGGGCCCUCUCCACCCGGCGCUCCCGGUCGUCCGCUUCGUCGCCUGCGCGGCGCUUCCCAUCAAGGUAGUAGUAGAAGUCCAGGACAGAGCAGCAGCGCAUCAGCCGUCCCGGCGGUCUCUCCCUCCCGCGUUCUUGCUCUCCUACGCGGCCAAGGCGGCUCUGUUCGCGGCGCUCGUCUCGCUCCGGGGCAUCCGGGCUCGGAUGCCCGCGUACGGCGUGGUCGCGUUCGACGGUGUGCACGUCUACCUCUUGCUCGAGCUGUUCAUGGCGUCCGCCGCGUUCUUCGCCCGGGCCCUGCUCGGGGCCGACCUGGAGCCACAGUUCGACCGGCCGUACCUGGCCUCCUCCCUCCGCGAUUUCUGGGGCCGCCGGUGGAACCUCAUGGUGCCCGGCGCGCUCCGCCCCACCGUGUACCGCCCCGUGCGCAGCCGCCUCGGCGUGCCGGCCGGCAUGCUCGCCACGUUCGUGGUGUCGGGGCUCAUGCACGAGGUCAUGUUCUACUACAUCACGCUCCGGGCCGGCACCGGGGAGGUGACCGCGUUCUUCGUGCUCCACGGCGUGUGCGUGGUCGCGGAGCGGUGGUGGGCGAUCCGGAGCCGGAGCGGGCUGUGGAGCCCGCCGCGGCCCGUGGCGACGGCGCUCACGCUGGCGUUCGUCGCGGGCACCGCGUCCUGGCUCUUCUUCGCGCCCGUCAUACGCGGCGGGCUGGACAAGGCCAUCGUCGCCGAGUGCGAGGGGAUGCUGGCAUUUUUGGAGGCGGCUGCGCGUGCUCUGGCUGACGCGGCGGCACGUUUGGUCUGGUCAUGAUUCCGGUUGGCAUUCGCGGUGUGUAUGUCAUGUAAUUGUAGUUCCGUGGUUUGCCCAUGGCGAUUCCGGUUGAAUUUGAUUUCAGGGGAACAAUAAGGUCUUCAGCGUAUUUCCCCAGAACAGAAUCUGGUAUCACCGCGCUAUGCGUGGGCACUGGAUCAUGGGAUUGUCGUGUCACGAAGGUGUAGUGUACACGCUGCAUACAAGAGCAUCAGACAACUGAAACUGGAAGAGCACAUUUUCCGUGAUGUCAAACGAUGAUGGAAAAUUCCAGAAAAGCUUUGUGAAAUAGGCAUGAUAUCUAGGACACCGACAAGUGGCCACAAGGGCUCACAGAGCGACGUGGCCUGAUCCGGGCUGUUGUUCCUCAAUCGGAUGGUCAAGAUCACCACUUCGGUUCCUCCAAAAGACAGAGUCUUGGUACCGGUUUCAGCACGGACGAGAGCAUCUCUAGAAGAUAACGCAAAAUCUUGAUAGAAAAAACACGUAUUCGGUAAAACUGAAUCCGUUUUUUAGUUACUAAUUUGGUCCGGACAGAACAUAUACCGCAUACCUGAACCGUAUCAUCGAAUAUUCCCAUCUACUACAGCCAGCCCACCUCGUGGUCGUUUUCCUCCUCGUGAACGACACGAGCACCAGAAACAUCUGUUUUCUCAAUGUUCUCUCGGCGCAUCUGCUUUCUCGGUGUGCUCUCCGUGCUCGAAGACCACGGAUCUGCGUUGGGGCAUCCAUGGUGUGGCCGCGUGAGGGCUGCAGAGGAGGGCCGCACGGGGCUCCAGCACAGGCUCGAUGCGGAGGCAGGGGAAGUACCGAAGCAGUGGCGCAAGCGCGGGUGACGCUUGGCCAGAGACGGGGAAGAAGGUCGCGGGCAUGGCGGUGAGCGCACGCGUAGGGUCCAAGUUGUGGUGGAUCUCGUGCGGGGCGAUGCCGCGGUGUGUGAGGCGUCAUCUCGGACAGGCGGAGCGGCAUGAGAGCUGCUAGAGAUGCUCUGAUGUCCACUUCGAGGUCUUCUUCUGUUUCUCGUUGUAAAAACUCUCUCUUCAGCUAAAAUUAAUCUCCCUUUUGUACAUUCGUACAAUAGAGAGAUGGAGCAUUUGCACAAUAAAAAAAAAUCCUAAUCAAUUUCGGCUGCUUCCCUUGACCCUUUAAAAAAAAUUCUUCGACAGUCGAAGGUUCAAAAAUUGGCCGCGAGCAAUGGUCAGGGUGACAGGCGAAGAAACGGAACUGUGGAGACUCCAGACGAAGAAACGGGGAGGAGGGGUGCGAUCUGCCGAGUUCAAUCUUUUUUCUGCGAGUAAAGUCUAUUUUUACAGUGGUUGGCGUCGACAUCAAACCUUGACCUUGAAAUCCCUGAAUUCAGCACUUUGUACUCAAUAAUUCCGGUCAUCAAGUGCCGGUCAUUAGGUGUUGAAACAUGCUUUACAUACUGGGAUUGCUGACGUGGCUGGGAUCUUUCACUGACCAAGUCAACAUUUCGCAAACACAAGUCAAGACGUCUACGUGGCACGGUCAAUCCUACGUGGCAAAAAAAGAUUAGUCAACGAGUCAAGCCUCUCAUGCCAUAGUCAAAGGGUCAAAUGAGUUAGAGUAGAGGGCAAGAAAGGUGUGAGGAGAGAGCCCUUAGUCCAUGGUGGACCAUGGACCAAGCCCCUCUUUUCCCCCGUGGUGCACACAAAAUCUAUGGACCAAAGGAGCUACUUUUACCACUUUGCCCCCAUUUUUCUCUUUUCCUCAAGGAUAGCCAUGGUCUUUUGUCAUGGACCCCUAGGAUAUAAAUACCCCCCAUGAGGACAUGUAUCAUUGACUCUCAACUUGAAUAAACUCAAGGAGAGAGGGCUAAAGCCUCUUGCAAAGAGCUCUAGUUUCGAGAUUCGGGAAGACGCGUUCGGCCCGGACUCGAAGGAGAAGGGGUUGGGUUAGAGUUCCGAGGGUAUCCUAACCUCGAUACUUGGAAAGACGCGUUCGGUCCAAGUACGAGGCGGCCCCGACGAACCUCUCGCCAAAAGGUGUCUUGGGAAGAUCCGCUCGGUCCAAGCCCUUGGCUAACAACCCCUCGAAGCUUUUCCUAACAUAGGAUUAAGUCGCACCCGCAGGGUCGACCGAACCUAUUCAAAAAAUAUCGACGUGUCAACUUGUCCAAGUGUACGGCGACCUUCGCUAUAAGGCCGGCGUAUAUGCCCUACUUUUAUACCCGCACUUGUGUCAUCGAUCAUUGGCACCCCUUACUCUAAUUGUUGUCGAGAACAACAACAGUAGCGCCGACCGUGGGGAACCCUCGCCGCAAUUGAAGAUCUAAUGGCCCCGACGAAGCCUACUUCAUUGGGUCCCCAACUUGCCGCGAAGUCUACACGGUUGCAAACGAAGAAAGCAAGUGCCUCGGGGGCUCCCGAGGAAGAAGGAAACAUCACCAUUCCGGACGCCGCCGCAAGCAUGGUCGCCACGACGGAAGUCACAGACGCCCCUCCGGUACCGGCCGUCCCGAAAGGAACCGAGGUGUUCGAAACCGUCAUAGGCGGUCCUCGACACUUACCAACGUAGUGGCAAGGAUCGGCGAGCUGCCUACGGUUGCCGCCCCCGCAGGGGACACGGAACUCGGCAUGCCUCGCUCGAUGGGCUUCGCGCCACCUUCCCUACAACCGGUGGUAACCCUGCCCUCGGAACCUACAAGAGGAAACCAUGUGGUGUCGGGAGGAUCCGUCCAGAAAACCAAGGAGUCCCGGCCUACGACCCCUCCAACCCGGGAUUAUCUCCACUGUCGCUCGCCGCGAUCGCCCAAGGAGCUCCUUGCUAUCAUCCUUAUUGGGGGCUUCCGCCGCAAGGUGCUCUCCAAAUCACACACCCUCAACAUCAACCUCGCUUUGCGAAUGCCCCGCAAGCGCCCCUUGCUCCCCCCGCCGGGGUCGAAUAAGGCGCCCACCAGGUACCACCUCAAGCUGCGCCUCGCGAGGAACGAGACCCUAGAGUGCAUGGAAACGAGCAAGUGGUGGAAUCCGGAGCCCGUGCCGACGGCGAAAGGAAUGCCCGGCGACGCUCCGACCCUCCCAGAAAACGUCGAGAUCAUUCUCCAAGCGACCCCUCUAGCGACGAGAGCGACGAGGGAGGACCUCGCCACCGAAGGAACCAAAAGAAUCGGCCGACUUGCAACCCGCUCACUCGAGAGAUCCAAGACGCGCCUUUUUCGCCAAGGUUCAAGCCGCCCACGAUACGACCAUAUGACGGGGAGUCAAAUCCUCUUCAAUUCUUGGAUGUCUACUCCACCGCCAUACGGGCCGCCGGGGGAGGUCCCGUCGAGAUGUGCAACCUCUUUCCACUCGCGCUCACCGGAAUGGCGCAAACUUGGUUUUACAACCCGCGGAGGAACUCCGUGCACUCAUGGGAAUGCCUCCAAGAGGUCUUCAUCGCCAACUUUCAAGGAAACUUUAAGGAGCCCGUGCAGGCUCACGAGCUAUACACCGUGAAACAAAACCCGAGGGAAUCCCUCCGAAGCUUCUUCCAUUGCUUUGCGAAGGUGCAAAACCAAACGCCAACCCGCCGUCGACCACCAUGAUCGACGCAUGCAUGUAAGGUCUUCUCCAAGGAGAAGUGAAUCGGGCCCUAAGUCGAAACCCACCGAAGACGACCGAAGAGCUUUAUCGAAUCACGCCCGGGGCGAAGACGGGGACAUCACCAAGGACGUGCCACGCGCUGCUCCCGAAGGAACUCCCUCGUCCGACAAACCUCCUGCACCCGCUUCGUCUUCCAAGAAGAAGAGGAGGUGGGGGAAAAAGGGCGUCGGUGACCAAGCCCGGAAAAUCUUCGCCGUCGUAGGCCAAGCACCACCUCAAAAGGCUUGGCAAGCCAAGAAACCACCUCGUCCGACCGAGGGAGUGGCUGGAAGGUGCCUCAUCCACAACUCGGCAAGCCAUAGCACCGAAGAGUGCAACACACUCAUCGCAGCCCGCGAAGAGUUCCAGGCGCGGAUGCAAGCCCGACGCAAGGAUGAGAAGACAGCUGAGGCUCCGCGCCUCGCCAUCGUCCUUGUCGCUGACCCGGCACCCAAGGAAGAUAACCUCCCGUUCCAGGAACCUGCACAUCACGUAGGAGUGAUACUCAGGGGCUCCGCAACGGGACAAGGAUCAAAGCGACAACGCAAGGAGUAUGCUCGCGAAGUCAAUGUCGUGGGAACCUUCACCCCGACACCCCCACCUAAGUGGGCAAGCGUGCCAAUUGCCUUCACCGAAGAAGACGCUAAGGGGAUACGCUUCCCACAUGAUGACGCUCUCUUUGUGAUGGCGAUCGUCGCCAAUUGCGAGCUGAAGAAGAUUCUUGUGGACGGCGGAAGCUCCGCUGACAUCAUAUAUCUAAGCACAUUAAAGAAGCUGAUGGAGCCCAAGGGGGGGAUACAAGAACGGCUCGCUUCAGCCAUCCCUUUAUCCCCUCACAGGUUUCGUACCAGGGAAGUCCAUUCAGCCGCUCGGACAAAUUGAGCUCCUCACGACCUUCGAAGAUGCCACAAAUCACCGAACCGAGCUCGUACGCUUCGAUGUGGUGGAUAUGGAGGCCUCCUUCAACGCCAUCCUCGGGAGGACAACGCUAAACCGUCUUUGUGCCGCCAUCAACCACAAUUUCUUAUGCAUGAAGAUCCCAGGCCCGAAGGGCGUGAUAACGGUCCGCAGCGAGCAAUCUUCCGACAGGAAGACACUUUACCGCCACGAGACCAAGUGCGCCGAAAGGGAGAAUCAUCCAAGAGUAUUAACUUGCUUUCAAGCACGGGAGCAUCCGAAACCAAUUCUCAGGAGCGCUACAUCCCCAAGCCUCUCCCUGAGGGAGAACUCAAGGAAGUACGCAUCUCCCAAGAUGACGCCACGCGCACGGUGAAAAUUGGAGCCGACCUCCCGAGUAAACUCGAGGAAGAACUUGUCGGCCUGCUCCGGAAGAAUUCCGACCUCUUCGCUUGGUCACCUCCGAAAUGGGAGGAGUCCCGCGUGACGUCAUGGAACAUCGCCUCGCCGUGCGACCGGACAAAGCUUCCGUGAAGCAGAAGCUUCGGAAACUCUCCACCGAGAGAAGCGAAGUCAUCAAACAAGAAAUCGCUAAACUCUCCGACGCCGGGCUUAUCCGAGAAGUUUGGCAUCCCGAGUGGCUAGCCAAUCCUGUCUUGGUGAAAAAGGCCAGCGGCAAGUGAUGAAUGCGUGUCGACUUCAUCGACCUGAACAAGGCAUGCCCCAAGGACGACUACCCACUCCCUCGGAUUGACUAACUGGUCGACCCCACGGCGGGAUGCAAGAGGUUGAGCUUCUUGGACGCCUAUUCGGGAUAUCACCAAGUCCACAUGGCCAAGGAAGACGAGGAAAAGACCAGCUUCAUCACUCCCGUCGGCACCUUCUGCUAACGCAGAAUGCCCAUUGGAUUGAGGAACACCGGCGCGACCUUCCAACGCCUCGUUAGCCUCAUCCUCAAAGAACUAUUGGGGAGAAACGCCAAAGUAUACGUGGAUGAUGCCGUCAUCAAAAGUCAAAUUGCAGGAACUCAUCCCAAGGACCUGCAGGAAACCUUCGACAAUCUUCGCAAGUACGGCGUAAAGCUCAAUCCGGAGAAGUGCGCAUUCGGAGUUCGAGGAGGAAAACUCCUGGGCUUUCUCGUCUCUCAACGAGGGAUCGAGGCUAACCCGGAGAAAAUCCGGGCCAUCAUGGAAAUGGAGCCUCCUCGCUCCGUCAAAGAUGUGCAGCGCCUAGCGGGAAGAAUGACGGCCUUGUGACGAUUCGUCGCCCGAUCGGCCGAGAAGGGUCUUCCUUUUUUCAAAGCCUUGAGAAGCCUCGACAACUUUGAGUGGACCGACGAAGCUCAAAGGGCCUUCAAAGAACUCAAGACCUAUUUGUCGACCCCUCCGCUUCUCACGAGCCCAAAGCAGGGGGAGCCCUUUCUCCUUUACCUUGCCGCGACCCCGGUCGCCGUGAGCGCAGCACUCGUGAAGGAGGAAGACGGGUCACAACGCCCGGUAUAUUACGUGAGUGAAGCCUUGGGAGGAGCAAAAGGUCGAUACACCCAGAUCGAGAAGAUCGCUUACGCCCUCCUCAUGGCCUCUAGAAAACUCCGUCAUUACUUCAUGGGCCAUACCAUCUUGGUGCCAACCACUUUCCCACUCAAGGAAGUCUUCUGCAAUAAGGAAGCCACCGGAAGAAUCACCAAAUGGGCAACGGAAUUGGCCCCUUUCUCGCUAGAGCUCACGGCGAGAACGGCCAUAAAAUCCCAAGUCCUGGCUGACUUUGUGGCCGAGUGGAAUGCUCCGCUAGCCCCACCCGAAGAAAUCACAUCCAAAACCAAGCCCCCCGAACCACAUUGGAUAAUGAGGUUCGAUGGCUCCAAGCGUCUCGACGGCGCCGGGGCUGGAGUCAUACUCAUCAGCCCCGAAGGAAAAAUCCUGGAGUACGCCGCCCACCUGGACUUCAACGCCACCAACAGUAUGACGGAGUAUGAGGCGCUACUUCUCGGACUUCGACUGGCCAAGGCCAUGGGAGUCUGACGCCUUCUCAUCCAAGGAGACUCCCAACUGGUGAUAAAUCAAAUGGACAAGUCAUAUCAAUGGCUUGAUGAAAGGAUGAAGAAAUAUAUCGAAGAAGUUUGCAAGAUGGAACAGUAUUUCCUGGGCAUGGAGGUGCGACGCAUUCCACAAGGAGAAAAUCACCUGGCCAACAGGUUAGCCCGAACGGCGGGUCCUAAAGAACCGCUGCCGCCCGGUGCAUUUUUCGAAGUAAUCCGCGCUCCAUCCAUAAAGGAAGAAGCCGAUGCCGUUGACGAAGCUUCAAAGACCAGCAUGGUCAUCGACACUCCACCCUCUUGGAUGACAUCGAUUAUCCGCGCCUUGAAAGGCGAGGUGGACGAAGAAGCGGAAGGCCCGAGCGCCAAAACUCUGCUCGCAAUAGCCAAGAUGUACGUCCUCCUCUACGGCGCCCCACACAAGAAGGGUGUCGCCGCUUUGCUUAAAUGCAUGCCCUCGACCAAGGAGCCAAACUCCUACCCAAGGUCUAUUCGGGAAUAUGCGGCAACCAUCUUGCGCCAAACGCAACCAUGACAAAAGCCUUGCACUAGAGGUCCUAUCGGCCAACGAUGGUGCAAAGCUCAAACCCAAGGGGAGAGGGCUAGAGCAUCCCAAGGGGCCUGCUCUCGAGUGCUUGGGUCGAGCCUAGCCUCGACUUGACCUCAGGGACGCACCUUGGGAGGCCUAGUUUCGAGGUUCCGGGCCGUCUAGUACGGUCUGGACUCGAAGUAGAGGGGUCGAGUUAAAGUCUUGAGGGUAUCCUAACCUCGCUACUUGGGAAGACGAGUUCGGCCCAGGUCCAAGACGGCCCCGAAAGAUCUCUCGCUAUAAGUGACUUGGGAAGACGAGCUCGGCCCAAGCACUUGGCUAACGACCCCCUCAAAGCCUCUCCUAACAUAGGACUAAGUCAUGCCCGCAGGGUCGACCGAACCUAUUCAAAAAAUAUAGCCCGACGAAAUGGCUAUUUUCUCGCAAGGGAACGGACCUUCUCGGGCCCUCCCCUCGCAUGCAACGGGGGCUGGAGACAUGCCAUGGUGACAGGAUAAUCAAUUGCCACUUCUCCGAGAAGGUCAAGGCAUAAAUGCUUCCCUGAGGGAUUUGUGUCGCAAGUCAUCCAAAAGUUCCGGGAAAAACGUCAUUUUGCCAAAAUGAUGUCCCGCAAGAACUAAACUCCAAGGAAUUCAUAAAAUUCUGCGACCAUCUGGAAGAUAAAAGUACACUUCACCUCCAUGACUUAUCUAAAGACAAACGGCAUAGUCAAUAGAGCCAACGGACUCGCCCUCUAGGGGGCUUCGCCAAGCAGUCAAAAGUAUGAUAAGCAAGGAGGAAUGCGAGCCAAUAGGCUCGUCAAGGGUGUGGUGUGAGGAAUACGCACCUUUGCAAGCCACUCUAUAGGGCCGAACACCGUAAUUUUUGGUGCAUAGGAGCAAAAGCAAUGCUCUCGGUCAAAGUCAAGCGCCACGCGCUCACUUCAAGAGGAAAGGGCUCCAAAAAACCACCGCCCUCGCCUUCGCGAAAAAUGAAGAGCAUCAAAUUGAGGAAACUGCCGACAGAGACCUCAUGAAGCAUGCCACUUAUAAGCAGACUGCAACUCGCUUAUACAAAACAAGGGUACGAGAAUGAUUCUCCUCCGAGAAGACCUCGACCCGAAGCUCUAGCACGAGCUCGGCCCUAAGUGGGAAGUACCUUGCCGCAUCGCAGCCAAGAGGGACAUAAAGAGAGCACACGUGUCAUCCUGAAAGCAUAAAGGGAUAACUCCUCAUCAAUGCCUGGAGCCGGCAACGAGCUGCCACUUCUAUGCCUAUAAUGGCCGAAGUAACCAAGGGUGCGCCUCCGACCCUUCGGGCGAGUAUAAGUGCCAAGCCAGCCAUCUUCGCCAAGGGAUUAUAAGCGCCCUCGAGGCCAUCUCGUCAAAAAGGAAGGGAAAGGGAUGUGAGCACAAUCAUCCUUGGAAAAAUUAAGGUAGCACAUUGUCAUGUGUGUUACCUUGGCAUGUGUGGGCACUCAAAAGAGGCUCACCGUCAUCGAAAGGGAAAACCUUGUCAUGUGGCAUCGCCGCGAAAGGUUAAUCCUCCUCGUGGGGAGUUGCUGCCUAAGUGCCACUCUCCAAACUUAUCAUGGGAAGCCUACACCGGCCUAGGUAUUUCCCAUGCAGCAUCACCGCAGAGGAGAACCUUAUCAAGCGGCACCCCCGCGAAAGGAAAAUCAUCCUCGAAAAGAGUUGCUGCCCCAGUGCCGCUCGCCAAGGAAUGCUAGGAGGCCUACGUUGGCCCAAAGCAUCUCCCGAAAUGUCUCCGGACAUAAUUGUCUCAUCGGCAACCCGUUCCUUGGUGGAUCCUAGUGUGCCCCGAGGCCAUCCACCAAGCAGAACCAAGUCCCCCGAGGGCCGGAAGCUCCUUAAAACGCAUUUAAGGAGAACCGUAAAUAAGCGAGUUAUGCAUGAGCUUACUUACCUCGGAGAACCAUGCUAUCCGUGUGCGAGACGUCACGCACGGGCCUGUGUGAUAGUAACCGAAUUAAGGCUCCAUAAUAAUCGCGGAAAAGCAUAGCUUCCUGAAGUCCGAAGAGGGAAAAUUCCGCAUGAAAUUUCCCGAACGGCAGGUCGAAAUGUCCGGAUCACUACCGGCAUAUCGAUAGCGACCCUCGCAAGGGUACCAGGAUUCAUGGCUCGUAACCAUGACCUAAGGCACCGAAGCCGAGUCAUAUCCCAACGGCAACAUCAAUUGAAAGCACAAUGUGCGAGUAAUAGCGAUUGAUCGCGAGCUGUAUAAACUCGAGGAAACAUAAUAUUCCACAAAGGAAGAAAUGUAGUACUCACAACCACAUGUUGAGCUAAAGUUGACAUUUCCUUAAUGUUAAUAACAUAGCGAUACAUGGAACGAAACAAAUGGAUGCAUUGCAGGCAUAUGGCAAGCUACACGCAAGUCAUAAGGCUAUGUCAGAAGGACAAUGUGCAAAGCACAUAUGCAAGCAUUAGAGGUGACUUGUCGACUCCAAGGACGACGUAAGCUCAUACCUCCCAAAUACCCUCCGGAAGGGUGAGGUCGGAAACUCAUCACAAAGUGAGGAAUUUUGGACCAUUGAGUACCACCGUACUCCCGAGGAACUUCCUCGCCCAACAAGGUCGUCACAACCUUAGGGCUCGAAAGUGCGACGAGGUUACAACCUCCAGCAAGCCUCAAACCUUCCAAAGGUUAAAGGCGCAUGCUAAGACUUCAUGGCUCAACAAAAAGAGUUUGAAGCAAGAAAGCCACUCACCAAGUCUCGAUCUUGGUGUGAGUAGCCCACGGCACCCUACAUGGCUUGGAGAGAGCCCGAGGCCUCCUCCUUUUUUCGUUCGCGCCAAUGUCAACUCCAGAAACACCGGAUACAACUAUCACGGUACCUGGAAAAGAAGACAAGUAUGGUGUCAAAAUAUUCACCAAAGGUGGGCGGAGCAAGAAAAUGCAGAAAAGCUCACCAAAGAUAGGCAAACGAGCUCAAGCUUUGUGCUCGAGAGCGUGAAUGACUCGAACGCCACAAAGGGCAUUGCCUUGUUGCAAAAGCUCCGGUGACAUGGUUGAAACGCCAUCUUUGACUGGGUUGCCAAGCGCAAACACAACCUGUCACAUGGUGCCUAACCAAGUCGCGAUGUCAACAUACAAAACAAGAGAAUCUCGCCAAAAUUCGCUAGGGGGGCUCACCUCCAAGGUUGCCAGACAAUCAAGGUCCUUGCUUCGAUGCGAUUGGACUCCGUUGAACAAAUACCUCGGCAAACAAGACCUCGAUUCCUUUAGGGCGAGAUACCACCAAGAUUGUGGUCAACAAAAGUCUGCAUCCCGAGAGGAUUGGACUAUAUCGAGAUGGUCCUUGAACAAAAGGAAACCCUAACCCCCACCAAGUCGGGGUGCAAUCAUCUCGGUGAUAAAAAAUCCACACCUCUUAUCUUACCUGCAACAUGGGUAACGAAGCGUGUGAGCAACACUGAAGAGCCCAAAGUUCAAGGCUUGUUUCUGCAACAAAAACCUUAACUCCAAGAGUUAGGUUUGAAGGCUCAAGACUCAAAGGCCGUCGCAGAGUAUCAUAGCUCCAAGAGCCAUGGUCGCGGCAAAGAGCCGAAGGUACAAAAAGUACCACUAAAAAGUCUAACUUCAAGAGUUAGCAUUGCGAACCCAAGGUUCGGGGCCGCCGCGAAGUACCAUCGCUCCAAGAGCCAUGGCCGCGGAAAAGAGCCUAUGGUACGAAAGUACCACUUGAAGUCUAGCUCCAAGAGCUAGCACAGCGAACACAAGGUUUGAGGCUGUCAUGAAAUUCCAUCGCUCCAAUGGCCAUGGUUGCGGCAAAGAGCCUAAGGUAUGAAAGGACCACUUAAAGUCUAGCUCCAAGAGCUAGCAUUGCAAACCCAAGGUUCGAGGCCGCCGUGAAAUACCAUCGCUCCAAGAGCCAUGGUUGCAGCAAAGAGCCUACGUAAAAAAGUACCACUUAAAGUCUAGCUCCAAGAGCUAGCGUGUAGAACCCAAGGUUCGGGGCCGUCGCAACGUACCAUGGCUCCGGGAGCUAAGGUCGUGACAAUAACGAGCCCAAGGUUCAAAGGUCCAAAUUAAAGGCGAUUGCCAAAGACCCAUCUCGCCAAGCAAACAUGAAACUCGCCUAGAAAAGAUGACACAAAGAGAUUAGUAUGAGUUGCAAAGAUUCCCAAGGAAGCUACUACGGAAAAUCUACGGCAAAAGACGUCGCCAAGGCAUGCACAACCACUGGUCUAAAAAAAAGGGGAGCCAAGCUGCUGGGCUGAAAGGCCCACAGCCUGCCUACGCGAGCAAAGCUCCUCAGGCUGCAGGCCCACCUCAGGCCAGCCCAUCAAAAAAAAAGGGGAGAGAGAGCCUCACCCCCGGGCCGCAGGCCCAUCUCUCGUCCGGCCUGCCCACGUGGAGAAGAAAGAAGGAGAGACGCCGCCACCUACAGGGUGCUCGAUGAAUCGCCUGACGGGGGCACGCCUCGCGCCUCGGCGCCUUGCCACGCACGCUCGCCCGUGUCCGCGUCGUGCUGUCGUGCCCAUUUAUGUGUCAUGCCGCUCGCAUUUGCGCCGCACCAAGCACGCUCGCGCCAGCUGCGCCCUCGCUGUGCCUCGCGAGCGCGGUCCCGCUCCAAGCUGCGUGUGCCUGCGCCGUGCCGAAUGCGCCUGCCAACACCUUGUCGCGUGUGCCCGUUCCUACUCCAUGCCCGCGCCCGCGCCGUGUCGCCCGCGCUCGUAGUGCCGUGCGCUCCCAUGCGCCUGCCGCGCCCGCACGCGCACCUAGCCGCGCCGCGCCGUGCCGCUCUGUCGCACCAGUGGCACCCGGGGUACCACCGCUGCGCGACGCGUGGGCCCCGUCCUCGAGUUCCCGGGAAGGUUUCAUCGCAGGCAGCGGCUACGAGCAGUCCGGCAAGCUACUAGCCCGGAAGGGCUAGCGGGGCUUCGGGGAAUAUUCCCGCCUGGAUACCUCCCGGGAAGCCGCUUCCCGGGGGGAGGUUCCUGGGUGCGUUGGGCCCGGGCGCUUCCCGGGGAGCGACUUGCCGGGACAGGGAGUUCCCGGGCGCCUGCCCCCGCCUCAAGCGUGGGGCCCAGUAGGCAGAUCAAAAGCGCCACGCGAGUGCGUGGCAGGCGUGGGGUGCGCGGCCCCACCGGGGCAAGGAGUAAGGCGCACGGCUCAUUAAAUGAGCCGACCAACGGGGCGUUACCCGUCCGAUCAAGUGAACAGUGGCUGUCCAAUCCUACCCUAGGGUUUUAGACCCCUAGCGGCGGAGGUGGCAUCCAUGCGUGCCACCAGCUCACCGGGGGGGAGUUGUAUGCCUCUCCGCUCGACACUUGUAGCGCAUGCACCGUGGCACCUGUGGUAUCCCCUUGAGUAUAAAAGGAGGACCCCUGCCAACGGUCAAGGGGUUCGUUCGGUUGGAAUCUCAGUUGGUUCGAGUAGACGGUAGAGUUCGGCUGAGUUCGGUCAUCCCACAGUUAGCCUCUAGCUUGAGCAGAGAAUAGUAAGGAGUACCUUGCCAAAGGGAGAGAGUACCCGGGAACUUUUCCGGCAGCCUGUAAACACUCGAUUCACAACCAAUACCAGCUCAAACAAGCAGGACGUAGGGUUUUACACCUCCGGGUGGCCCGAACCUGGGUAAAAACGUGCAUGUAUCGUUUCCUUGAUUAGCGCGCACUUUCAGUACAUCCUUUCGCCGGCCCCGCAGGGCCUCAUCGGCCGAGCCGGCGAUCGCCGGGGUGAACCCCGACGCCCCUACCGAACCUAAAAGGGGGCCGUGACCGCACGCCCCCGGUGUCGGAGCACCCUGCGACGACAUCUGGCGCGCCAGGUAGGGGGCGCGCCAGAAGAGCCUGCCGGUGGUCGCCGGCAGCAUCGUUUGCGUCGACGUCGGCCUCGCCUUCUUCGCCGACGAGAAUAGUCGCCAUGCCCCCCAAGCGGGCUGGUGAUCCUCGUAUAAACCCGCGUGAAGCCUCAGCGGCGCACACGCGGUCGCAUGACAUGCGACCCGAGUCAGGGGCUCCGGAGAAUCCCGAGCCCUCGAGGGUAUAGCAAACACAGCUGCCUCCCCUGCCUCCUCGGCCGUCUACCGACAAUCGGCCGAGGGGACCGGCUGCCCCCAAUGCCAGGGCCACUCGCGCGAGCACGCACGGUGCCGCCUGCGCCGGGCAGCGGGUUGAGUCGCGGGCCGAGGAUGCUCCGCGACAGCGGCAGCAGGAGCAUACCGCGUCACGGGCGACCCCUGGGGGUUCGCACCCAGCACACCCGGAGGUGUCCGGGGCCAGAGCGGGAAGCAGUCGCUCAGGAAACCGGUUGCCCCCCGCACGAACCCCGGCGGAAGCCAUCAUCGCCGCACGCGUCAUGGUGCGAUACGAACCGCAACAAGGCACACCGGCGCACGAGACGUGGGGCGAGGAGUUAGAAGCACAUCUCGCCCUGGCCGCCCAGCAGCCGCAAGGGGAGGGCGCCCCGGUAGGCUCCGGCCACGGGCAGAACCCAGAGCGCGGGGACGCGCCACCCGCCUCGCGACAGGGGGAGAAUCCUCCCCCUCCGCAGGGAGGCCAAGGAGACAGGGGCCCGGAGGGGUCCUCGAACUCGUCGCUCACCGUUCCGGGGGGCGAUGCACGCGGCAUCUUGAAUGCCCGCCAGCAAGAGGAUUUGCGCCAGCGCUUGGAGUGCCCGCGCAGGCGCGAGGUAGAGCGCCAGCGUCCACAGGAGCAGGAAGACGCUCCCAUGGGCCCCGAGGACGGUUGCACCGCGUUCACGCGCGAGUUGCGACGGGUGACGUGGCCCCGUAAGUUCCGAGCGCCCGCGCUCGGUACAUACGACGGGACCGCCAACCCCAAGGAUUUCCUCCUGACCUACACGUUGGGCAUGCACGCCAUCGGCGCCGUUGACAAGGUCAGGGUCAACUGGUUCCCGAUGGUCCUAAAAGGAUCAGCGCGAACCUGGCUGCUCAACCUGCCCACCGGGUCCAUCGCCACUUGGGCGGACCUGCGCAAGCAGUUCGUGAGCGCGUUCCAGGGCGGCUAUAAGUUCCCGAGAACCAUGGCGGAGCUGCACACUAUCGUGCAGAAGCUGGGAGAGACGUUGUGGGCCUUCGUCAACCGCUUCUCCAACCUCUCCUAUUCCAUCCCAGAGGCGGAGGCGGCUGCUAUCAUCAACACCUUCGCCAUCAACGUCCGUGAUCCCAAGAUGCGCGAGAAGCUGAGCACGCAUCGGAUCCGGACGACGCAGGACCUGUACGCCCUGGUGCACAAAUGCGCCAUGGCCGAGGAAGGGCGCCUAGCGCCCGAGCUUGCAGCUAAGGCUGCCGCGAGCCCUGGCGAGGGUUCGCAGAAGAAGGGUUCCCGCAAGUGCAGCGGAAAGUAAGUUCUCGCUGCAGACUCGGGGGCUCCUGCCGUGAGGCCUGCGAAGAAGGCCUCGUCGGGUGGUGGAUCUGGCGGGAAGCAUGGCAACGCGCCCCGCUGCCCCAUAAACAGCAACUCCACCCGCGACGCGCAGAACUGCCGUGUUCUGCAGGGGAUCAAGCAGCGGCGGGAGGAGCGCCAUGAGGAGCGCCACGCCGCCAGUGGCUGCUUCAACUGUGGCGACAUCGGGCAUCUCUUCCGAGACUGCCCGAACGACCCCAGGGCGGGGCCAAGGCCUGCCGGUGGCGGUGCCGCAGGGAUGAACCCCAAGGGGGGCGCGGUCAGCCCCGCGCUGGGCGGGAACGCCCACCCCGGGGACGCGACAGCGCACGCGCUGAGGAGCAGCGCGAGUCCGACUGUACUGGCGGUGACGAGCCGGGCUUCCAGGAGCCUCGUGGCGUCGCUUGCAUCCAUGGUGGAGCUUACGCUCUCCCAUCCCACGCCGCGGUGAAGCGCCUCACCCGCGACGUGUGCGCACUGUUGCCGGAUGCGGAGCCGCAACAGCCGCUGAGGUGGUCGCAUGUGCCGAUCACCUUCAGCGCCGACGAUCACCCAGCAUGGCAGUUGGGUUCAGGGGUAAUACCUUUUGUCGUCUCGCCGAUCAUUAGCAAUAUGAUGGUGACCAAGGUGCUGGUGGACAACGGAGCGGGGCUUAACCUCCUGUCCGCCAGGCUGGUGGAAAAACUCCAGUUGCCGGUGGAGCAGCUGAAGCCCACCGACCCGUUCCGGGGGGUGAACCCCGGGAUCGUGCGCCCGCUGGGACGCAUCACGUUGCCGGUCACCUUUGGGUCCCGAGAAGCGUUCAGGACCGAACACAUUGUGUUUGACGUGGCGCAUACCCCGUUGCCCUACAACGGGAUCCUUGGUCGGCCAACGCUGAUCAAGUUCAUGGCGGCCACGCAUUGCGCUUAUGGCGUGAUGAAGAUGCCGUCCGUCUAUGGAGUUCUCUCCAUCAGGUGCGACCUCAAGGACGCGGCCUGGUGCGUCGGCGAGGUCAUCAGGCCGCUGCCGCAGCUGACGCCGGCGACGAAGACGCUGCCGGAGACAGUUUGUCGGGCGAUGCCCCGGCAACGAAGAAGGCCCGCGCUACCCCGCAAGAGCUUGUCGGGGGAGGCGCAGGCUCGAGCUCGCGCCCCGGCAAGGGGCAGAAGCUCCGGGAGGAGGCCGCCAAGGUGAAGAACCUGCCCCUCCAAGCCGGCGACAAGGAGGGCACCGUUACUGUCGGUGCGAACCUUGCAGCCGAAUAGGAAAGCACCCUCAUCACCUUUCUCCGGGAUAAUGCCGACGUGUUCGCAUGGGAACCGUCGGAUCUUCCCGGAGUCCCCAGGGAGGUGAUUGAGCAUCGGCUCGCGGCGCGCCCCAUCAAGCAGAACGUCCGCCGGCAAGCACAAGAGCGUAAAGAUUUCAUCAAGCAAGAGGUGGACAAGCUCAAGGCUGCCGGAGCGAUCAGGGAAGUUCUGUACCCUACUUGGCUGGCUAACCCUGUAGUAGUGCCUAAAGCAGGGAAUAUGCUUUGCAUGUGUGUAGAUUUUACUGAUCUUAAUCGCGCAUGCCCCAAGGAACCCUUUCCUGUACCCCGUAUCGAUCAAAUAGUUGAUUCUACCGCUGGUCGUGACUUGCUGAGUUUUCUGGAUGCUUUCUCCGGCUACCAUCAAAUCAAGAUGGCGGUCGAGGAUGAGGAAAAGGCAGCGUUCAUCACCUCGGUUGGCUGUUAUUGUUAUACAUGCAUGCCUUUCGUGUUGAAGAACGCGGGCUCCACAUUUCAGCGCGCCCUGCGCGAAUGUUUGGGGCCCCAGCUAGGCCGCAACACGGAGGCCUACAUGGAUGACAUCAUCAUCAAAUCGAAGCGUGGGGACUCGCUGAUUGAUGACCUGCGGGAGACGUUUGACAACCUCUGCAGGAUCAAGCUCAAGCUGAACCCUGAUAAGUGCACCUUCGGUGUCAACUCCGGGCAGCUUCUGGGUUUCUUGGUUUCACACAGGGGGAUACAGGACAACCCGAGCAAGAUAGAAGCCAUCGAGAAGAUGGAGGACCCCCCGCAAGGUGAAGGAUGUCCAGCGCCUCAACAGCUGUGUUGCCGCGUUGGGAUGUUUCAUCUUUAGGCUGGGCGAGCGUGCCCUGCCUUUCUUCAAGGUGAUGAAGAAGAAGGGUCCAGUCGACUGGACUCCUGAGGCCUAGGCGGCGUUCCGGGAACUCAAACAGUACCUGAGGUCGCCGCCCGUCCUCGUCGCCCCCAAGCCGGGCGAGCCGCUGCUACUCUACCUAGCGGCGAUUGACUAGGUGGUCAGCUCGGUGCUGGUUGCCGAGAGGGAGGAAGAUGUCCCGGGUACUGAGGCUGCGGGGCAGGGGGCUGAGCGGCCCCCGGCAACCGCCUUGGACCCGAGGACCACCCCCGAGUCGGCAACCUCGGCACCGCGGAAGCGGUUGGUGCAGCACCCGGUGUACUUCGUGAGUACGGUGCUGCGCAACGCGCGGACGAGGUACCCGCAAGUACAGAAGCUCCUUCAGGGGAUUCUCCUUACGUCCCGCAAACUGCGCCACUACUUUCAGGCGCACCACGUUACGGUGGUGUCGGCGUUCUGCCUUGAACGGGCCCUCACCAACCGUGAAGCCACCGGGAGGGUGGCCGAAUGGAGGAUGGAGUUGUCGGAGUUCGACCUUCACUUCGCCAACUCUAAAAGCAUUAAGAGCACGGCCUUGGCGGAUUUCGUUGCGGAAUGGACGUCUAUGGGCGUGGAAGAGAAUGAACCAGAGACCAGCCUGCCCGGCAAGCUGGACGAGGACCACUGGGUCCUCUACUUCGACGGCGCGUUCAGUCUCCAAGGAGCAGGCGCCGGAGUCGUCAUCGAGUCACCGACAGGGGACCAGUUGAGGUUCGCUGUCCAACUCGAUUUCGCGAACUCCACCAACAACACUGCGGAGUACGAGGGCUUGCUCGCCGGGUUGCGGGCGGCAGUCGCCCUCGACAUCAAGCGCCUAGUUGUUCGCGGCGAUUCCCAGCUCGUGAUCAACCAGGUGAACAAGGACUACGACUGCCCACAAAUGGCACCGUACGUGUAGGAGGUCCGCAAGCUAGAACGUAAGUUCAAAGGUUUGCGUUUCGAGCACGUCAAGCGAAAGGAUAACUUCGCUGCUGACGAGCUGGCCAAGAUGGCAGCAGAGCGCCGGAAACCUCCGGCGGGGGUGUUCUGUCAGAAGCAAGCGGCUCCUUCAGUCGCCCCCAGCCGGCUGCUGGGGACGCCCCUCCGGCAACCGAAGGAACCCUUGCCGCAGCAGGGGUCCAUCUCGCUAACAUAGCGGCAUGUGUUGGCAGGGAGAUCCCUCUCUGGGCGGAAGAGAUCGCCCACUACUUGAAAGGAGGGGCUCUCCCGGAAGAUAACGUCGCCGCGGAACGAGUAGCGCAGCAAGCCAAAAUGUACACUAUGGUGGAUGGGAACCUCUACCGCAGGCGUGCAAACGGUGUCAAGCUUAUCUGCGUGCCGUAGAAAUAAGGGCACGCACUGUUGGAGGACAUACACCGAGGCACAUGUUCACACCAUGUGGCCUCCCGGGCUUUAGCCGGCAAGGCGUUUCGGCACGGCUUCUACUGGCCCACAGCCAUGGCCGACGCGGAGCGGCUGGUGAGGACGUGCGAAGCAUGCCAGUUCCAUUCGAAGAAAAGCAACCAGCCGGCGCAGGCCCUACAUGUCAUCCCUUCCUCGUGGCCGUUCGCGAUCUGGGGGCUCGACAUCGUCGGUAAGCUACCAAGGGCGGUUGGCGGUUACGAAUAUCUGUUCGUGGCCAUCGACAAGUUCUCUAAGUGGGUGGAGGUGGAACCAGUGCGGAAAGUGACCGCCCAGGCAGUCAUCAAGUUCUUCAGAGGCAUCGUGUGCCGGUUUGGUGUGCCUAACAGCAUCAUCACCGACAACGCCACACAGUUCACGAGCGCGGCGUUUCAAGCCUAUUGUGAAGACAUGGGCACUAAGCUGCGCUUCGCGUCCGUUGCUCAUCCGAGGAGGAACAGACAGGCGGAGCGAGCCAACGCAGAGGUGCUGCGGGGCUCAAGACGAGAACCUUUGACAAGCUCAAAGCCCACGGGAUACACUGGGUCGAAGAACUCCAGCCCGUGCUGUGGUCAAUCAGGACCACACCUAGUCGGGCAACGGGCGAAACUCCUUUCGCCCUUGUCUACGGGGCAGAAGCGGUGCUGCCCCUCGAUCUCAAGCACGGAUCUCCCCGGGUACGAACGUAUGGCGACACCAGCCAACGCGAGCAAAGGGUUGACGAUAUAAACUUCAUCGAAGAGCUUCGAUGCCGGGCUGCUGUGCGAGCCUCGCGCUACCAGCAGGGACUCUGUCAUUAUCACGAUAGGCGAGUCCGUCCCCGGGGGCUCGAGAACGGAGACCUUGUCCUGCGUCAGAUACAAGAAACGAAGGCCGGGAACAAGUUUACUCCGAAAUGAGAGGGGCCCUUCCGGGUAGUGCAGGUGACCAGGCCGGGGGCUGUCCAGCUGGAAACCGAAGACGGCUUGCCGGUGCCCAAUAGUUGGAAUAUUGAGCACUUGCGCAAGUUCUACCCGUGAAGCGGUGGAGCCCGACCCUUAGGUGAUGCCGCCGAUGCAUGCCUCUCGAACUAGUGAAGCCGGGCAGCCCCCGUGUGUAAACCACUAGUUAUUGUGAAUAAAGCUUUAAAUUCGCCUUGUUUAUUUGCAUGUUCCUCCUCCUUCUGUCUCCCGCUUUAAGUGCACAAAAGUGUCUUUCCAUACUUGGUUGUGAGCAGGGGGCUGUUGGAGCCUCGAAAACAUUAACCCGUUGCCGGAUCGUUCCGAUACGGGACAUGCAGUUCCGGGCUUCCCGCAACGUGCAUCCCUGGACAUGCAGUUGCCGGGCUUCCCGCAACGUGCACCGCGCAGUCGCUGUGCCUGGGAAAUGAAAUGCUCACACCCAAGUUUGGCAUCGACCCCUUUGUGCCUGGGGGCUGGGAGGCAGGAGGAGUUUGUCUGUGUUGCUUUGUGUAUUUUCAUGAAUUUCGAAAAAAAAUUGCAGCACCUCGGGCCUGGUAAGAAUCUAACUUGCAGGAAAGGGUGUAAUCUUGUGCACUGUGGUGCCCGUGGGCUGCCCACGGGUCGCGGCAUGCACCGGUGCCUUGUGGUGCGGGACGACCGCAACACAAGAGACUCACCGCACUCCGAGGAUUCUGCCCCACGGUGGGCUCCACCACGUGUACCACAGUUGCUUGGCAUGCAUGGUGGCGGAGACUGUACCGCGUUUCAAGGGAGGGGUGCCACGGGUGCUGGGCGGAUCCGUCGCGCGCGGUGGCAAACCCACCUCCCGCGCCUAUAAAAGGCACGCCCCAGCCACGGAACGGCUCAGAGCGAAGCCGGGUGAGGGGCCGUUAAGGCGGGCGGUGCCACGGAGGCGCGAUGGUGGUGCAUUCCAUCAGCGCUUAGCACCGACGGGUGCGCUACCAUCGCGCCCCUGCCGCAUCACCCCAUCGAGCCCGCCCCGAGGGGCGUCGUAGAGGCACGGUGGUAGUGCAUGCCAUCAGCGUUCUGCGCCGACGGGUGCACUGCCGCCGUGCUCCUGCCGCACCUCCUCAAGCGGGUGGCUCCUGGGCGAGGGUCGCCGCGGAGGCACUAUGGUGGUGCAUUCCGUCAGCGUCCGGCGCUGACGGGGUGCAUUGCCGCAGUGCCCUUGCUGCGUCCCUUCAUAAGACACCUCCGCAAGGAGCAGGGGCUGCCGCAGAGACUCUAUGGUAGUGCAUGCCAUCCGUGCCUUGCGCCGACGGGUGCACGGUCAUAGUGUCCCGGCAGCAUUCCCCUUGAGAGAGCCUUAUUUCGGGCGCGAGUCGUUGCGAGGACGCUGUGAUGGCGCCGGUGUCGGCGCCCGCCGCCCAUUCUGGCCCAUCACCGCGUCCCUGCCACAGCCCUCGAGCAGUUUUGCUCCCGGGCAACGAGGGUUGUUACGCCCCUCAGGACGAGCUCCCCAGAAAAACCAGGUCUUCCCAGUUGCGGGGGCUGUCGCCGGGAGGCUAUAACUUCCUCGCCACCCGUGCCCGCCGCUCGGGGUGGGGCACAGCUGGCGGCGAGGACGUUAUAGCCAUCUUGCGGCUGCUCCCGAGGUGGAGUCCUCCUAGGCCAGGGUCCCUCCCUGAAGGCGAGUGUCGCUGCAUGAGCGUGGUGGUAGCAUCGUCGUCAGCGGUUGCCGCUGGCGGCAAUCCUGCCCCCGCGUUCCUGUCGCAUCCCUCAGAAACAGUUUCCCUUGAACAGGCACCCGAGGUGGAUCCCUACCAAGGCAGUGCUCCAGGUGGUCUUUUCCGCCAAGCGUCACGAGGCAUUGGACUGAACGGAAAAGCUAAGUGCGUGAACAUGAACGCUGAAUUCGCUAAAAACGGAACGAAAUUGAGCGUUAUCUCGUUGGGUGUGGCCCCAGAUCCUGCGCGUAGCCGGAGUGUUAAAAGGAUGCUUGCGGGGGGAGUGCGCUCCCCGUGUGGCUUCGCGGGUCCGUCCCGGAAGGGCACGGCUUGGAGUAGUUACCCCGCAAGUGGAGUGGCUCCCCACUACCGCUUGGCCCCAGGUCAGCACCGCGAGUCCGUCCCGGGUCCCUGGUCUGGUCAAGGGUGAGGCGCGCGAGUCCCCCGCAACACAAGGCAAAAUGCGCAAAGGCUAAAAGGGCCGCCCCGCUAGACAGCACCAGGAACAAUGAACAUGUCGAAAAACUUAAUUGACUAAGAGUCGAACGAUUACAUGGGCUAAUCCGAAGUAUAAUUGUUCAAACAGCGCUAAGCGCCACACUUGCAGGGAAAGCAAACAAAAGAAGAUACAUCGGGGAGCAACAAGCACGGCUGGGGGCUGCGGCAACUAGUUGCCGCCAUCUUCGGCCGGGGGGUCGGUGGGGAGAUCGGGCUCCGGCUUCAUCUGCAUCCGCUCGACCACCUCGUCAACGAACUCGCGCACUGCUUGGGUGUGCAUGGGCUCGUCCUCGCUGUCGGACCAAGCGUCCAGCAGGGACUCGAAGGGAAACUCCGGGUGCCGGAGAUGAAUCCGCGGGAGGAUUGUCCCGGCAACCUUCCGAGCGCAGUUGGCGACUUCGUUGGCGUCGUACUGGGCGAUCCAGACGUCGAGCGCCCCAAGCUUUCCCACCAGAUCGGAGAAGAAGGGGAUCAGCGUCGUGACAUCUAUUCCGUCCACUUCCGUCGCCUGCAGCUCGAACUUGGGCAGCAGGUCGCGCAGCGGAUGGGCGAUCUUCAGCAGCUUCUCCGUCUCGAUCUGCCGCUGCCCGAUCAGCGUGCCGUGAUGGAGUCGAGCGUCGUGCACGGCCUUUUUGGCCUUGUGGACAUUGCCUUCCAUCGCCGCGAGCUCCGCGGUCUUCACCGCGAUCUCGUUGCCGGCCUUGGCAAGCUCCUCUCGGACGGCGGCCAGCUCGGUCUCAAGCCUGGCCGCUGUCCCUGGCGGAGCCGAGCUCGGUCUCGUGCCGAGCCGCUGCUCCCACCGCAUCUUCGGUGGCCUUGACUUGCACCUCCAGCAUGUCGCAGAAGCCUUGGAUUUCGCCGAGGUAGUUAGCGAUCAGGACACUCUUCUCGUCCAGCCGGGUCUGGGCCGCCGCGACCACCUCGGCAUGUUCCUUCCUGGUCGCCUCGAGGGUGGCCGCCAUUGAGUCCAGCUUCCCUUGAAGCUCCGUGCGCUGGGCCUCCAGCUGCCGGUGGAGCUCGGCCUCCGGGACCACCGGCUGCCAGGCGUCCUCCAAGGCUUGCCGGGCCAGCCGCGCCUCCUCCUCGGCGAGGCGCGUCUCCUUGCGCCGCCGGGACAGUUCUCGCCGCUCUCUCUCCACGACCUCCCGCACCUCGCCAAGUUGGUUCUUGGCGGCAGCGUGAUGCUCCCUCACCUCGUUGAAGGAGGUGACGAAGACCUGUUGCUGGUCCCUAACGGCGUCCAGGAACCGGUGCCCCCGUUCGAAGAUGCUCGGAUCCUAGGUGAGGGGGUUCCAAGCGACCCCGGCGAGGGUGCCGAGGUCGGUACCGGGGAGAGCAGCCGAGGACGAUGAAGCCCCCGCUGCCAAUGUGAGGCUGUGCGCGGGGUUGCCAGCCUGCUCCCGGGGGUCCUGUUGUCCUUCCCCGGCAACUUCCCCUGCGCCUGCGCCUAGGGACCCCGGGGCUGGGGAAGCCUCCCUGCUCCCGGCGGGGGCUGUCCCCUACUGGGCGGCAGGUGAGUCCGCGCCAGUCGCGUCCGCAGCUGCGGGCACGUCGCCGGGCGCCGUCAUAGCGGCGGCGAUGUCCACCGCUGCCACUGUCUCUGCCGCGGUGGGGCUUGACGUGAGAGUCGGUUCCGGCUCCACCUCCGCCCCCGCGACCUCGACGACCGGGUCAAGAUCGACCACGGUCGCGCCCGUUCCAGGUGUGGGCGCACUUGUGCCUACGACGAUGAUAAGCAUGAGGAUCGGCGAGUAAUGGGCUGGCGAAAACGGACAAGGGUGACCAAGAUGGUUACCUUGCGCGGCUGUCGGGCUUGCGGGGGGAGCCUCUCCUGCCUUGCCUGUGCCGGCGGGAGCGUCCAAGAGGCUUGCCGCGCGCGGGCUGCCGGUCACUGCGAAAAGAGGUACGUUCAUGAGUUUGGCUAACAAAAAUUGCAGCUGCGGAGAAGUAAUGAAGACAUACUGGUUGCUGGCCCUGCCUCCGUGGGGGCUGGGCCGUCAGGGGGCGCGAUCGCGUCGCUGCCAACCCUUGCGGCGGUGGGGUCGGCGGCGCCACUGGCAUCGGCGCGCGCCCUCUUGCUUGGCGUGACGGGCGGGGAAUCGCUCCUCGCCCUCUUGCUGGCACCCGUCCGCGAGUUGGACUUCAGGAGGUUACGUCGGAGCGCGAAUCCCCGGAAGACCCCCCGAGCAGGUGGCGUCGUAGGCGCCCGCGGGGUCGUCGCGACCCGGAGAGCCCCGGGUGUCGACGGUGAUGCCGCCGCAGUGCCGGGAGCCGAACUUGAGGAGGCUCCCGCUACCGGGGCGAAGGCCGUUGCCGAGACUCCGGCGACCCCUGCGGACGCGGGCGCUGCCGGAGUAUCGGCAGGCGCCCCGGGACCGGCUGCCGCCACGGUGCUGGUGGCUGCCGCUGAGGCGGAGGACGCCGACGAGCGCCCCUGAAGCGGCCGCCAUCGCAAGGUUGGUGGCCGCUGCCGGGGCGGACGUCGCCGUUGAGGAGAUUGCUGCGGCCGCUGCAAAUGCCCUCGAUCUCCUCACGAUCAGGGGCGUGCUGUCGCUGCUUUCGUCGUCAUCGUCCACGGGGACGACCUCCGGGGACGCAACCGCCUGGCCCGCCUCAUCGUGCAGCGACUGGAGGGAGGGCCAGCUGGGCUCAGAUCCGCCCCCGCUCUCCUCGAGCACCUGCUGCUCGCGGGGUGCUUGCGGGGGAGCGUGCGGGACCCGGGUGGGGGUGUCGUCCAUCAACCCCCACUCAUUGCAGGGCGGGAAGGCGCCGACGAUGUCGCUGAGCGCCUUGACGCCGACGUGAAGGCAGGAAACCCCCAGCGAGAACUCCGUUGAUUAGAAGGUCUCGCCGGAGAUCCCCCUCACCCAUGUCCUGAGGGUCUCCAAGUCCACGCCGUCCUGCUAGAGGCGUGUCCUGUCCCCGGGACCCGUGUACAUCCACGCGGGCCGGGAGCGUAGCUGCAGAGGGGCUAUGCGCCGAUGGACGAAGGUGCGUGCCACGUCCAUGUCGGUGAGCCCCGCUAGCCGCAGCGCCUUGAUCUUCUCCACGAUGGGGAAGAGGUCGGCGUCGCGGUGGUACCUGUCUGCCAGCCGUUCUGGGGUUGCGGCAGCUCCGUCGGCGACUGGAUGAACUCCUGGGGGUCCUCCACUCGGACCCAACACCAAUCGCUCCGCCACUCCUUUUUGAUUUUCUUCCCCGACCGGACGAUGAAUUCGGACUUCAUCUGGUCGCGGGCGCGGAAUACCACCCCCGACGACAUUGCCUUCGCGUUGUCAAUGCGGGGGUAGAAGUAGUGGCGGAAGAGCCCCACCGACGGCAUCACCCCCACGAACGCCUCGCAGAGGAACUGGAAGGUGGCGAGGAGGAACAAUGACGUGGGGUGGAGCUGCGCCACCCGCAGCUGGUAGGACUCCAUCAGUGCGUGGAGAAAUAGUGAGAAGGGCGGCACCAGGACGCAGAGGAGGAAGCGCGCGAACACCCAGAAGUCGUUGUCCUGGUGCUCGACGCCCGCCGGGAAGAUCAACGUCUCCCCGUGCUCGUUGAAGUUGGAGGCGACGGCGUGCCGGAGCUUCCCCAGUGCCUCGCCGUUGUAGCCGGGGCGGAAGAAGGCGACCGCGGCCCGCAUCUCCCGCCUCUUCUGGUACUUGGCGGCGGCCGCCUUGGUUGCCGCCUCACUCUUGCUGGCCGCGGUUUUCUUUGAGACCUGGAUCUCCUUCCCCUUUCUGGUGGUGGGGGGCGCCAUGGAAUGCGAGGGCGAAAGCUAGCAGGAGCGCUGGGAUGCGAGAUGCGGAAGGGGAUGAAGACGAAGGCUAUGGGGGCAGAGUGUUUUUCCCCUUUUGGCAACAGUACAGUACGAGCCUUAUAACGCCCGGCCGUUUGGUAAUGGCCGGUUCCGUACCCUACGGGUGCGCUGGGAUAACUCCUAAUCAUUACGAGUAAUACGCGGCGUGGCCUUAACUUCCCUAUUUAGGGGGGGUGUUUGGGGCGGAAAUCACGCGCCCACUACUCCGUUUGUAACGGCGCCGUACACGGGGCAGUGAAGGGACGCGGGCCGCGGCAAAUCGGGGCCCACACGUCGGUUAAGGGCGUAGCCCGGAAACCGACCUGGGGGAGACUCAUCCGGGAACAGGUGAUGCCGGCCCACGCCCGGGGGCUACUGUCGCACCAGUGGCACUCGAGGUACCACCGCUGCGCGACGCGUGGGCCCCGUCCUCGAGUUCCCGGGAAGGUUUCAUCCCGGGCAACGGCUACGAGCAGUCCGGCAAGCUACCAGCCCAGAAGGGCUAGCGGGGCUUCGAGGAAUAUUCCCGCCUGGGCACCUCCCGGGAAGCCGCUUCCCGAGGGGAGGUUCCCGGGUGCGUUGGGCCCAGGCGCUUCCUGGGGAGCGACUUGCCGGGACAGGGAGUUCCCGGGCGCCUGCCCCCGCCUCAAGCGUGGGGCCCAGUAGGCAGAUCAACAGCGCCACGCGGGUGCGUGGCAGGCGUGGGGUGCGCGGCCCCACCGGGGCAAGGAGUAAGGCGCACGGCUCAUUAAAUGAGCCGACCAACGGGGCGUUACCCGUCCGAUCAAGUGAACAGUGGUUGUCCAAUCCUACCCUAGGGUUUUAGACCCCUAGCGGCAGAGGUGGCAUCCAUGCGCGCCACUAGCUCACCGGGGGGGGGGGGAGUUGUAUGCCUCCCCGAUCGACACUUGUAACGCAUGCACCGUGACACCUGUGGUAUCCCCUUGAGUAUAAAAGGAGGACCCCCACCAACGGUCAAGGGGUUCGUUCGGUUGGAAUCUCAGUUGGUCCGAGUAGACGGUAGAGUUCGGCUGAGUUCGGUCAUCCCACAGUUAGCCUCUAGCUUGAGCAGAGAAUAGUAAGGAGUACUUAGCCAAAGGGAGAGAGUACCCGGGAACUUGCCUGGCAGCCUGUAAACACUCGAUUCACAACCAAUACUAGCUCAGACAAGCAAGACGUAGGGUUUUACACCUCCGGGUGGCCCGAACUUGGGUAAAAACGUGCGUGUAUCGUUCCCUUGAUUAGCGCGCACUUUCAGUACAUCCUUUCACCGGCCCCACAGGGCCUCGUCGGCCGAGCUGGCGAUCGCCGGGGCGAACCCCGACGCCCCUACCAAACCUAAAAGGGGGUCGUGCCCGCACGCCCCCGAUGCCGGAGCACCGUGCGACGACACGCCCGCGCCCGCGGGCGCACCACGCUGUGCCGUGUCCGCGCCCCCGCUUUGCCGCUCACACGCGCACCACGCCGCGUUGCGCACCUAGCCGCGUCGCUCCGCGCCGCGCCGCGCCUGCGUUGUGCCACCCGCGCCCACGCGCGCCCCGGGCCGUGCCGUGCCGACGCCCGCGCUCCGUCGCCGACGCCCGCGCACACCCCGGGCCAUGCCGUGCCCUGGCUGCGCUGCGUUCUACCGCCUGCGCCUGUGCGCAUCCUGCUGCGCCAAGGCCGAGCAAGGGCUGAGCCCGCGUCCACAUUGCGCCCCAGCAUGCGUGCGGCCAUGCCGCUCCCUCACCUCACCAAGCCGAGGCCACACUCGUGCGAAGACACGCCCACUUCCACGCCCGGAAGCGACGCCCCGGGAGCGCUCGACAGAAUGCCCACGAAGACUCGGAGAUGGAGAGCUUCCGCGGCAGCACCUCGGCAACCAAUGCGACCUCCGUCAUGAGCAGAAAGUGGCUAAUGCCCCUACGAGGCGCCUACAAUACACCAACCUCUCGAAGAGAUGUCGGGCGCCGCCGAACUCGUCUUCGACGCCGGACAAAUCAAACAAGCAUGGUGUAGGCUUCUCCAGUGGAUGGGGGUUCCAUUUUAUAGGCCACCGGAGUUCCUAGACGUCCGGGUCGGGCCAAUGGGGCGGCGACACCUCGCCGUCCUUCAUCCCAAGGAACAAGACAAGGAGAGGAAGAAAGAAGCAAGGGAAGUUUUGCCUUUUCCCAAAAGGAGGCCGGCCUGGCCGAAGAGGGGCGCCCCCCGCCCGGGCCCCGUGUCCCGGCCGUGCCGGCGACACCUCCGGUGACGGGCGUCGCCUGCAAAGGCGAAAGGCAGCCCCUAACGGUCCCUCCCCCGUACGAGGGAAGAAGAAGGACGGUGGUCGUCCGAUCUAGGGUGCCAGGCCGCUUGCGAACCGUCGGAUCGACAACUUAGUCCUGAACCGGUACCGGGCUCUAACUGGGCCACGGCCCAGUAUUGGCCCAGGAAGUCGGCCGGAAUAAAAAAAAAGGAAAAGGGGGCUGCGCGCCCAGGGACGGCCCAGGUGCCGGCCCGGCGUGAUCCCGCACCCCCGAAAAUGGCCCAGCCGGGGAAAUUGCUAAUAAGACCCUGAAAAUUUCGGGGAGGCCCGCAGGGCCCCUGAUUUUUGCAAAAAAGUCCUCCUGGACACCGGAUUUCUCGCAGAGAGGCCCCUAGGUCCCGGUUUUGCUAAAAAUACCCCCCGAAACUCAAUUUCUCGCAAAGAACAUCGUCAUGGGCAUGGAAUCGCCCCACGGCGCCUCCAAAACUCCCAUUUUUUGUAGGAAAACCAUCGAGUACUUCUGCUUCUCAUAAGGAAGCCAGCCAGGGAAUUCAUCAAGGACACCAUCGCAAAUACAACGACAUGAUUCAAGAGUCUCACCUCAGAGGUUGACCCGAAGGCAUUCUCAAUGCCUCCAGCUCAAGGGGGCUACUGUUGUAGUAAAAUAAAACCCUUAUAUGGGCCGGGUCAUAAAUUCUACGUGGCGACGACCAAGUCAACAUUUCGCAAACACAAGUCAGGACGCCUACGUGGCACGGUCAAUCCUACGUGAUAAAAGAAGACUAGUCAACGAGUCAAGCCUCUCAUGCCAUGGUCAAUGGGUCAAAUGAGCUAGAAUAGGGGGCAAGAAAGGUAUGAGAAGGGGGCCCUUAGUCCAUGGUGGACCAUGGACCAAGCCCCUCUUUUCCCCCAUGGUGCACACAAAAGUUAUGGACCAAAAGAGCUACUUUUACCACUUUGCCCCACUUUUCUCUUUCUCUCAAGGAUAGUCAUGGUCUUUUGUCAUGGACCCCUAGGUUAUAAAUACCCCCCCAUGGAGGCAUGUAUCAUUCACUCUCAACUUGAAUAAACUCAAGGGGAGAGGGCUAGAGCCUCUUGCAAAGAGCUCUAGUUUCGAGAUCCAGGAAGACGUGUUCGGCCCGGACUCGAAGGAGAAGGGGUUGGGUUAGAGUUCUUAGGGUAUCCUAACCUCGAUACUUGGAAAGACGCGUUCGGUCCAAGUACGAGACGGCCUCGACGAAUCUCUCGUCAAAAGGUGUCUUGGGAAGAUCCGCUCGGCCCAAGUCCUUGGCUAACAACCCCCUCGAAGCUUUUUCUAACAUAGGAUUAAGUCGCACCCGCAGGGUUGACCGAACCUAUCCAAAAAAUAUCGACGUGUCAACUUGUUCAAGCGUACGGCGACUUUCGCUAUAAGACCGGCGUACACGUCCUAUUUUUAUACCCGCACUUGUGCCAUCAAUCAGUGGCAUCCCUUACUUUAAUUAUUGUCGAGAACAACAACAGUUAUUAUUGAGUACAACCUUAUAUGAGAUAAACGUGUGAUUGCAUCACAAUUUGACAAGAAUACGGACAUGUGCAUGUAUGUGUCCGGGUGUUUGGAUCAGAGUUGGAUUUGUUCGGGUGUUUGGAUCAGAGUCCAGGAAGGAAGCAGCCUGCGCUGCAUAUCAUAGAAAACCAUCGUUACUUUUUUCUUUGCUCCGUCUUUCUUUGGUAUACGAUCUCCUUGCAUCUCAAUAACGUCCGCAUGCAGCAGGCGGCCGCAUGGCAGCAUUGCAGCGCCUGCCGGUGCCGCUUUCUCGCUAUGUCCUCGGCAUGAUCGCCGCGACCUCUGGUCGAAGCCGCCGAGCGCAUCGGCGCGCCGCUGCUAGCCAGAGCCAUCCCCACCGCAGGCAGAGCCUCCGCUGGCUGCGCGCAUCGCACCGGCCGCAAUCGCUAUUCGUUGUCGCUGCGACCACACUCCCUCCGAUACAACCGCCAUGCCAUGACCCCGCGGCGCUGGAGCCGCCGCUGGCCCUCGACGCCAUUACCAAAGAGGUUAGUGUUUUUCUUUUCGAUGUUGCAAACGUGUCCAGAUUUUUUUUAAGAACUUAGCAGGAGAUCUACUUUUUCAUUAAAGUGGACGAGAAAGUAUACAUGACUUGACAAAAAGAACCAAGCCAAUUAUACAAGCAACUGGCUGGUUUCAAAUAGAAUAAGCUACUCCUAACCCUCCUCCUCUAACAGGAGGGCACAUUCAGAUCUUAUAACCAAAGCCACGUUUUGCGACGAUGAUCUACAAUCCUUGAAUAUUCGCUGAUUUCUUUCUUUCCAAACAUGCCACACCACCAUGCUAGCCCACACAAUGUCAGAAUUUUUCUUCCUUGAAUUAAGUUUCAGCAGACGACUCCACCAACAAAUUAGCGAAGUACUUUGCUUAACGAUCCUACACAUCCUCGGCCUCUCUUAAGAAAGAUCCCCAUAUCUCUUUGGAGAAAGGGUAGUCAAGAAUCAGGUGUCGUGCCGUCUCCAAAACCUGAUCGCAAAAGCAGCAAACGUCUCCAUGAGGCCAGCCCCUCGAAGCCAGCCAAUCCCCAGUCUAAAACCUGUUCUGGAGCAAAAGCCACAGGAAAAAACGAAUUUUGCCCUCACAUCUGACACUCCAAGCUGAGUUUAGAGCCACCUUUGAAGUUCUCCCUAAAAAUUGCACCUCAUAAGCUGAUUUGGCUGUGUAAACACCACUGGCAUCGAAUUUCCAUCUAAUGGAGGCUUCCUCCUCAUUCAGAGUGGUACCCUGUGUGUCCAGAUUUUGCAAAAGUUAACAUAAUCCAAUCCAAUCCGAGUGAAGGAAAACUAAUUAUACACCAAUAGUAAGGGCCGGCGGUCAGUCCAUAUGGGAUGACAAACACCAAUCGGUAAGGGAAGUCAGUAAAAAGGCCGGAACAACCAAUCCCAGUAGGCCACAAUAGCCAUGGUAGGCCACAAUAGCCAUUGAAACUAACAGUCCACCGUAGAGAAUUGCAAAUGAUGCAAAUUAUCAGAUGUACGUAAGAGACCUUAAGGCUAGAGCAAAAACGUCAGGCCCGAAAUAGCAACUCCAACAGUCAAUGACGCCAAAUUGAUAUGAGAUGUUCACUAAAAUGAGUUGAUCUCCAUCGGAGAUAAAGAAAAUAGGAAAUCAAUAGCCAAAAGAAGACCAAUUUUUACACAGAAGCAGCGAAGGAACAAUGUGGCUCACAUUAUCGGAUAGAUGCAUGUGAAUCGGAUGGAAAUAUACGUCCACAGAGUCGCCGAUUCCGUACCUGCGAUACCAACUGUGGACUGGAAGCAACACCCUUGCACAAACGACAAUAGGAAGCCGAUCUACCAUACGUUCACUCCAAUCCACAACCACGACAGCAAAUAGACGAAGCCGAACAACUCUUGCCGCCGUCCGCCGGAAGCCAUAAUUGUACCACAAACAACACGUCAGAACAAACAAGGGAAGUUCGUGUGUUAGGUAAAGUCGUACAGGCCAAUGGUUGAUGGGCGUAAUACAUACAAAAUGCAUUGGAUAAAAAGGAAUGCUUACCGCAUUACCCAUAUAAAACUAUUGAAGAAUAAAAAUCUAUACACACCUAAUAAAUGUCUAAAAAAAAUUUUGAACAUAAUAUCUAAAUGGUAUACAAAAUGAAUCUAUUAGAAAUCAAAAUAUUAAAUACGUAGAGAGAACUGGAUUAAAAAAUAUAUAUAUAACAUAUUAUUUUAUUAUACAAAAUCUAGAUUGCGCGGGUCACCCCGCUAUUAAUAAUAUGAAAAGGAAAAGAAGUUCCGUGGUGCCUGAUGCCGGCAUCGCGGCCACCUGCCUUUACUCGCCCACUCCGCCGACGGAAUCGAUGCGAAUUCCCACACGCACAGGCUAACCGCCCCCAGAUGCUCUGAGAGGACCACCACGUACGCCAUGGCAGACCGGAAGGAUGCAGGUGGGCUCAGUGAAAACAUGGCACGACAGCUCGCAGGCCACGGCCCACGGCAAUGCUGGAGUCGGUCAGGAAGUAAGCCACGGGCUCACCACCAUGGAACGUGACAGAGUAGUGCCCCCGACGCUGUCAUCGUCUUCCUCCGGCGUGUCCAGGGAGCGUCAUUAACGGACGAGGCAUCCGGAGAGAGCGAAAUGGCGUUCUCCAUACGUUAGUGCAGGAAUGGAACACGUCCAUGGACAGCAGGGCCGGAGCUCGCCGACGACGAGGACGACGCCAUAGGGCGAGGAGCUGUACAUGGAGACGGCUUGGAGAUUCGUGUCGGUAGCUCCGGGCGUGGCGGGAGCGCACGGGAGGCGCCGGGAAGUUGGAGUCUAGCGCACGGUAGAGCACGAGCCAGCCUACGACGGCGACCGGCACUGGCGCGGGCCGCGGACUCUGCAUGGCUUCGCACGACCAAGACCCACUCGAGCUGCUAAUUCACGGUACUAAGAGCAAGUCCAGCAAUCCUCCUAAAAUUUCUCCCCUAUAUCUCAAAAUGAGGGAUUCCCUAAAAAUAUUUCCUCCUAAAAAUUGGCCAACUCCAACAGUUUACCUAAAAGAUCUCCCUAAUUCUAUAUUUUAAGAAUUUUUGUAACUACUUUUUGAAACCCAACAACUAACUCUCCAACGACUAGUUUUCGAAUGGUUGGAUUUCUAACGGCUACCUUUUCUGAUCUAUAUAUACAUGAUCAUCUCUCACAAUCUCGAGAGCUCGAUUCGGGCUCGAUCCAAACUUGAGAAACGAGAGCGGGGACGUACCUGUCGGCGGGAGGGAUCGAGCGGUUGCUCCCUGACGUGAGGGGGGAUGCCCCCACCACCUCGAUCUAUAGGAGAGAAGGAGGGGGUGGAGAGGAGAGACUUUUUUUUUUGCCUUUUUCUUCUCCCCUAAAAAUGCUAUUGGGAAGGUGAUAAGGGAACUGCCGGAAUUGUUCUAAGGCUGCUGACUGGGAUCCAACAUUCAAUUGGGCUGCUAAUUUUUGUGUGUGGAUGCUAAUUUUUGUGUGUGGAGAAUUGGGCUGCUAAUUGACUCAAGGUGGACUCACUCGUCCCGGGGCCACAUCAUCGAUCCAUGUUUGAAAAAGCUAUGUCAGUGCCUAAUAAAUGGGAUUAGCGAGUACAAGGUGCUGAAAUCAGGAUUUCAAGUGAGGGUUUGAUCUCAACGACCUCUGUAAAGACAAGAUUGAAAAUAAACUUUUACUCUUUUUUAUGCCAAGUCCCGAUCCUUCUGUUCAGUUUUUGUUUUUUGAGCGAAAUCUUUCUGUUCAGUUGAUUUUUUUUUUUACCGAACUUCUGUUCAGUUGAUGGUUCAAUUAAGCUUGCUGGACUGUUGGGAGUCUGGGCCUGGUUAUUCUAUUAAGGCCUACUGAACUUGAUUUGCACACUAUGCCACUAUGGGCUAUUGGGCUUUGAGCCCCAGCCUUCACAAUAGGAUACGCAUUUGUUGACGGCUAGUGCAAAUGCUUUGGCAUUUCUCAGCCGUAUGAAUUGGCCGAAUCAAAUACCAAGGCCUCAUUGAACACAGAGGACCUAGAUGAGAUGAGGCCGGCCUAUCCACGCUUGUGUGUCCUCUGAAGACUACAUCAAUUGGGUCAAUUCGAGUCCAAGUCUUCCCCUACGACUCGAUCCAGAUUGUGAUGGUCGUUGCCUUGUAAUAUAGCCGAACUCUUGGAAAGGAGAUUGCCCGGCCUUGGCAAAUGGCAGUGGCAUGCAUGCACAUGGAACCAUGCACCAAUUAAUAAGAAAAUGAAAUGAUACAGUAGCAUCCAAUUAUGGUUGGCUGUUACCUCAGCUGGUCUAUGCUUUUUCCACACGGGCUGACAAAAUUUGGCAGGCAUGGAUGCACCCGUACGUGCAAAUUAGUUAGCGAUGUGGUGGAAUUCUAUGUCCCGUACAUCCACAUGAUGUGGAUAUGAGGAUAUCGGUGCAACACGCAUAGAAAGAAGGUGAGGAUACACAUGCAUACAUUGUACAUACAAGCUAGUGGCCGGGGCAAUUGGGCAUACAGGAGCACAGUCGCUACUCGCUAGCGACGUUCUAUGGGCUGCAUGCUUGGUUUCUUCGCUUCUGCCAAACCAAACACUCCGAUUUGUAAGCUUCCCUAUUACAAGUGGGGUAGUUUAUUACGAGUAGUGAUGUGGCGCUAGCGGCUCAAACAUGCCACGAGGCACUGGAUGAUCCAUGUAUGGUACUCUACCUUGAUACUACCGUUAUGAUGAGUGCAUUCUCGUAGUUCCAUUCGUCUUAUCCAGUUUUAGAGGCGAUGUAUUCAGUGAAAACUCUUGUUCAGUGCAAAACUGCAAACUUCUUUAAGAGACCAUUAGAUUUGAAAUAUACGUCUCAGACGAGAGGUAGGAAUCCCUCAAACUACAGCCACUUAAGCACACCUUUAGUACGUAACACCUCGGAAUAGUUCUGUAACAAUUCAGAUAAUAAAAAAAAUAAAAAAACUGUCCGUCUUAUCGAUCGAUCAGAAGCGACAUCAUCUCUUUAUGAAAAAAAGUGCGAUUCAUUGAUCUGGAGUGUCGCCGGCCAGGUCCACCCCCUCGACACGAGGCGACCUGGACCACCUCCGCAACGGCGACCAGGAGCACCAAUGCAACGUUGAACUAGAUCCCCAACAAGACAACGACUUGGAGCUUCGCCCUCGGCCUUCCAUGAUGCGCCGCCCUCUGCCACCAUCAUGCCUUCCAUGGCGACGGCCGACGUGCCCCCAUCGACCGGCCAACGAGGCAACGGGGUCGUCACGGGACAUGGCCGGUGAUAUCGAUGAGGAAGCUCCCCGGAGGAUGCUGUCGUCGGACACGGUGGAGGACACUCCAGGCCGUACUUACCAUAAUAGCAAGUCAGGCGGCUGUUGUAUGAUGCGCAAGGUGGUGACCAACGCGGCGGAGCAGGAGUGGUAGAGGCGGCUGCACGCAAGAGAGGAGAGGACGAGGAUGUGGCCGUGGAGAGGAGGGCCUUCCUGGCCGUCGGUGACCAUGCCCCAGCGGCGGCGAAUGACGAAAGGAGGGGAUAACUCCCAAGUCGCAUGAACAGCUCGAAUUACUUCCACAUAAAAAUAAGGGUUUUCGUAAACAACUGCGUUUAAGUGAGUGGUUUCAAUCCCACCUCCUAUCUAAACCGUAUAUUCAAUGUCGCUGUAAAAAAAACCCCUAUAUUCAGUGUUCCAUGAGAAAAAGUUUGCCAGAUUUCAGUGGAUACGUUGCCAUAUAUUAAUUACACGAGCUUGACAAAAUGAUGGCCUUGAUUUUGUGAAAUGUAGCCGGCCAAUAGAACAAAACUGACUGAUACCGAGAGCAACUAAUUUCUCUGAACCAUGGAUAGAUAUAUAUCAAUAUAAAUAGCAUCAUGCAUCGCCGGCCAUAUGGAAGUAUUGUCUUUGUUUUCUGUUGGGUCUAUGGAAGUUUGUUGGAAGUCUUCAGGCUUUUUCCACACGAAUUGACGGAAUUUGUUGGGAAGCAGCAGCAGGGAGAAAAAGGGCUGCGGCGUCCAAAGGAACGGUGUUGCCACUUUUGUCCGGACCCAUGGCCUGAUGCCCAAGUGACCCAACCCAAGUGGGGUUUGCGCGAGGUUCCAGCCAAACUAUACACUGGCCACUUGUGAGACAUCUUUUUAAUAGGGCCCAUCACGCGCACGGGUACACAUUUAGAGUCAGGUCAUCGGUGUUUGACCUGUCCAGGUCAGAUUCGGCCGAUCGAGCUUGUCGUAAUUGUCAUAAAUUCAUCUUUUUGCAUGCAUGGUACUAGGUUAGUACUCUGGCAGAGUGUUACAGUGGGUGGGAGUAACAACAUAGAUGCUGCCGAUCGUGUCUUUGAAGUGAUACAUAGAUAGCUGCAGUACGUACCAGCCUUUUUAUUCCUCGCGCACAAUUUUCACAGCUCUUGUAGGUAGAAUUUCGUAGUAUAUAUAGUACAACGUUACUCGGUCUGAAUUGCAUAAAAUGGUUCUAGCUAGCCUUAUCGACUUGUAAAGAAAGUACUUACCGUCGGACGUGGGAAAAUGACAAAAGAUCAGUCGUACUACGGCUCGUAAGAGAGGAAACUCAGAAAACAGACUUGGUCGUCGACGAAAACGGCCUUCACGGCGCUGCGCAUGCACCACCCUCAACCCAAAGCGCUGGAUCGGUGAACUCACAAAUGCCGAUCGUCGAGCUAUAAAUUCCUGCCCGCCACUUUGCCUGUUCACCACUCCUCUCAUCGAUCGUCUCGCCCGCCACCUCAGAAAAGCAUAUACAUCAUGGCGCUUACUGGCUCUCUCAUCGUCCUUCUUGGUGCCACAUUGACGCUGCUCUACUUCCUCGGCGCAGGUAAUUAACCGCAACAACGACAUAUAUAAUUCGAUCAUAUGAAAAGGCAGCGGUUCCGAGAGUCCGCAAGCACGUGCACAGUCUCUUCUAACAAUGGGCCGGCAAUAAUGGCUUGUAAUUCAGUCGUUUCUUUGUGGCAUACGAUCGACAUUGCAGUUGCAGAGGCGGGCGAGGUGGGUGUGAGCUACGGGACGAACGGGGACAACCUGAUGGACCCAUCGGCGGUGGUGGAUCUGCUGAAGAAGAACGGCAUCACGAUGGUGAGGGUGUACGACACCGACUCGAAAGUGCUGACCGCGCUGAAGAACACCGGCAUCAAGACGGUUGUCGGGAUACGCAACGACAUGGAGCUGGCGGCCGCCGCCGGUGACCCGAGCUGGGCCGUCCAGUGGGCCAAGAACAACGUGCUGCCGUACUACCCGGCCACGGACAUCCGCGGCGUCACCGUAGGGAACGAGGUGUUCAAGCAGGUAAGCCAGCUGAACCUGCAGCUGGUCCCGGCCAUGAAGAACGUGCAGGCGGCGCUGGUGAGCCUAGGCCUUGCCGACGCCAUUAAGGUCACCACGCCGGUCGCCUUCGACGCUCUCAAGACGUCCUUCCCGCCGUCCCAGGGCGAGUUCAAAGACGACAUCGCCCAGCCGGUGAUGAGCCCCAUGCUCGAUUUCCUGGAACAGACGGGCUCCUACCUCAUGGUGAACAUCUACCCGUACUACACGUACACGUCUCAGCCAGGCACGAUCGACCUCAACUACGCCACGUUCCGGCCCAACGACGGCGUGGUCGACCCGGUGACCGGCCUCAGGUACUCCAGCCUCUUUGACGCCCAGCUCGACGCCGUGUACUCUGCGAUCGACAAUGUGCAGCAGCAGGUGGCCUCUUCCAACGGUGCCGUGGGGACGAUGCUCAGGGGCCGGCGUCGCCACGUGCCCGUGGUGACCGGGGAAUCCGGGUGGUGCUCCUACUGCCCGCAGAGCGUGGGGGCAUCCAUGGAAAACGCUCAGGCGUUCAAUAAUAACCUCGCCAAGCGCGCGCACUUCGGCAGCGCCAGCAGCAGCAGCUCGCUCGCCGUCGUCAGCGACGGCACCCCGGCCCGCCCCGACGCCGACAUCUCCGUGUACAUCUUCGCGCUCUUCAACGAGAAUCAGAAGCCCGCUGACGAGCAGAACUUCGGCCUGUUUUACCCAAGCGGGAAGCCGGUGUACCAGGUCGACUUUAGCGGCGGCGGCGGCGGAGGAGGAACGGCGAGCUGGUGCGUGGCGAGGAGGGAUGUCAGCGACGCGCGGCUGCAGGCGGCGCUGGACUACGCGUGCAACAACGGGGCGGACUGCAGCGCCAUCCAGCCCGGGAAAGUGUGCUACGAGCCCAACACCAAGCUGGCGCACGCGUCCUACGCCUUCAACGACUACUACCAGAGCAAGGGCCGGGCCAGCGGGACUUGUGACUUCUCCGGGGCUGCUUCCAUCGUCUACCAGCAACCAGGUGACUUCUUCCAGCUGACUCCUCCUGAUCAAUUUGUUCAAGCCCUUAUUAGUGGAAACUGUCAGGUGUGAUUAAACGCUGUGGCCUGAAAUAAUUAACAGGCAUCUGCGACCCGAAGGCGGCGAGCUGGUGCGUGGCGAACGCGGCGGUCGGGGACGCGCGGCUGCAGGCGGCGCUGGACUACGCCUGCGGCAAAGGCCGUGCCGACUGCAGCGCCAUCCAGCCAGGCGGGCGGUGCUUCAGUCCUGACACCAAGGUCGCGCACGCGUCCUACGCAUUCAAUGACUACUACCAGCGCAACGGCCGGUCGUCCAAGUCCUGCGACUUCAGCGGCGCUGGCUCCGUCGUUUACCAGCAGCCAAGUAAGUUCGUUCACGCCCGAUCCGUAUGCCCGGCCCAACAUAUCUUCACGGGCCCUAUCUUCACCUUUGCUUACUUUCUCGAGUAAAUCACCCUACCUACUAGCAUAUUUGCGAAAGAACUACGUAGCUUGUACCUAUUUCCACUUUACCAUUGACACGUACUACUUCACAAUUUUGCUGCACCACCCAGUACCGUAGUGUGAUGCUUUCAGUGAUUAAUUAAGUUGUGAUAUUAUUGUGUUUGUUCAUAUUUUACAGAGAUAGGUAACUGCGUGCUCCCAUCAACGGGCUGAAUGAAGAAACGCUAGAGAGCUAAGAUCGAAGGCUACGCGCGCUACCAGCCCAUUGGUAUAUAUGGGAUUCAGGAAUAAAGCCGUGUAAUCUUUUAUUUCGCAAGAGAAAAAUAUGUGAUCAUAUCUGAAGAUAAAUAUGCCCUUUGAAUAAACCUCCACUUUUCAAUCAGUGGAUUUUUAAACCCGGUCUCCUCACGCCCUUUCCACUACUUUGACAUAACGGAAAAACGAUGUCUCUGACUAAACCAGAAUACAAAGGGGAGAUAAAGAAGAGCAACAACGUUUUACUACAUGUGGUAGGAAACCCAUUGACUGGGCUCGUAAGCAAAACACUAACUGCCGAACGAAUACCAAACUAAAGGCACCUCCGAUCAUUGCCUAACUUCUCGCUCUGGAUUGUAAAGACAUUAUUACUUUUAAAUAAAACUCUCCUGUUCCUCGAAAAAAAAAAGUGAAGGCACAUUUCCUUUGGUUACGUGCUGACUAAUUAUUACAGUACUCAUACCAUAUUCUUGCAAGGAAAUUAAUUCCUUGCUGAUUAAUUAAACUAUGUAAUAACCAAGAGCAUACGGCUCCCUACUCUCGCCGUUCUAAAAACAACGGCAUUGGAGGAAGUUGGCACAGGCUUAAAGCCGAGGCUGCAACAGCAUCUCCAAUGUCAUCCCCUAAAACUAUCACAAAUGUUCUAUUUGGGGACAUGGACAUUUUGCCUCCAAAAUCAUCUCCCAAUGUCAUUUUCUAAAUGGACAAAAUGUCAUGUUUGUCCGGACACAUCCUCCAAACUUGCCCCAAAUUUGAAAGAUUUUUGGGGUGUCCAAACAUUGUCCAGUGCUCUCUUUUGUCCGUUUCGGCCCCACAACAAGAGAUUGGGAAAUGAGAAGAAAAAGUGAAAAGGAGAGGAGAAAAGAUAAAGAAAAGAAAAAGCUAAUUUAGGAGAGAAAUUUGAGAGGUGUGGUUUGGAUGACGAGGGCGGACAUGGAACGGACACAUGUCCACUUGCUCCUUAAAUGACCCAAAAAAAGGACAUUUGAGGACGAAAUUUGGGGAUCCAUUGAAGUUGUUCUACUCCCCCGGUAUCUCCCCCAUCGUCCUAGCUGCCGAUCAAACUUUGAGAUCUACGCCAAUCAACUAACUUACCAAUGUCUUGCAUUAGACCAUUGAUGAAUUAGUCUACGAAACGUACUGCUAUUUUUAGCGACAUCUCCCAUUCUCUCUCUGCCUUUUGCGUGUGAGUGCUUUUUCCAUGUGAAUGAUGACACUUUUUUUUUCUUUUUGCAUGUGUGCUGACACCUCUUUUCCUCACAAUUUUUCUUCUGCACAUGACACAAGUGCAUAGUCAAUAUUUAGUAUGGGCUUACAUCCAAGUACAUGCCAAGUACAUCAUCAAUUUAUAGUACAUCCAGGUACAUGCCAAGUACAUCACCAAUUUAUAGUACAUGAAGCAGACCGUGACGGGUACGUCGAAAUACAUGACAGGUACAUCAAACGUACAUUAUGAUACAUGACAUGAACAUUAACAGUUUUUAAGUACCUUGUCAAAUCAAGACUGUGUACUUCAAGUCCUAACGGUACGUCACGUACCAAAGGAAAAAAUUGCAGUACAAACGUUUGUCAAAACUUAAUACCUGAUCGUGUACCAGUGGUACAUCAGAAAAAAAAGUUGACCAUCAAUAGCUGCCUAAAACAUUAAGAAACAAAAUACAAUAGAUAAACCAAAUUGCAGAUAGCCUGCAAUCUCAAUUCAAUGAAAAAACCACGAGAUCCAAAAUCAGAACAACAACAUCUCUUGCCUCCCUCAUGGUACUAGCCAGUACCAGGAUUAUGCACAACCUCAAAGGAGCGCCUGGUGUCCAUGGACCUUGCUGAUGCCGACACUGAGGAGGGCUGGAGGGAUGAGAUGUGAGCGUCGAGGUCAUCGUGGGAUGGGGAUGGGACGAAGACCACGAGGUGGUCGAAGGAGGCCCACGGCCCGCAGCAGCGGCAUCGGAAGUGCAGGACCAUGGUAGGCGGCGGCGGAGGCCGAGACCAGGGCCCGUGGGGCGGCCUUGCGCCUGGAGGUCUCGCGCACGUACACUGCUGUGCCGAUGGCGGCGGCACGGAAAGGUUGGGACGGGCUGGUGUGUGUGUGUGUGAGAGAGAGGAAUCAAGGGAAAGAUGGGCAGCUAAUUACAGAAUAAAUGGCCAAGGAUUAAAGGAAGGGAGAGACACGUGGUUGAUUAACAAGGUGGGGGUAGAUAACGGGGGUGGUACCUGGAGGUGGCACAAGCUGAAGUGUCAUAACAGUAAAAUGUCGUCGGGGGUGGUACCUAGAGGUGGCACAAGCUGAAGUGUCGUAACAGUAAAAUGUCGUCAACUAUCGUCCGGACACUAAAGCUGGAGUACUUCCUAUGCCCCGUGUGCUAAAUACUCAACGGAGAAGUCGUUUUCCCAUGUGAAUACACAUGGUAAAAGAUCCGCCGGACAAAUCACCCUAGGCGCCUUGGACCUAUGUGCUACCCGAGGCGUUGAUAUUUUGGUAUUGUUUUGUUUCGACACAUCUAUCUCCACUCCAAUCCACGAUCUUUAUUCUGAUUUCCUGAAACUUCAUGUGCCAACAAAAUUAACAAGGAAAUUAGCUGUUUUGACAGCCGGUUGAUUAAUAGAUUAGUUCAUUAUAUCUAUUUCAUAUAAAAUACACCCAGUGUCAUUUUGGCAGCAAAAUACUUGAUCAAGCAAUUAAAAAAAACGAUCCUUUAAAAAUAAUGCUUAAUUUGAUUGACUUUUAGUUAAUGACAAUAGGUCAGUUCUUUUCGGCUUUCUGGACUGACUUCUCCAAGAAAACCUAGCUUGGCCUACCAAACUAGUUUGGUCUAAACUAUUUUAAAAACCUAGCUAAAUCUGAGAUGGGGCUUCUCUAGGAAGCUAGAUGGGGACAGAUUUUAGGAGAAGCCGGUCCUAAAAGCCGAAAAGAACGCAGCCAAUGAAGGGUAGUGUAUUUACCCAUCAGUGAUGGCUUUGAAUGCAUUUUUCAAAAUAGCAUCAAUGCAAUUUCUUCAAUAGAUCCAAAGAUGCAUUAUACACAACAUAUUCUAUACAGAGUACAUAACUCAUCCCUGUUUGAAUAUCCUUCGUUCCUAUGUUAAAGCCCAUACAUCACAAUGCCAACAAACCAAACCAGUUUAGAAAAAAAAAAGGUACCUAAUACCGCUCUAGUGAUACCUCAUCAUCCCGUUCAUAUGAUCCUUCUGCCUGCAAUUACCAAAACAUGACUACAUUAUCCCACAGCUAACAUAGUGCUUGAGAACCUCUAAAAGCUACACAAGUGAAAUUUAUCACAGGUAGCAAAAUGGAAUUACCAAAACAUGAGUACAUUAUGCAUGUUGAUUGCUUUCUGAGAGGAGAACCGUUAUGGAGGUCUCGACACAAAUCCUCUACAUCUAAGUAGAGGCAACCCAUUAGCUUAUUUCUCUCAACAUGCAGCCUAUCCACAUCAGCAACCAAUCAUGUCAACAAUUUGUGCCAUGUCAUUUGUGCCAUUGCAGCAGCCCAUUUUUUGGUGGACCAGCUCAUCCUCCUUUUUCCUUUUUCCCUUGGACCUUUGACCGAUCACCUGCUGAGCCCAUCACGCCCGAUGCUUUGCUCGCUUCGUCGUUGUUACUCCAUAUCGAAUCACUGUCCGUCCGUUCAUCUCAUAAGUCGUCGCCGUUAAUGUCAAAUGGCAUGUCCGUCCGUUCCCCUUCAGUUCCAGCUUCCAUUUCCCAUUCAAUACGAGUCCCGUGACUUCUCCACUUCCUCUUCUUUCUCCUCACCACAUCCUAUAUAUCUCCAAGAAUUUCAGUGCGAAUCUGGAAGCCACCACAGACAAACAAAAAAAAAGAUCGACGUCACAGAUCAAUAGAAAACUGAAAACAAAAAACCUGGCAUCACAACAUCAAGAACUGAGCAGGAGGAUGCAGACGGCGACGCACGGUGGCGGGCGGGGUGGGACGGAGCAUAGUGAUGAGCGAGCUGGAGACGGUGCGCAAUCACGGGCGGGCAGAGGCGCUGUAGCAGGCUAGCGGCGACGCAGUUGCAGGCGCUGGCGGCACACCAACGGUAAGGGUUCAGGAGUUUCUGGUUGGGGUGAGGAAUCAGAGGGCGAUUGGCAUGAGAAUCAGGUAUCGGUACAGGGGUAUUGGGGGGGGGGGGGUACGAGAUGGGCCUUUUUCAGAGAUGGGCCUGCUAGAUGGAGUAGGUAUCGGGGGGGAUUUCGGUUCAGGUUAUUUUGGAUGGGCUGCUCGAGACAUACCAACGAUCUAUGAUUAUGUUUCAACACUAGCUAGCCAGCACAACGAUAAGAAAAGUGGAAAUAGAAAAAAUAAAAUCCUCUUUUCUUAUUUAUCAUGUUGUGUUUACAAUACAAAUCAUCUUCAUCAAAUAAUGUAUUAUAUAAUACACUCUUCAUAUUAUUUUAAUUUAGUACGUCCGCUGAAUCGUGAAUCAAAAUAUCAGGUCCGCAAACUACAUAUAUCACAUAUUGUCAUACUAAAUUUAUGAUAUUUAUUACUCCAUUCGAUCCUAAAUUGUUGUCAAAAUAUUACAUGUAUCUAGACGCUUUUUAAUAAUAGAUACAUUCAUAUUUGGGCAAAUUUGAGUCAAGAAUUUAGGAUCAGAUGGAGUAUUAUUUUUUAUGUCUUAUACUCUCAUGAGAAAACUAUUUCUUUGAAAAUUUUGCUCUUAGUUUCCGCAGCAACGCGCGGGAAAUUAUCUAGUUUUAUUAGUAAGAGACACAAUAAUUACAAAGGGAUGGGAUACACAACAAGGGAUGCAGGGAGCAAGCUAGAACAGAGCAGUAAAGCCAUGCUGAUUGUGAUUCAGACUACAGCUCUUGCAACAUCUAAUCUUUUAAAUUUACUACUUAUUAAUAUACUCCUUCCGACACAUAUUACUUGUCUCAGAUUUAGUACAAAGUUGUACUAAACCAGUGACAAGUAAUUUCGACCGGAGGGAGUAAUAAAGUUCUUUAAGAGCAUCUCCACUCGGCCCCUCUAAAGUCCCCCCGAACCGGUUAUGGGGCCGCCGGCGCCAAAAAAAAACGACCCAGCCGUGCCCUCAUUUUGUUUUCUUGUCCGGCACGGCCCCACUUCACAUCCAGCGCCCCUAGGCUGAACAUCAUCGGCACAACCCAAAACAUAAAACCCAUCUCACCCUCUCCUUCUUCCGGUGGCCACCUCCAUCCCAAAUUGCCGUCGGAACCACCCCUCUCACGAGUGACGGUCCGCAGCAAAUGGAAAGGUUGUCUGCCGCAUAGAUCUUCCCGCGCCACCGCAGCAACUGACGAAGGGUUAACUUCGGCGAUGUCCAUAUUAGUCGACUUGUGUUCAGGAAAGCUACGUGUGUGUAUUGGCAAACCCGUCAGCUUACAAGCAACGGGAGGCGAACAUUUACCCAGGUUCAGGGCCCUCGGAAGGUAAUACCCCUACGUCCUGCUUGUCUGAUCUGUAUUGAUGAGUCGAUUACAAAGUUGCCGUCACGAUGAAAAGCUCAGAUUGGAUCUGGCGAGUGCGUCUAGGCGGCUUCUGUGAGAGAUUGGAUGAUCUUGGCUCCCCCUCUUGGUCCUUUAUAUAUGCACGAAGUCAGCUUUUGGGUAGAGUCCAAGUUGAUUACAUCAUAGAGAUAUACUAUAUGUAAGCUUCCUUAUCUUGAGUCGCAAGAUUAGGCAUCUGGACUCCUGAAGUCGCAGUAGGCUUCUACAUGGGCCCGCAGCUGGGCCAUGGCGGGUAUCCUCAAGUCGAGUACGUGGUUAGUCAUAACCACGUCAACGACCCGUUCCGCCGUUGUUGUAAGACUACCGGUAGCUCCAAGCCCACCCCGCAGCCACCUUUUACGGGACGUGUUCGACGAUUUACCAAUGCCAUGAAUUCGGAUGACGAGGAGAUGCUCACCGUGCUGUUUGACGAGGAAGUCGCCGUUGCCGAUGAUGCGGCCUCUGACGGCGAGGAGGAGCAUCAGGUGAUCCUCUCUGCCCUCAUUGGCCUAAUUGCCCAGGAUGCACAGCCGCCGGGCUGGGGAGAUUCGAGGAAGGGCCGCCACAAGGGCAAGGAGGCAGAGGAUGGAGGGCUGUACGCCGACUACUUCGCCGAUGAUCCAUUGACGACGAUGUGGUCCUUCGGAGCCGUUUCAGGAUGUCCCGGAAUUUUUUGUUGAAGAUUGCCGAGUACCUCAAAGAGUUCGACGAUUACUUCAAAUUGAAGAGAGACGUCGUUUGCAUGCUUGGUUUCUCAACUAUUCAAAAAUUCACUAUAUCCCUCCGGUUGCUUGCAUAUGGAAUUCCUUCCGAUACACAGGAUGACUACCUCUGCAUGGCAGAGUACACGGACAUCGAUUGCAUAUACAAAUUUUGUAGGGUAAUUAUGGUAGUGUUUUGGGAUAUUCACUUGAGAUCACCCAAUGCAGAAGACACAGCUCGGAUCCUGGCACAUAACAAAAAAAGAGGAUUCCCAGGUAUGCUUGGAAGCAUCGACUGUAUGCAUUGGUCAUGGAGAAACUGUCCAUUUGCACACCAGCGCAUGUACAAAGGUCAUAAAGGAUCAUGUAGUGUGGUACUUGAGGCAGUGGCCGAUCAAGAUCUUUGGAUUUAGCUUUCUUUCUUCGGUAUGGCAGGAUCGAACAAUGACAUCAAUGUGUUGCAGUGCUUGAAUGUGCUCUCCAAGCUUGUUGAAGGCAUUGCUCCUCCGGUGAACUAUGAGAUAAAUGGACAUGUGUACACCAAGGGCCGGGAUACUACCUGACAAAUGGCAUCUAUCCAGAAUGGUCAACUUUUGUGAAGACAAUCUCAAAAGCACCUUCGGGUGGAGCAAGUUCUUGGUUUGCGAUGCAACAAGAAGCUUGUAGGAAGGAUGUUGAGCAGGCAUUGGGUGUGUUGCAGGCUCGAUUUCCAUUGCCGGUACCCUACUCUUACAUGGUCUAGAGAUCAGACGUGGGAGGUCAUGGUUGUCUGUGUGAUCUUUUAUAGCAUGAUCAUUGAAAACGGAAGGGAAUUUUCAGUGUUUGACACUGAACCUUAUGAACGGAUGGGUCCUCUAGCCAAUGUUGAUCAUCAUUUAUCGGCCGCCUUUGCUGCUUUCCUUGCCAAACGUCAGGAAAUUCGGGACACAAAUACUCAUUAGCAACUUUAAGAUGAUCUGGUGGUACAUUUGCAUGUAGUUCUAAUUUGUUUGCUUGAAUCUGUGAUUCAAAACUUAUUAAAUAAUGUGCUUGUUUAAGUUUUUUUAUUUGCAAAAUUAGGUAUAAGGGAGCCGUUUGGGGUGGGUGGGGGGGUGGGGGGCUGGAACUCUAGCUGGAGCCCUCCCAUACAGCCCAUAGCCGGAUGCCGCAUGGGAGGACGAGUGGACAUGCUCUAAGAUUACCGGCCCUCACGUGGUUGACACAAACGUCAUCAAGAGCAAUCAUUUUUUCUUCUUCUUUUGAAAAAGAGGACGUUCCUCCGGUCUCUGCAUCAAUCGAUGCACACAGCCAUAACAUUAUUGAAGUCACAAAUAGCGACAAAUCACAAUUAUUCAAACUCAAAAUUGGCAAUGAGUUAGGAAACGCUCCUAGCCUGUCGCCCUCGAGCCACAUCAGAACAAAGAGACCGUUUGCCCAACCUGUCUUCAAGCGCAGUCAUGUUGAUCCAAAAGCAUUCGAGUCGAAGUCUUCCCCUGUGACUCGAUCGAGACUGCGAUAUAUACAAUGGUCGUUGGCUUCUACUGCAGCCGGCAGUGUUAAACACUAGUGGACGCCUACGCCUGAAUAAUAAGCAUCUUUCUUUCUCUGAAGUCUGAUAGAAAGGACUCCUGCUUAUUUAUUGGCAUGCAUCCAUACGAACAUGCACCAGUGAUAGUAAGAAAAUGAAUAUUGUAGAAUAGCAUUCAAUUAUUAUUAGUUGUUACUUGACCUGGUCUGGUCUAGGCUUUUUCCACAGGAGCUGACAAAGUUCGGCAGCCAUGCAAAUUAACAAGGUCGAUCAGGAAUUCUCUGCACGUACGCCUAAUGUUCCAUCCACACCAGUAGAGAGCUAGUGGAGGGGUGAAGAAAAUAUGACGUUGUUCAAUGGAAGUCCUAUUUGUCGUUCUCACGAGUUUUUGACAUAUGGAUCAGGUGGACAAAAUGGACUAGUAUUGGACACGUAGUUUUGAUGAUGACCAUAUUUUCAAAUUUGGGAAAGAAAUGAAAAAGAUUGACACAUUUUGAACAAAUAAGAGUUCUCAUUGCGUUGCAUUUUUGUUAAUGAACCGUCAAAUGAACAAAUGAAGAGGAUUUGGAGAGUGCCUUGAAAAUGUCGCAAACACGGUACUUUCAAGAGGCGUAGCUAUGGUUUUUGUUUGGACCACCUGAUCUAAGAUGGCAGGCAUGCAGGAGGACGGUGACGAUCGAUACACAAACGUAUACACAAGUGGAGGGAAAUUGGGCAUAGAGAACGCAAUGUCGCGAGCGUCCUUUUAGCUGUAGAUGACAAGGGUAAUUUUUUGCCCUUAUGUCACCAAAUUUAUGCUGAACAAUUAUGUCAAAUAAAAUACACCAACCCAGCCAAAUUUAGUCUACCAGCAGUUUCAUAUAGUGAGGAAGAAAUUUCUCUCAACCUUGCAUGCGUGGACACCAGUAUAAUGAGUAGCAUGCAUGGCCAGCUAUACUCCCUCGGUGUAGGGUAUUUCCACACGAGUUGACGGAACCUCUGUUAAGAAGUACUCCCACAGGUAUAUAUAAUGAUAAAAAAUAUAUUGUGUAGGGUAUUUCCUCACGAGUUGACAGAACCUUCGUAUAGACUUAUUAUAUUGCAUGAUAAGUCUAUACAAAAAUCUAUUAAAAUCUCUAAUAAAUGAUAAAUAUAUUAUGAAAAUAUAUAUUAUGCCAGAUUUAAUAAAAUCAAUUUGGAGUUAUAGACGUCGACAGAUUUUUCUAUAAACUUGAGCAAAAUUUUAAAAAUUAACUUAGGAUAAAGCUAGGACUUAUGUUUGGUCAAAACAAAAGAGUAGAUUUCAUAAAAUCACGGGUUUUGAGGCAUUGUAGGCGCUCCCGAUGCUGGACUUGCCGGAGCUGGUGCUGGACCGCGUGCUGGAGGAGCUGGUGCUGGACCGCAUGCUGGAGGAGCUGUCCCCGGCAUCGCCGGCGACCAUGGCGUGCAUCUUUACGGGGCUCAGGGCAUGUAGGGGAUGAGGAAAAUAAAUAAAAACAAAUUGGUUUAAUGAAAAAGACGUGACGCAUGACAUACGGGACCCACAUGUAAGAAAAACCGUCAAAUGCGUUUAUACCGUUGUUUUGGAUGAUGUGAGACAAUUGGACACAAAACGUGUCGUUUUGCGAACAAAUUAGUAAAAAUGAGGGCUCGUUGAGAAGACUGCCUUAAAACCUGUGAUUUCGUGAAAUUUACAUAAAACAAAAUGGUGCUGCACUGCUGCCCACUUUUGUCCGAACCUAGGGGCCAGCCAGGGCCAAGUGGGGUUUCCGGUCGGUAUACACUGUCCACUUGUCACUUGAGAGCAAUCGUUGUGCGGCCUAUCGGGCGCGCACACACAAUACAGAGUCUGGUCAUCUGUGUUUGACACUUUGACCUGUCCAAGUCAGAUUCGGCCGAGCAUGCAUGUUGCAGGUGGGAAGAAUGUGGUCAUUUUGGUGACCAGGUCCCGUCUCGAAUUUGGUCCCGGCGAAACAUUUAUUAGGCUUAACGUCGGCGGCCUUCCUGAUGUUACAGCGCCGUUCGAUCAUAUAGGUUUUGGGGUUGUGAAUCGGUGGAUAGAUCGAGCAUUCGAGCCUGCGAGGUGCCAGGCUCCCUUACUCUGUACUAGUAUGACGCUCGAGACAAGGGACCGAUACCAAGAGUUUCUUACGGUACAUAUAUUAUAGUGUAAGGAAAACAUAAUACUUAAUGGGAGUGAUUUUAUUUAAUGGUGUCGAUUUUCUAGGAUCAAAAGUAUUACAGUUAAAAUACGCCAACAACAUGGUCUCGAACAAUACUAGGUGACAAGCUGCGAGCACAAAUGUUGUUCCUAUGUAUACUUGAUUAACAUCAACGGUAUGAUCAAAGAUUCCAUAAAUGUUUCACAUCAUGAUACUUAAUGUGUUUGACAACACUACUUGAUAUGUUGUUACUCGCGAAAACAACGAGUUCAUUAUUACAAUAUAAAUAAUUUUUCAGCAUACAACUUGCCAACUGGUCUCAUAACACGCUAAAAUUAACUUAAUUAGUUGACAUUGUUGAUCAUUUGGUCAGUGUUUGUUUUGAUAUUUUCCAAGGCACAACUCCUUUAGCGAGUUGAAAAUAUAACCUAACAUUGAUUUCUUGUUUGGCUUAAUCAUGAAUUUCUACCAAAUCCUACAAGGGUCUUUUUGGAUUGAAGGAUUUUCAUAAGAAUUUGUUAGGAUUCUAACCAAUAGGGAUUUUUCCUGUAGAGACUCUUAGGUUCAAAGGUAUACAUCCUCCAAAAUAUCAUAUAUUGAUUUUCUACAUUCUAACUUACAAGAAUUCCAGUCAAGACGUUAGACCUUUUGAAAAAAUGUCUUAUGAGUCUAUGACAAUUACGGCCUACACUAGUCUCUAUGCAAAAUUGCCUGCAUUUUUUUACUGUGCAACCAAACAACUUCUAUGCUUCAUGUGUUCUAAAUUCAUGUAGGAUUCUAAGUGCCAUCAGUGGCGGAGGGAGAGUGGGGGCCAGCAGGGGCCAAGGCCCGGGCCAUAUCUAGGAUUAGUUCUGCCUAAAUUUGUGUAUUCUAUAGUUAUGGCCCCCCUCAACAUUCACACACAAAAACAGCAGCCACAGAAAAUCUGCUCUUUGACUAAUUGACUUCUCAUAUUCCAAGCCAAAAGCAGCCUGCUGCCUGCACUCAUCGCUGGAACCGGCCGGCCUCCGGCCAUUCCUGCCCUCGAAUAGCUACAUGCGCCUGGGCUUCUCCUCUUCUUUCAAGAAUUUGUUUUUCUAUUUUUUGUCAUUUUUACUUGGCCCUCACUAUCCAAUUUUCCUGCCUCCGCUCCUGCGUGCCAUGACAUCCUUAUCUUUGUUUUCUAUUCAUGCAUUUUACGAUUCCUGUGAUUAAAAAGGAGCUAAACAUUGUUUGAGCUAAGAAACUUCAAUUUGUCGUCUUCCAUAGCGUGCGGGCCAUUUGGAUGAAUUUUCAGUUACAUCACGUCUCAGGUUACACCGGAUGUUUGCAGACUCGUAGAGGUGCAAAUGUCAAGCGACCUCUGACCCUACUAAUUUCAACCAAAUGAAGUAAAAAUUUAAAAUCACAUCUCUUUUUAAAAAACUAUAGUAGAUUUGUUUGAACUAAAGAGAGUUGCAUGGUAUCUUCUUCGGUUCAUCUUUUUGCACCUGUACUGAGUCGGCAGUUAUUGUAGUAACUGUGCCGUGAAGGUUAGAGCAUGCCAGGGCCCAGGAGGGUACCAUGCGCAGCUGUUUUGAGCCAUCAAACAAUGCGUACCUGUCCUGGAUCAAACACGCGCGACAGGCGGUAGGAGUCAAAAGGCCUUCUCUGGUGGUGCUGCACUACACCGCGCAUGCUUGGUUUCUCUUCGUGUUUUCGAUCCCAACAUCUAUAUCACGUAUUCACGUCCAUCUUCUUAUAUUAGUUUAAUAGAGGAUCAGGAAUGGUGGUGCGUCGGAUUGCAACUCCACGAUGUUUACAAUCCAACAUUGUUCUGUAUCCAACAAACUAGACUCGAAUUGGUGUGCCUAUAGGUUUAAAAAUACAUUUGCAAGAAGAUAGUUGUAUCCAUUACCCAAGUGGACAAAUGGUGUGGCUAUACAACGGCCGAUGUAACGCCAACACUAGUGCUCAACAAGAUAUUUUUCUGAACGAACAUAAGCACCUGCCUUCCAUGAACAAAUAAAAUAAGAAAUAUAGAGUACAUGGCAUGGCCGUGGAGGUAUUUGCUAGUGGUUGUAAGUUCACAUGCCUAGCUAGAUUUAUCCAACACGUGCGAGUUGGCAAUGCCUUUUGGAAAGUAGGAUGAACAAAUCAAAUAAAGGAUAUAUUGGGCAGGAUAGGCAUUAUAUGUGUUUUAUCCACAUGAUCAUGCAUUGCAUGUCUGUCGUUGGUUUUGUGCCGACCGAGCACUACUGCGUGCAAGUUGGGCAUAUGUAGAGGACCAGGAGUGAUGUUUCUGCAGUCUCUCUCUGAUAUGGAGCAUGGCUGAAAGAUCCGUAUAUACUACGCGUUGUACAUUGUGUCAAAUCCCAAAAUGAAAUGGACAGUCUUCGAUGUAACAACUGGCGGGGUGACCCGUGCAAUUUCAGCAUCUAGUUUUUUUUAAUGUAUAGACAUCAUUGCGACUCGGACCUGUUCUGAAAAAAUCGAGACAUUUCAAAUUAUUUGUUGGUACGAACAAAGCAAGAGAAACCUUCUGAAAGAAUUUACCCGCACAUAUGUAUGCGCACUAUAUUUGUUACAUCUUGUUAUUCAUGUUGUUGCAUAUUUAUAUUAAGCAAGUUUGUAGGAACCCUAGGAGCUAGCCAAAUUACAUAAAAAAAAUACUUAGUAUUGGAUUAAGCUGGACAUAGACUUCUCCUGUGGGCAAGUAGUGCAAUUACAAUAUAAUCAAUCGCUUGAUUUUCUCAAUUUUUAACUUCGUAUACAGAGUUCUAUUGUUAAAACCAACUUCUAACUUUUUUUUAAUAAGAUAAAGUUUGUGAGACCGAAAUUUGCGUGUCUUAAAAAAACAUGUGAUUGAAGCUUCUUGCUACUCUAUAUUUUCAAUCAAAUGUAAUACGGAGUAGAUUGUUUCACUAUAAUAUGCUUUUAGUUCAGAUAAACAUACUGCAUCUUCGAUUCUGAAUCCACUUACCAUAAAAAUAACUAUCUUUGAAUAGACCAUGCAGCGUGAGUAUAUAUGAUAGAUUUCCUGAAUUCCGAUUGGCAUCCUCCUGAUACACGUUGCAAGCUCUUUGUAAGUUCCCUUAAGAGCAAAGUUCAUAUUAAACCUUGACUUAGUACUAGAGCAAGUCUGAAAUCAACCAUGACUUUCUAAUCCCUGAAAUCAGCACCCUGUCCUAGCUUGUUAAUCCUGUCUAUUCUCAACCUUCAGGAAUCAAACCCCGUUUGGGAGAACAGGAUCCCUGACAUAACGGUUAAAAUUUGGAAAUUAUUGACUAAUUCAGUUCAGCUUAUUGCUAAAAUUUGACGCCUAUAUUUAUACUAAGUUAUAUAAUGUCAGAUAUAAUAUUAUUUACAAUUUUGCAUUCAUGCAGGGAAUUUGAUCAUAUGUCUAGUUACUUGGAAAAUAAAAAUAAUUAUAUGUCAUAUGAUAUAUAGUCUGUUUUUGAUCAUUUGUCUCAUUUUAUUUGGACACCUGAUGAUUUACCCUUUUCUACUUUUAACUUGAAUUUUUAUUUUUCGAGCACAUGUGAAAUGACACAACACCCAUCCGCUUGCGUAUGUGCAUAGCUGUAUGGACGCCUAUGUGGUUGCGUGUGCGCGGCGUUGAAGAAAAUGAAUGCAUCUUAAUUUUUUGUUUUAAUAUAUGUCUACUAAAAUUGACCCAAUCUAAGUUAUUUUGUAGUUCAAUGUGUUUUUGGAUAAAAAUCCCGAGAUUUGUCUAUCUUGUCAGCAAUCCCGCUCACCCAAACAAGAUUUGGUUCCCAAAGGUCGGGAUCGAACAGGAUUAUUAAGGACAGGGUGCUGAUUUCCGGGAUUGAGACGUCAGGGUUUAUUUUAGACCUUGUCUACACGUUUAAGGUUUACAAUGUACUUUGCUCUUCCCUUAAUUAUGGUUGUAGGUGUGUGCGUAUGCAACGUGACAAUUGUUUUUUUACGUACAUGAGAAUUAUUGUACCACCUCCAAAUCUUGUAAAUCUGAACCGUUUAAUUUACGGUCAACUGUGUAUAUAUUUUAAACCUAAUAUGAGUGGAUGAAUGUGGUGACUUCUCGUUCUUCUGUUUUAACAAUAUGAUAGCUGAUCCAUAUUACUUGUCGAAAUAUUACAUGUAUCUAGACGCUUUUUAAACAUAGAUAUAUCCCUAUUUGGGCAAAUUUGAGACAAAUAAUAUGGGUCAGAGGGAGUAACUUUUUUUCUAAAUGUAAGACGUUUCAAUAAAUUAUAUAACCUAUCAAAACGUCUAUAUAUACAUUUAGUAACAAAGGUAGUAUAUGGGAGUAGAUAGUAAAGAAACGAGGUGGGUGAUUAUGCCCAAAAAAAGACGCCAUAGAAGAUUUGAAUAUCUGUGUACAUAAUUAGUGUAAGGUUUUCUUUCCAUUUUAUGUUUAAGCUUGUGUACAUAACUAUAACCUUACUCUAUCUUAGUCAAUAUAAAAUAGCACUACUAUAUUUUGUUAAAAGUCAAUCAGAAAAUAUAUAAAAAAAUAAAAAAGAUAUAUAAAUCGGGAGCAGUUUUUUGCAACUCGGUUGAAUCGCACUCUAAAUCUGAGCCAUACGAUUUAAUUUAGGGAUUGUGCCCAAAAUUUUCUAUUCCCAAAUACACUAAUAUGAUGGUCCACCUAUCGAAUGAACCUGACCGUUUUCUUUGGAAGCUUACUUCCUCACGGGUUUUUUCCUGACUUUAUGUAUGGUCAGACGGUUUUUAGAGGACUCUGAAAGUUAAAGAUUCCAACAAAAGUUAAGAUAUUUAUGUGGUUUUAGACCAUCAAGUCCUUCUUACUAAAGAUAAUCUUGUCAGGUGGAAUUGAGAGGGGAGUGUGAAGUGUUGUUUUUGCGCGUGACUCUUAUGAGAUUAUACAACAUAUUUUUCUCUCUUGUCCUUUUACUCGCACUGUUUGGCUUAUCAUUUUUAUCUCUUUUUAUUUGCCUCAACCGACUACGAUUAUUUAUUUAUUUGGGAAUUGGCUUAUUGGGGUUCAUAAACAUAUUAAGAUUAUAUGCAUAGACUUGUUAUGCUUGAUUUAAUACGCUGGCUCCUUUUUAAUCCACGAUCGCUGAUCAAUGAAUUGUAUGACCUUAUCAACAAUGCAAUAAAGAUGGUUAUGUGCAUCGAUUGAUGCAGAAGUCAGAGAUCCUUUCCCUUUUCAAAAAAGAAAUAUACUGAAUACAUGGAAGAAUACAAAUGUGCUGGACCCACGUCCCGUCGCCUCUUUCCUCUACUCUCGAUCUCUCCCUGCCAUCUUGUCGCCUCUCUCUCUCUGCCAUCCCGACUGCGCCCCCCACCAGACGAAUACAGAAAAUACCAUUUCCGGACGUGUUCCACGGAAAACGUCGAUUUCAUUUCCCACUUGGUAAACUUUUGUUUGUAAAGUUUCAUUUUAGUUUUCGUCUUCUCACCAUUUCCGUUAUUCCACAGAACGGAGUAAAUGUUUUCGCUAAGUUUGAAAUCCUAGACAAGGUACCCUGUGUUGUCCCCGGUUCUUUGUUUUUUGGUUUUGCCUCGUCCAAUAUGAAGAAAUUGUACUAACUAUCCAGUACUGCCUCUCUUCCUAAAUCUUACAUACUAGUCGUCGAACUGUCCACGAAGACAACCUUUUCAAAUUUUGACCAAAUUUAUAGAAAAAUAUAUCAACAACUAAUAUAUUAAAUAAUUAUAUUAUUAUUUUUUCGAAAGGGUGAUGAAAAUAUAUAUCAUGACAGAUAUAAUAAAACUAAUUUAGAAUCGUGUGAACAAUUUUUCUUAUAAACUUAAUCAAAGUAUAAUAACUUUGACUUAUCUAUUACAUUCAGAAACGGAGGGUAUGUCUUGCCGUAAAAAAAACUGUUAGCAUGUGUGACAUCGUACGUGGGACCCACAGUGAAGCGCCUCGACCAAGAAUUUGUUGGCUGCUAUAAAUUCACGUCCACACUCGGACUCAUCCACACUCCUCAGCUCAUCUCUGCCCCUGUUACACUGUACACAACAGCAUGGCGCUUACUUGCCUCCUCAUCGUCCUCCUCUGCGUCUCACUGUCGCUCCUCUUCGUCAACCAUGCAGGUAAUCGGGGUUGAUGUAUAAAUUAAGGCGGCUGUUUUGGAAAAUACUACGACCGGCCGUUUAUUUUAUUUUAUACUAACUGAGAAAAGCUAAAAUAUCUUAUAUUUAGAAACUUAGAGAAUUCCUACUCCGUAGCCAUGCACGAUAAUUAAACGGCUACGCAUCUGAUUAUUUCUGGAUUUGUAUUGCAAGUUGGUCGUCCAUAGACGUUGAGUGAAUGUGUGCGCGUGGUGGUGUGCGUGCCUCUACGAUGUUUCUAUAAAAAAUAAUACUAGACACUAGAUCGAUAAGGUAAUUAAUCAUAUUACCGACCCAAGAAGGGUCUUUACUUUGUACCCUCUCCUCCCACAAAAUAUAAGUCAGAUUAUUACAAAAGUGGUCAAGAUUUUAGAACUUUCAUCACUAUGCGGGAAGCUAUAUGCAUGGAUUGAAAUGUAAGAAUAAAAUCGUUGUAUUUGUCUUGCAGAAUAGUUUCUGUCGUAUGUUCUUUUACAUAUUAAUUCAAAAUCAUGCAUUAGAGAUGUUGAAAAUUAAGCGCUAGUUAGCAAGGAGGUAACAGGUGAUUUUGGAUCCAUAUGUUGAGUUUGAGUUUGGUUUGAAGCCCAAGCGCGUAGGCUGGUCGAUGUUGGUAAUGACUAGUAGGUUGAUUGGACUUUUUCUUUUUCAAAAAUAAGGAAAUCUCUCGGCCUCUGCAUCGAUCGAUACACACAACCAUUAUAUUAUUAAAAUAUCAAGCAAUCAACGUGCAAGUCUCAAAUAAGCUUAAAAAUAAAAACAAACGAACAAGAGAAACACCACACGCCCUCAAGUUAAAGGUCAGCACACCACCCAAAUUGGCCGAAGAACCCCUGUGCUACCAUCUACAAACGGUGGCACCCAGAGUCCAUACAUCCAUGUCCCUUCGUCGGAAGCAGUACGGAGCCAAUGUGACGCCCGGAAAACAACCUGCAAAAAAUUAGAAUUUUUUUCUGUUUAUAUAGCUAACAUACAAAAAAAUAAAAGUUGAUAUGAUGAGCUAGAUCAUUGUUUGUACCGAUGUUAGGUCAAUCCGCAAGGUUACAAGUUGUAUCGUGAGGCAGGGCGGACCUCGGAAGACAAUCACUUAAUGUCCAUCUUUUCAAAAAAAAAAUAAUGUCCAUCAUUAGAAGAAGUGUUGUCCAGUGCACCCUCUUGCAUGAACAUGGGUGCCGAUUACUUGGAUGGGAUGUUAAUUACAUCAGCAUGUAGAAAUUAACUUCAAACUCAGUGCUCGUUGAGACAAUCUGUUGAAACAUUUUAUAAAUUUGUUUGAACAAACGUGUGUUUGUGUGAAUAUUCACUUUGAUAUAAAUGAACAUUCAAUUUGAUAUACUUGGACAUUUUCCUAGGAGAGUAUUUAAGGUUAACAAGUUUGAAUCAUGAAACUAUUUUUACAAUUUGUGAGAAUCACCAGUACAAAAUUAUACUACAUUUGAAAUAGAUAAAUAUUUUGUCUGGCAUAUAUGGGCAUUUCAUGCAGACGUACAAAGAAUAUCUGAAAUUGCAGAGAACAUUCCAAAAAUAUAUAUUACUCUUGUAGGCCCUAGCGUGCUGCGGAAGUUAUGCUAAUUUCAAGAAUCAGAAGUGAUCCACACAUUUGCGAAAUUAUGAUAUUUUCAUUGAUGAGUCUGUCGAUCCGUAGCAAUGGACGGGCACUGGUGUCGAAAACGAAAUCUACCCAAAUAAUAAAAGGAGGAACGCUUCCUUCGUCGUCGUCGUCGUCGUCCGUCCGUGAAUUUUGCAAUUUGCCCCUUCAAGUUUUUGUUAAUUCAACCCGCCGUCCAAAUAAAGGACGGAACUGGGUUUGUUUUCCAAGGUUUCGGCUAAACUGCAAUUUUGCAUCUCCUUCCACGGAUCUCUCCCCAACUCAUCCCCGAGUCCCCGACCCGCAUCUCGCCCUGCCUCCUGACGGGUUGGGACCCAAGGCGCUGUCCCGUCAUGGCACGGAUCUGGGUUUUUCUGCAAGUUUACCCCCCCCCCCUCCCCGCGCUCCCUCUCCAUCUACCGGCCCAAUAGCUGCAGCGGCGCUCUGGUUGCCACGAUGCUGCUCCACCUUCUACGGCCGAGCGCUCGCCUCCGCCCCGACACCGCGCAGCCGCCGGCCGUCCCCUCAUCCACACCGACCUCCUGCGCUUCACCGCCGCCGUUCACCCACCGCCCCUGAAGCUAGAGCGCCACACAUGGCCUCCUCCACCUCCGUCUCGCCUGCCGCUGCCGCCUUCUCCGGCAACAACCGAUGCCUCCUCCUUCCAUGUUCACUGCGUCACCUCCCUCGCAGCCGCUCGUGCCCGCGCUCAAGCUCCCGCAUCCGCUUCGCUGCCUGCCACGCCAAUACCCUCCUCUCAUCACCCGGGGCCAGGUGCCAUCCGCUACCGCGGCGUGGUCGUCUGCCUCCUCCGCUAGCGGGUUCUCUGUAUAGCUCCUCACGCACGGGCUGCCGCCGGGCAAGGUCGCCAUCCUGGAGCGCCCAGUGGCUAGCUCCGGUGGA
rnacentral:lncRNA from 1 species